rnacentral:lncRNA from 1 species
UUUUUUUUUUUUUUUUUUUUCUUUUCCCGAUUUUUUUUAAUGUAACUAACUCGGGCCCCAAGCAUAUGGGGCCCACUCCCACACAUACGAGGGAGCCCAACAAAUCUCCCCCUCUCAACUAUGUGAGGGGCUCUACCAAGCCCACUUGCUUUCUACAAAAUUAUAACUUCUUUGUAGGUAUUGGUUUUGUCAUCAUAUCUGAUCCAUUCUCAUCAGUAUGGAUCUUCUUAAGGCAAAACAAUUUCAUCUCUAGUGCAUCACGAAUCCAAUGAUAUUUCACAUCAAUAUGCUUGGAUUUAGAUUGAAAAGUUUUAUUCUUACUGAGAUGAAUAGCACUCUGACUAUCAAAAUAGAGUAGAUACAUUUCUUGCUAAAGGCUUAAUUCUUGUAGGAACUUCUUCAUCCACAAUAACUCCUUGUUAGCUUCAGUGAUAGCAAUAUACUCAGCCUUUGUGGUCAACAAAGCAACACAUUUAUGCAACCUUGAUUACCAUGACACUUCUCCUCCUAAAAAAGUGAUCAAAUAACCAGAAGUAAACUUUUUGGAAUCAACAUCCCCAACCAUAUUUGCAUUUGUGCAUCCUACAAGCAUAGGUUUGUUAGUCCCAAAACAUAAACAUGUCUUAGAAGUACCCUUCAGAUACCUGAGAAUCCAUUUCACUACAACCCGGUUUUCUUUGCUAGGAUUAGAAAGGAACCUGCUGACAACUCCAGCAGCAUGAGCAAUAUCAAGCCUCGUGCACACCAUGGCAUAUAUCAAGCUAUCCAAGGUUGAUGCAUAGGGCACCUUUCACAUUUUUAUUUUUUAUUUUUCACUUGAAGGACUUUGUUUGGAACUUAGCUUUAGAUGACUUCCAAGUAGAGAACUCAUUGGUUUUGCUUUGCCUAUGUUGAACUUGUCUAAAAACUUCUCAAUAUAUAUAGUUUUCUUGAGAUAGUCACAAUUUUCCAUUUGUUCUAUCUCAAGAAAUCUUUAUACCAAGAAUCUGACUAGCAGGCCCCAAGUCCUUCAUUUCAAAGGACUUGUUCAACUCCUUUUUCAGUUUAUCAAUUUUACAAGUAUCAUAACCAACAAUCAGCAUGUCAUCCACAUAUAGCAAGAGAAUAAUAAAUUCUCCAUCAGAGAAUUUCUUCACAAACACACAAUGGUCAAAAGCACUUCUACUAAACCCAUGCUCAACCAUAAAAGAAUCAAACUUCUUGUACCAUUGUCUUAGUGCCUGCUUGAGACCAUACAAGCUCUUCUUCAGUCGACACACUAAGUGCUCCUUGCCUUUGAUUGUAAACCUUUCUGGUUGUUCCAUAUAUAUUUUCUCUUCUAAGUCACCAUGGAGGAAAGCAGUCUUCACAUCAAGCUGUUCAAUCUCAAGAUUCAUAUUGGCAGUCAAGCCUAACAUAACUUGGAUUGAAGACAUUUAACCAUAGGCAAGAAAAUCUCUUCAAAGUCAAUGCCUUUUUUUUUACUAAAACCCUUCACAACCAAUCUUGCUUUGUACCUUGGUUGUGAUAUGUUUGGUUCAAGCUUCCUUUUCAAUACCCAUUUAUUCUUCAAUGCUCUCUUACCAUUAGGCAACUCCAUCAAUUCAUAAGUGUUGUUCUUAUGCAAAAAUUUCAUCUCUUCAUACAUAGCUCUCAGCCACUAUUUUUUUCUCAUCAUGCAACAAAACCUCUUGCUAAUUUUCUAGCUCUUCCCUAUUAGAAAGCAACAAAUACUCAUCACUAGUAUACCUUCUGGAAGGUUUACGCUCUUUUGUAGAUCUUCUUAACUGUGUUUCAAUAGACAACUUUGAAGUAGCUUGUUCUUGCUGCUAUUCUAAGCCAUCAUUCUCAACUGUAGGAUUCUUUCUACAUCAUCAACUGCAGACUCAUCAUUUCUGUCAAUUGCAUCAACCCGUUCUUCACUAAAAGGCUUUGUCUUCUUAACCUGAUCCAAGUCUUCAAUGGUUUGGUCUUCAAAGAAGACAACAUCUCUGCUUCUUAUAAUCUUUUUGGUAGCUGGAUCCCAUAGCCUGUACCCAAACUCUUUAUUUGAAUAACACAGGAAGAUACAUUGUUUAGUCUUAUUGUCAAGCUUGGACCACUCGUCUCCAGGAACAUGAACAAAUGCCUUGCAGCCAAACACUCUCAAGUGCUCAAAGGAAACAAAUUUUCCUGUCUAAACCUUCUCUGGAAUAUCACCCUCUAGAGGAUGUGAUGAAGACAGAUUAAUCAAAUCAACGGCUAUCCUCAUGGCCUCACCCCAAAAAGACUUAGGUGAUUUUGCAUAAGAGAGCAUACACCUAAUUCUAUCACAGACGGUUCUAUUCAUUCUUUUAGCUACACCAUUUUGUUGCGGGGUCUUAGGAACCGUCUUCUCAAGCCUAAUGCCAUGACUUCUACAGUAUUGCUCAAAUGGCCCCUUAUAUUCACCACCAUUGUUUGCUUUGACAUAUUUUAACUGCUUACCGGUUUGCCUCUCAACCUUCACAUGAAAAUCUUUGAAUACAUCAAGUACCGGUAUUUGGAUUUCAAAGCAUAUGCCCACACCUUUUUUGAAUGAUCAUCAAUAAAAGUCACAUAAUAAAGUGCACUACUAAGAGUAUUACUUUGCAUAGUAUAAACAUCAGUGUGAACUAAAUCAAGAAUAUCUAGUUUUCUAUGUGAAUGAAAUCUAUGAAAUACAACUCCACUUUGCUUUCCAGACAAACAAUGUGUACAAGGUAAUAGUGACGUACCUUUAAUUGGUAGAAGCUUCUUUUUGGCAAGAACCUGAAGUCCAUUUUCACUUAUGUGACCAAGCCGCUUAUGUCAUAGCUCAGUAAAGGCUAUAUUCUUAACAAUGUUCACCUCUCUCUUGACUAGUCUCGCUUAUGUCUUGUAGAGAGUAUUGUUUUUCUUCCUCCUAGCUAAAACAAGAGAACCCUUAGUAAGCUUCCACUUACUCUCUCCAAGGUGACUAUGGUAGCCCUCAUCAUCAAGCUUCCCAACAUAGAUCAAAUUAAAGAGCAUUUCAAGAAACAUGUCUAACAUCUUCCAGAACCAAUUUGCACCCAAUGCUAGUUUCUAGCUCUACAUCUCCCAUGCCAACAAUUUCACAUUUUGCUUUAUUUCCCAUCCUAACCCAACCAAAACUACCACUGGUGUAGGAAGAGAAGAAAUCUCUACGUGUAGUGAUAUGAAACAAUGUUGUUGUAUCAACCACAUGCAUCAUCACAAACAAUGAUUGUAUCACCAUCUAAUGCAAUUGUUGUAAUGUCUUUGUCCUCUUUCCGUUCUUAACCUUUUCCUUUAAACUGUUAUCUUCUGAAUUUUCUGUACUCUCUCUUAAUGUGCCUUGGCUUGCCAUAAUAAAAACACUUUAUCUCUUUUCGGGACUUUGACUUUCCUCUUGCCUUGUCACGGUUAUAAUCACUAGAAGGUUUUCUGAUUUUAUUUUUUUCUCGCCUUUCUAUAACAAGUGCUUCUGUAUUAGAGGAAAUACCUAACUCUUUUCUUCUUGCCUUUUCAUUAAACAUGAUGUUUUUUACCAUGUUGAUAGUUAUCACACCAUUUGGGGUUGAAUUACUCAAGGAUACCACCAAAGUUUCCCAACUGUCUGGUAAGGAACUCAACAAAAGUAAAGCUUGUACCUCAUCAUCUAGCUCAAGCUUCAUGGUAAACAACUCAUUCAAUAAUCCUUGAAAAUUACUAAGAUGCUCUGUAACGCUAUUACCAUCCUUGUACUUUAAAUUCACAAGUCUUCUUAUCAUAAAGACUUUGUUCUGUGCAGUCUUUCUCUUAUAAAGACUCUUUAAUUUUUGUCAAAGGCUAUGUGCAUCAACUUCCUUAGCUACAUGAUGGAAGACAUUCUGAUCGACCCACUACCUAAUAUGUCCAAUGGUUUUCCUAUUUAAUUUCUUCCACUCAUCCUUAGGUGUAGUAACUGGCUUAUAACCCCUGCAUUCAAUGGGCUCAAACAACUCUUUGCAAUAUAGAAUAUCCUCCAUCAUAGUAUUCCAAAUUGAAUAAUUGGAAGCUGUGAGUUUAAUCAUUCCACUGUCAGCUUCUUUCAUUUAAUUCACUCAAGAGAUCCCACUAUUAAUCAACUUGGCUUUGAUACCACUUACUAGGGUGAAUUCAUAAUAUUCCAAUAAACACCAAGAUUUUUCUACCAUUUCUUUGUGCAAAAUUAAAUAGGCAAUAACAACUAAUAGCAAUAAAUAAAUAAUCUUAUGCAACAGAAAAAUAAAUCAGACAUCAGAAUUUUUAUGUGAAAAACCCCCCAAUGUAAAGAAAAAAAUCAUAGGACCUAGUCUAGUUCAAACUUCCACUAUCAACAAUAAUGAGUUACAUCUGUCUUUUCUAGAAUAAUCUUUAUAGGCUGCCAAAUACAUCAAGAUCACAUAUAGCCUUGGAUUAUACAAUCUCUCUUGGCAAAAGAAACAAAGAAAAAUUAGGGAAAGAUACCCCAAAAACAUUGUUACUGUUCAUGGGCAGUAAUACUAGUUCUAGAUCUUAAAAUCUGAUCUCCACCGUUCAGUUUGUAGCUACUUGAGUUUCAAAUCUCUCCUCCAAAUUUCAAUUCAAUCGAACCACAGAUGAAGUGGGAUCGACUUGUUGAUAAAAUUUGGGUAGAUGUGUUUUUUCUUCUCUCUCUUCUCUUCUCUCUGUUUUUCUUUUCUUGAUCUCCUUUUUUUUUUUUGUUUCUUUUUUUUAAUGUAACUGACUUGGGCCCCAAGCAUAUGGGGCCCACUCCCUCACUUAGGAGGGAGCCCAACACCCUACCACACAAAGUACCACUGGAAUUGCACAAUUUCAAUCCACUGAUGUUGUCUAAUGGAAUGGUCUCGAAGGAGGGACUUGCAAGUGGCGUUUCAAGGUGGCUUUGAACGACAAAUUUCAUGUACCAUCUUAGUAAAUCUUUUAUUCCGGAAACCAUUAUUUCAUAUCCCAUCCACUUGUCCUUCACAGUAGUGUGCAAAUAGCUCUUAAAUGGCGCCUAGCAUUAGACAAGCUAGGCAAGUGGUAAUUUAGUUUUCAAAUUGGGUCCUGCUUGCUUUCAAGUGUUAGUGUCCUUGGUGUAGACUAAGUCACUACUGCAUUACACCAUUUAGUCUCUUAAUUACUACAAGGGUUGAAACUAGACCAAUUGGAGAAUAAUUUAAAAUCUUGGACCAUUGGAAACGAAAAGCAUAAAGAUCUCAUGCAAUAUUAUAUGUAGAUUGACCAAAUAUAAUCAUAAUUAUAACCAUUAACAAAGCAACACUCGUGCACUACAACCCAGCAAAACAGAGAAUCAAAUUCUCUUUCUUCUCAAAAAAUGUUUGCUUUAUGUUUGAAGUUCAGUGGGAGGAGGCUUGUGAGGGGUUUCUCAGAUGGAGGAGCCAGCCAUGCAGGUACCCUUUUUCAAGAAUCUUUGUUUUAAUUGCACUGGAAGUGCGAAGAGGAGGGGGUUGAGGCCAGCACUUUGAGUUCGGCUCAUCAUUUGUUUCAUUUAACUUCUUUUGAAUCUGACAAGGUGGAGUGACUAGGACCCUCCAUGAGGUCGGUGGCUUUAGUGCACUUGACUCCACCUUUCGGCUGGUAGACCAUGAGAUUUUAGUGAAAAAAAUAAUUACAAAUGGCAUGAGAUAGAAAGUGGAAAGUUUGAUUCUCUCAUUUUCAAACUUUCAAGAAAUUUUUUAGAGUAAUUUUCAACUAAAAUAAAGGUAAGAGAUCUCAUCGUGAAACUUUAAUAAAGGUUUCCAAAAAUCAACUAAAUAGCACUCCUCUAUAUAGUAAAUGUAUAUGAUCAAAUAAAACUAUGUAUAAUUUUCUCAUAAUUAAUAAAUUAUUUAAUAGUCGAGAGAUCAUAGAACCCUUGUGUUUAUUAGUGUGAUUCAUUUCAUUUAUAUUUGCAUGAGAUGGAUUAUUCUCAUAAAUAAUUAAUCUAAAGGGACAAAUUGAAAAUUUGUAAUAGGGUAUUAAUUUGUGGAUGAAUUUAGAAACUACCUUUCACCCCCUUAGAUAAACAUAAAAAAUAUUUUAGGAACAAUUCUAAUAUCUACUCAUUACUGAAAUUCAGUCAAACGUGGGUUGUUCAUGUAAACCAUCCAUUACCAAUUAAUUAAACAAACUUCCUUUUUUAUUAGUGGUCGUUGAUCUGGCGAUUAAAAUAAUGUCUCUUGAGUGCAAAAUCUCCCCGGGUCCAUAGUGCUCUGAAUAUCUAAUAGAAUACAGUUGCCAUGACAACAUGGAAACAGAAUAGAAAAAUAAGGGUAUGGAGACAACAUCACUCGUCCUCAUGCCCAAAAAGAAUUAAUAAGAGCCAAUUAUACCGGAAUUAAUACGAGCCCAUUAAUUGCUUCUGAUAUUGAUAUCCUUCUUGAGUGUAACGAUGCAAUGCUUCUCAUAAGCAAAGUUUUCUCAGAAUUUUAAAGACAGGAAAAGAAAUUCUAGCAAUUCUUUCACUAUCAUGAUGUAAAUCCCACGACUCUAAAACGACCCGUUGGACUGAAUCAUACAAAGCAUAUUCUUAUCCGGAAACUAGUUUGCGUCCAGUGAAAUAUGCAAAAUCUUUUCAUGGCGUUCAACAUCACACUCAUCCCAAACGCAUUCGAUAUUACACCAAUCCCCAGGGUUAUUCCAGACUACACCCAUCCUCCAUCCUUUAGCCUAUUUUUGGAGAGAGAUCAUCUAAACAGAGGAGCAUUAUUGCCUAACAGAGGAUGACGAUUGGAAGGUAUUUGGGUUGUUGAAAAGUGCAUUAAUGCUUGACAAAAUUAAGAAAAUUAAAGAAAAACAAUUAGCGCCUAGUAUAUAUAAUCUGGCAUGACUACUAGGUGCCUUAUAUGGCUCAAGGAUUAUAAUUAGGGUUAAUUGGUUAAAGGGGUCAAAAUAACCAACAUAUUUGCAAAUAUAACCCAUCAGUCAAAAAGCAAAAAAGUUGAUCUAGUUGAGAAAAAAUGUCCUUCUUCUUUUUUCUCUCCAACACAUACAACUUCUCCUUUCCGUUUCCACCCUCAUUUUUCCCUCCAAGACAACUUUCCCUUUCCCUUUGUUUUAUAGCAUAUUAGGUUCCAAUUUUUUUAUUCGGUCAUUGGUUGCUCUUCUCUCUCUUUUCUUGCAGAGAUCAAGUUUAACUUCUUACCAUUGUUUCAUCUAUUCUUCAUUCUUAGUCAUGAAAAUAUGAAAAAAAAAUGUAUGCAACCAACAAUUUCUUUUUUAUAUUAUCAUUUUAUUUCUUUCUGCUGUUUCUUGAAAAUUCAAAAUCUCACUUCAACAUUGUAGGUAAAAAAUAGAGACUCCAUUGUUAGUUCUGAAAAAGUGAAAAGUUCGUUCAAAGAAUUUUCACCUGAACUUAACAGUAGUUGAGUUGUAUUAACAAAAAACUUAACCACAGUUAAGUUCAUAGUCAUAAUUUUCACUUGAACUUAAUAGUAGUUGAGUUGCAUUAACAAAGAACUUAACCAUAGUUAAGUUCACAGUAAGAUAUUUCACCUGAACUUAACAGUAGUUGAGUUUCAUUAACAAAGAACUUAACCACAGUUAAGUUCAUAGUUCGAAAUUUCACUUGAACUUAACAGUAGUUGAGUUCCAUUAACAAAGAACUUAACCAUAGUUAAGUUCACAGUCAGAAAUUUCACUUGAACUUAACCAUAGUUAAGUUCACAGUCAUUGUUUCACAAUAGUUAGGAUUUUUGCUCAGUAGCUUUGCUUUCCUUUGCUUCACUUUCUUCUACUUUACUUUUUUCUUCUAUUCCCAAUUGGCAUUUUUGUUUUUUCGCCACUUUUUAAAAUCUUUUUCUCCUAUCACUCUUCAAUGAACUCAUUGUUUCAUUCGUGCUUGAAGAUAUAAUAUGAGAUAACUUGAAAAAAAUAGAAUAACAAUUUUUCCAAGGAUUCAGGAUGAAACAAAGGAUGAGAGGAUAGACGAGAAAUUUUCUAGGGUUUUUGAAGGAAAUAUGAGAUUUUCGUUUUGUGCAUCAAAGGAAGAUAAUGAAAUAGAAGAAGAUGAUGAAAGAUGAUGACUCAUUUUGUAAAUGAAGUGGAAGAGGAGAUGACCUUUCCGUUUUAUGCACCAAAGGAAGAUAAUGAAGUAGAAGAAAAUGAUGAGAGAAAUUUUUUAGAAAAUAUGAGGAAUCAUUCUGUAAAUAAAGUAGAAGAAGAGAAGUUGUAUGUGUUGGAGAGAAAAAAGAAGGGCAUUUUUGUCUUAAUCGAGUCAACUUUUUUGUUUUUUGACUAGUAGGUUAUAUUUGCAAAUAUGAGGGUUAUUUUGACCCCUUUAACUAAUUAACCCUUAUAAUUAAGGUGUGUUGUGUUAUAGUCAAGGAUGAAAAUAUUGAUAAUCAUGGAUAUAUUGCUACUUUGAUUUUACAGAUAUAUGGAGAUAUAUCGGCGGAUAUUUUGGAAAAAAAAUAUCGAUAAGCCAAAAAUUGAUCAAAAUUUAUAAAAAUAUAAGAAAAUUUUCAUAAAAAUGUAAUUAGAAGCAUAAUGAUAUUUUUAAGUUGUUUUAUUAAAUAAUUUGAUAUAUGUAUAAUAUGAUUUAUCGUAUUUGAUAAUAAUAUCGUAUGCAUUGACAAAAAUAUUUGAUUAUUAUGAUAUUUGAUUAUAAUAUGUCUAAUUUUUAAAUAUAUAUUAAUAUUAAAAUUAUGAUCUAUUUAAUUCAAUUGUAUUAAAUAAUAUAAAAUAAAUCUUGAUAUAUGUACAAUUUUUUAAUAUUUAAUUAAUUAUUAAUGAUAUUAAAAAUACUAUGAAGAAAAUUAUCAUGAUAAUUUUUUAUAUUUUUGGUAAUCAAUUAAAAGAAAUUUUUGCAUUUAAUUAUAAAAUAAUUAUAAUUAAUUUGUUCUUUAAAAUAUUUUCCUUAUAUAAUGAGUUUAAAUACAUAUAUGUUUACUGCAUAAUGUUAAACAAGGGGCAUGCUUGCUCUAAUGGUAACUUAGCUGAUCCCCAAACCUUUUGGUUUGGGGUUCGACUCUCCUCAACACAGAAAAAAGGCAUUUUUGAGGCCUGUGAAUAUUUAUAUAGGAUUGGUCUUUGUACCACUCUUUAUUUUGGGGUACCUUUGUACCACUCUUUAUUUUGGGGUACUUAUCCAUAUUUGACCCCAAUAAUAAAAUGACAUGUGUAAAGUGUAUGUCAUUAAAAAAUUUAUAAAAACUUAUCAAACCCACCUCAACAUAGAAAAAGGGCAUUUUUGAGGCCUCUGAAUAUUUAUAUAGGAUUGUUCUUUGUACCACUCUUUAUUGCAUUUUUGAGGCCUGUGAAUAUUUAUAUAGGAUUGUUCUUUGUACCACUCUUUAUUUUGGGGGUACUUAUUCAUAUUUGACCCCAAUAAUAAAAUGACAUGUGUAAAGUGUAUGUCAUUAAAAAAUUUAUAAAAACCUAUCAAACCCAUAAAUGACCUAUUGGUGAGAAAUAAUCAUAUGCAUUUCAUACAUAUUUAAAUAUUAUAGCUUUUUUUAUAAUUUAUUAUUAAAUAUCAAAUAUAAUUUUUUAUUUAAUGAACUACCUAACUAUAUCUAAAAAAAGAAAAUCCUACCAACUACCCUUAUACUCUCAUUAUUCAUAUAUAUAUAUACAAAAAGGAUGCUAAUUUAAUAUGAAAAUUAAAUAGUUUCAACUACCAUAUUACAAAAUAUGUGGGAUGUGUGUUGAUAAAUCCAAUUUGAAGAUCAAGUUUGAAACUUUUUGAGGGAGAAAAUUUAAAAUUUAUAUUAUAUGAAGAAGAUAAAGGAUUUUAAGUGUUUACAAGUGUUAAAGGUAAUAUUUGAUUUUUUAUUUAUUUAAAUAAGGAUUUCAAGUGUUUACAAGUGUCAAAGGUAAUAUUUGAUUUUUUAUUUAUUUUAAUAUAAAUUUUGUAAGUAGAAAUGUUAUGUUAAAUAACAAAUAUGUAAUGAUUUAUAAAAUUUAAAUUUUAGAAUUUUUUAUGAGUUUAUUAUUAAUCAAAUUAAGAUAAUUUAAUAUUUUGUUAUCAAAUUAUUAUUAAUAUUUUUAUAUCAUUUUUUUGUGUGUUCAUAGAUUAAAUUUGAAGAUGAAGUAUUAUAUGUCUUGAAGAAGACAUUAUACGAAGGAUGUCAAGUGAUUACAAGUGUUAAAAGGUAAUAUUUUAUAUAUAUAUAUUUUCAUUUAAAUAUAAAUGUUGUAGGUAGAAAUGUCAUGUUAAAUGACAUUUAAAUAUGCAAUGAUUUAUAACAUUUAGCUUUUUGAAUUUUUUUAUGAGUUAUUAUUAAUCAAAUUGAGACCAUUUAGUCAUUUGUUAUGAAAUUGUUAUCAAUAUUUUUAUAUUAUUAUUUUGUGUAUUUGUAGAUUAAAUUUGAAGAUGAAGUUUUAUAUAUCUUGAAGAAGGAAAAUAAGAAUUUUUGUCUCUUGGGAGGAUAUUAUAUGAAGGAUUCCAAUUGAUUACAAGUGUUAAAAGGUAAAAUUUGAUUUUUUUUUUAUUUAAAUAUAAAUUUGUAGGUGGAAAUGUCAUGUUAAAGAUGGUAUAAACAAUGUGAGAAGAGUGACAAACAAUGUGAAAAGAUGGUACAAAUAAUGUAAAAAAUGGUACAAACAUUAUGAGACAAGGUAUGAACAUUGUAAGAUGAUGUACUAACAUUGUGAGAGAUUGAACGAACAAUGUGAUAUGGGUAUGAACAAUGUGAUAUGGGUAUGAACAAUGUGAGAUGGAGUACGAACAUUGUGAGAGGAUGUACAAAAAUUGUAAGAGAGGGUAUGAACAAUGUGAAAGAUGGUACAAAUAUUGUGAGAGAUGAUACGAACAUUGUGAGAUGAUGGACGAACAAUGAGAAGGGGUACAAAUAUUGUGAAAAGGGAUACGAACAUUGUAAGAUGGGGUAUGGACUUUGUGAGAUGGGGUACGAACUUUGUGAGAUGAGGUACGAACUUUGUGAGAUGAGGUACGAACAAUAUGAGAGGGAGUAUGAACAUUGUGAGAUGAGGUACAAACAUUGUGAGAUGGGGUACAAACAUUGUAAGAAGAGGUAUGAACUUUGUGAGAGAGGCUACGAACUUUGUGAGAGAGGGUACGAAUUUUGUGAGAUGUGGUAUCAACUUUGUGAGAUAGGUACGAACAUUGUGAGAGAGUGUACUGACAUUGUGAGAGGAGGUUCGAACAUUAUGAGAGAUGGUACGAACAUUGUGAGAGGUGGUACAAACAUUGUGAAAUGUGGUACGAACAUUGUGAUAUGAGGUACAAACUUUGUGAGAGAUGGUACGAACUUUGUGAGAAAUGGUACGACCUUUGUAAGAGAUGGUACGAACUUUGUAAGAUAGUGUACGAAACUUUGUGAGAUAAGGUAUGAACUUUGUGAGAGGGGGUACAAAUAUUAUGAGAUGGGGUACGAACAUUGUGAGAUAUGGUACAGACAUUAUGAGAAGUAUAAAAUGAUAUAAAAAUAUUUUUUUUAAAACCAAAUUGAUGACAAGUAUGACUAGGAAAUGCAAUUUUCUAACUACUUUUUCUUUUAUAUUUCAGUUCCUUCAUGUAAUCUAAAAUUAAAAAUAUAUAAAUAAUUUAGGGUACAAAAAAUAUUAGAACGGUACAAAAAAUAUGAUAAAUACAUGCUUGGUAAUCUUUACCACAUUUUUCAUAUCAUUUUUAGUUUUUUAUUUUUUGAAAUUAUAAAUUUAUUUUCGAAAAUGCUGUCAUUAGUAAUUCAAAAGAGUAUUAGUAAUUUAUUUUAUUGUAAUUUUAACUUAAAACCUUUAAAUUCAAAAAAUGUAAAAUUUGGAGAGUACAAAAAAGAUUAGGACGGUCUAAUUACCUAAGUUUUACAUAUGAUUAUCAAAAUGUUGAAUUUUAAUUCAAAUACUCAUUUCAUAUUAAAAUAUUACCAUAUUUAUUUGUAUGUCGAAUUUAAAUUUUUAAUAAUUUGUUAAAAAUAAAAUAAUGUAGUUAUGAUAUAUGAUGGAUUUUUUUUUUUGUUAAUAAAUAUGUUUGCAAAUUUUAUAUCAAUUUUAUUUUUAUUUUUUUCCAAUUCUAUUUUUAUCUCAAUAUUUAUCUCAUAUUUAUUUUAUUUAAACCCAAAAUUGUUGAGAAUGGAGGAAGAAGAAAUUAAAGGAGAAGAGAGUGGAAGACCACAACCGAUUCUUCCCUUAACCGGUUAAGUGGAAUUUUUUUAUUUCAAUUUUAAAAUGGAUCGCCAAGAUGCAAUCUUGGACAUCCAAUGGCUUAAAAAAAAUUUGGUACGGCAUCGAGGUACCCUAGACUUUUCGAUAUAUAUAUUGCUAUAAUUGGGAAGAAUCUUACCGUCCAUAAAGAAAAAGAAAAAUGGAAGUACAGAGAAAAGACGGAUGUGCUUCACUUGAAUUUGUCGAGAAAAGGAGUCUAAACUCGAGCGCGAACCAUCACAUAAAAUAAUACACAUCUGUAAAGUGGCAAUAACACGAGGACCCCUAACUUUUUCAGGCCAUUUGUGUUAUUCUGAACAAACACUUGGUCUUAGCCAGUCCUUCCAUUCAAUUUUUUUAAGGAAAAAAAUCGGUUAAAUAGGUCAACAUUCGAACCCUAUCAACAUUUUAUUUAAGGGAAAGGUCAUAAAGUCAUAAUCUUCAACAUGAGAAUGAGAGGUCAGGGGCGGUUUUAAGCUUCAAUGUGAAUGUGUUGUCAAAUAUAUUAUUAUGUCGAUGCUAAAGUUACUCUAUUUUGCAUUGUUAAAGGAACAAAAGGAAAAGAUUUAAAAGAAAGAAAUCAAAAGAGAAAUGAAAGAAGAUUGAGGGCAGUCAUGCCUUAGGCAUACUCAUACUGUUCGUAAAGCACGCGCAACCAUCCAAAUUGGCUAGUUAGUGGUUUGAGUUCCUCGUAGGCCAUCCUCCCCAAGAUUACAAGCACCCAGGAAAUGAAAUGCUGCUACCAUCAUAUUUGCUUCUCUCCCUCCUUAAAGCCUGAGGCUUUCUUGAGCCUUCCUACUCAAUUCAAAGAAAGAUAAACCAUCCUGCCGAUCACUUUCCUUCCUCUUCAUGGCAAAAGUCCAUAUUAUCCAUGCCUGUUCCCUUCUUCUUGCAGUGAUCACUAAUCAUGAUAUUCUCUAUACCGAGGGAAGGCCAAUGAAAUCACUGAGCAAACAUGAGUUUAGUUCAAUAGAUUCUGGACCAGGAACAGAAACAGGCAGCGAAGGAAUUGAGCACAAAGACGAUCAUAGGUCCGCACCUCCUCCCCCGGAGCCCAAUCCUGGUGUUAAAAAUUCAGUUGCAGGAAAGAAGGAACUUCCCCCACCCAUGAUGCCAAACUACACUACUGGUUUGGCGGAUUCAACUGCAGUAUAUGAAGAUGAUUUUCGACCUACACCUCCAGGCAGCAGCCCCGGUAUUGGCCAUCACUUUGUACCAACCAAAGGAGAUAUUCAACCAAAGGCACAAGGCAAUAGUCCAGGUGUGGGACAGUCUGUCACAGCAUACAAGGAUGAUUAUCCGCCCACAAAGCCGGCCAGGUCACAGCCCUGAUGUUGGCCAUUCUCUUCAGAAAACAAAUGCAGAACCAAGUGCUUAGACAUGUAUAGACAUGCAUACUAAGCGCAUAUGUCCGUUGUGUGGAUGGUUUCAAUUCCUGAGUUUCACAAUAUCCUCAACUGUCCUUGCAGGUGAAACUCCUAUGUGUAUUGUGCUAUGCUCCUGUGAAGUCAUUGCGCUAGGUUCAUAAGCUGAAAAUAAGACAUUAGUUACAUAAUUGUCCUUAAUUUUACAUUCAAGAAAUGAUAUGUAUGCUACCUUUAUCAUUUUCGUACUAGUUAUCGCAAGUACAUUCAUGAGAAUUAACCAUUUAAAAUCAUAUUUACUGAUGAGAAAUUCUACCAAGUUGAACCAUGAAUCCAGAACUCUCACAUGUAUGCAUGCGUGGGCAUGAAUUACCUGGAACAACUCAUUUUAUAUAUACAUGAUCCUGUAUUGAGUUACCCAUAAAAAAAAAUUCGGACAAUUGUGUUUUGGGCUAGCUGACCCUUUUGGUCUAUAUAACUUACAUAAUUGAUGGAAAUGAUAUAAGAUAUCAAAAGACCAAAAUACUCAUUGACCUUUCCCAUAAACUUUUUUGGUCUUUAUUGUACUACUAUUCAUGCGACCAUAAUAAUUCUAUUUUAACUAUUUGGAUUUUUUAUUGUUUUUUGAAACUUUUUUUUUAUAAAUAAUUGAAAAUCAACAUUAUUUUCCAUUUUAAAUUAUAAAUACAGAAAAAUUACGUUCAAAAACUAUUUUAAAAAAUAUUUUUUUAAAAAAUGGUAAUAUGAUUUACAUUUUUUAUAUUUUCUUUUUUAAAAAAAUUUAAUUAAAAAAUGAAAACUAUUUUUAAAAAUAAAAAUUGAAAACCUUGUUUAGUACUAUUUUUUAUAUGAAAAUAAUAAAAAGAAUUAAAUUUCAUUAAUUGAUUAUCUAUUAAAUUUUAUAUGAAAAUUUUUUAUCCUUUCUUAUAAUAAGAGUAAAAAGAUUCAAUAUCUUUAAAAAAGAAAAAAAAAAGUUAAAAAUAAGUAAUUCUUAAUUGGGAAUAGAAAAGAAAAAAAAAACACAAAAAAAAAAAUUGAAAUUUACACUCACUAUGUGCCUUUGUAGGGAUUAAGGCUAUUUUAGGAAUUAAUGAAGGAUAAUAUCCUUCAACUUAAUUUUUAGACUUUAUUUGGGUCUUGGGCUUAAAUGUGCAUGAUCUAUGGAUCUUUGGUCAAUUUUUGGGCCCAGAUGGGCCCAAAACACAAUUCUCCUAAAAAAAUUCUGCUUGUCCUAUUACAAGCUUGGAAAGUAUUAAUAUCUUCGCUUUCUUAGGCCCCAUUCAUUCAUGCAUCAUAUUGGGCCAGCCCAUGAGCUUCAAGCCUGGCUAGCUACUCCUGAUAUUUUUCAUUGGCUGUGCGCGUGUUUUUUCUCUCCUGUUUUUAUGCCAGCUUGUUGACUUAUCAAAUGACUUGAAAGUGAGGCAUUUUUGGAUUCAUGCUUGGAUUCAAUGAAUUGGAAAAGAAUAAACACAUGCUAUCCUGCUAAACAAGAGUCCAAUACCAUGUUAACUUGCUAAUUAACCUAAAAUCAAACCAUUAGAUAAUGAACUAAUAAUGUACAUUAAACUAAUUUAGACUAGGUAUGGAUCAUUUCUAUAAAACUAAGGUUCCACUAUAGUAUCCAACAAUCAGUGCCUAGCAAAAAAAGGAACCAAUCACAGGAUGUCCUGUGUAGAAAAUAGACUUUGUUCCUCACUUACAUCUAAUUUGUUCUUACUUUGGUUUUAUUAUUUUCUAUUUUGAUUCAUCUUAUUUAUACUUAAUCAUGUUUAUUUGUACCUCAUAAGUUUGGUGUCACAUCAGUACCUUAUCAUUUUCCUUAAAAUUAUGAAAAAAAAAAAGUUUAAGUUAAGGUGCAGUGUAUCACUGUGCCAAAAUCUCUAUUUCGUUUUCAUUUUCAAAAGUAGUGCUCAUUCAACCUAAACGUGCAAGGCAUGCACGCACAGCCACCGCCUAGCCAUGCGGUAUGUACAAAAAGUUCAAGUCAAUUCCAACUUCAAUAGGAAGGGUGUGAUCAUUUCAAACAAUUUUCAACUACUUCAUCAUAUAUAGGUCUCUAGUUGUCAUUUUUAAAAUAAUGAGCCGCAAAUUUGAAAAGGGUGUGCGGUGGAUCCUUCACCCCUGGUACCUCCAAAAUAGCCUUCUAAGCUACAUUCCAAGAAGACUGUGAUAAAGAAGUUUUUAUAUUAUUGCCUUUUAAAUUUUGUAUUAAUUUCCCUUUAACUACCUCCCAGUUACUAGGUUUAGAUCCACUCCAUGUGCAGCCCUUAUCACAGUUUUUUUUACGGUUGGAAUUGAGAUUCCCAUAUGGUGAAGGCGCCUUUAUAGUACUUCGAGUGCAAAAGGAAUCUUAGGUUGCUAUCUGCCAUAGUAUGUAGUUGUGACUAUAUUAAGACCUCCAGUUAAUAUAUAAUUUUAUAUUUAAGCUUACUUGCAAUCCUUCCCCAUGUUCUUGGGUCAUGUGUGAAUGGCGCAGCAUCUUGGUCUUUCUUUUAAUAUAGAUUUUUUUUCUUCAAAAAGACAUGUUCCUGAACAUGAUUGUCGAGAGUAUCAAUGCGGCCUUUGAGCUUAUUGAAACUGCUAUAAGAAAAUUUAACAAUAUAUCUUUACAUCAUCCGAAGAUCUUCCUAGUAACCUCAUUUGCAAGAAUAGAAGUGUUUGAUCACAACUUCACUUGAAAGAUGAUUUGAACUUUAAAUUUCAUUUAAUGAACAUGGUAUUGUAGUUAACAUGCAGAUCAUUCUCAUUCCACAGCAUCAAAAGGAUUCUCAUUUUUUUCAAGUGACAACCUCCCUUCGAUAUGCCUACAUGUCUAAGUCUUACCUACCUUAGGGUUUGAACAUUCUGCAGCUGCCCUUUUUUCCCAUGUGAUGCAGUUAACUGGAUGGAAUCGUGGUUGGUGCUUGAUUCGCAUGUGCAACAUCUUUUUAAGUCCUUAAAUACCGAUGUGAGGUGCAAGACUUCCUUAUUUCUCUCCUCCUUCAAUACAGUUUCGAGUUUAGGUCCUUAGCCUCUCUUUUUCCUUUGGCUCAUUUGAGCUUAGUUCUUGGAGACUACUGAUCCAUUCUUCCAAUUAUGGCCAAGUUCAUUUGCACUUGCUUCUUUUUUCUACUAAUGAUUGUUGCUCAUGAGGUUCUCCAUAUUGAAGGAAGAAACUUGGAGUUAAAAAUGAAGUUGAAGUGUGUAAAAUGCUUGAGCCCUGAUGAGGAAGGCAUUAAUACAAGAGAGGCUAGAGAAAUUGUUUCGAGCCCUAGCAACUCACACAAUGACCACAGUAUGCAGACCAUGGAAGUAUAUGUAAAUGCUUCUCGACCAACAACUCCUGGCCAUAGCCCUGGUGUUGGCCACUCCCUUCAUAACUAAGUAUCUUUUUGCAUGUCAUAGAUGCCUGUUGUAGUGGAUGUGAAUGUAUCUUCACUUGUUAUUUCAAUGUCAUCAGUGUAAGGGUGUUUCAAUAUGAUAUUUGUAUGCUUGUUCUAUCAUUAGAAGUAGUAGAUUGUGUAUGUAUUUUCGCUUCCCAUCGUACAACUUAUUAUUCUGAAUGUAAUAGUGUAGUCGUGUUGUAAUAUCAUUUUAAGCUUGUCCCACUAUUCCAAUUUGCAGUUAUUACUCUCUUGUGCUCAGUCACUAGCAACCUCCAUUAAAAUGACUUGAAGUCUAGAUUGUUCGCAUGGUAUUUUAUGUUGCUUCCUUGAAUGCAUGAACCUAAUAAUCAUAUUAGGAUUAUUUGAUUCUUUUUAAAAGACAAUAAGUGAGAGAAGACCACCGAGCAACACCUUACAAAAUAAAACAAAGGUUACUCUUAAGAAUCUAUGGAAGCAUGCUGCAGGUGCAUGUAAGAGAACUAAUUAAAAGAUCUACAGGCAAUUAGUUCAGAGCAAUCAUUCCUCUACUUGCACACAAGAAGACCUUGGAAAUUUACCAAUAUGCAGCGUAACCACAAUCAUGUCUACAUUCAAGGCAUAGGCAAUUAGAACAAGUGCCAUUAUAUGUAUAUAUGAUAGGACAAUAGUGCUGCAAAUGAUGAUAAAGGUUGAAGGUUGCAAUUGUUAAGACUUUUAUACUCAGUCUAUGUGCAAUAAUGGAAAUUGAAAUAUCUGUUGCUAUGAUGCUUCAAUAAUCUGUAUGAUCUAGAUUGAAGUAGAAUGGCCUAGUACAAAAUUUACAUGUAUUAACAUUAAAUUCAAUCUUUAGCAGAAUGAGCAGCUUAAUCUUAGAUCAAUUCAAUCUUGAAGCUUGAAGCUUGUGGCUUUAAGGAUCUUGAAAUUUUCAUACACUUUGAAGAAAUUAAAGAUUCAUUGAAAUCUUCCUUAAAGAUUUGAAAAGAAGAUUUUGGUCUAUCAUGGAGAAUGUUAGGGAAAUCAGUGCCAACUUCAAUCAGUUUCAGCUACCCACCACACAACUAUUCACCCGUAAUGCAUGAAACACAUGGUUUGUUUUCUUGUGUUAAAACCAACCCCUCAAGUCAGUUAUAAGUCUUGGAGCUCAACUACUUAAAUGCAUGUAUCUCCCACAAAAGAGAAUAGUAAAAUUUCCAAGAAAUAUAGCAAAGACUUUCAUUGGCCUUUCUUCCUUAUUCUCAUUAUUUCUGCUGUUUCACCAUUUCAAACAGAGAACUUCCCCCAACUUAUCUCGUCUUUCAAAUUCUCAUCUAACUUGUCUUGAGAACUUUAGAAUGAACCCUAAGGAGAUUUGAAAGACCAUAUUUGAUCAUCUUAAUCCUUUAAAAUAUGAUGAAUAAAACACAAGCUUCCUACAAAUCCUUUCCAACUAUAUCUUUUAAAUAGGACUUGAUAAUUAUUUUUUCAAUUAUUAAGCAUAACAUUUUUUAUUUAUUCUAACAAUUAUAUUUUAAGGCAGAAUAUAUGUUUCUUCGCUAAAAUAAAAGACAACUUCACCUCUUUUUAUGGACCUAUGCUACAUAUGACUUAAACAACUUUUAAUUGGUCAGAUUUUAAAUUAAUUAUAUAUAUAUAUCCACAAUUGAUUUAAUUUGAUUACAUGGUAAAUUAUAAAAACUAGUUGCAAGUAAAUGAAAUGUCAUCAGGUAUGAUGGCCGCAAUUUCCAUCCAUUAAUGUUGUCUAAUGGAUUCAUAGUUUCAAAUGUUUUAUUAUGAAACUUCUUAUAUAUAGUCAAUGGAUGCAGCUCAGUUGGCCUCUAAGGUCUGGCAAGUGGCAUUUAAAGGCGGCUUGGAACUACAAAUUCCAAAUUAAUUACUACGUUUUUAAUGUUUUCUAAUUCAACAUUUUCAAUGGAAAGACAUUCUGAUAUGAGCAUCUUCAAAGAUACGCCUGAAACUAAAUAUAUAUAUAGAUGGUCCCAGACAGCACACGCGCACCACCAUGUUCUAAUGUUUGUGGUUUAGACUUUACUUGUGUGGCUGGAAUGUUGUUUGUACUGAAUACUUUGUAGUGUAUUCUAUACUGGAUCUUUCAUUAAACAAAAGGCCAGUUUGAAAAUGUACCACUGCAUGGGACAUGCAAUUGUUGACAGAUUAACCCUACCUGCCACCUUAAGCUAUCUAUGCACUGCACACACUACUUGAGAGAGCGUUAAAUAAAUAAAUUUAAUUAAAAAAAAAAAAACUACUAUGUUGCUGUCCUAGUUAACUUUUGUGUUUAUUUUUAUCUCUGAGAAUCUCCCACCGGUUAGGACUUAUGGCCCACUGAUAGCCAUCUUAGCUCUAUAAAUACCACUGGAGAAGCAAGGGCUAAGGCGUCUUGCUUGCUUAAAUUCUUAUUCUUCUGUCUUCUUUCUUCUACUUCUAUGGCCAAUCUUAAGUCCAAGAUUGCUUCUUUUUUCCUCGUAGUGCUGAUUUUCUCUCAAGAAAUUCAAUCUAUUGAGGGAAGGCAAUUGGACUUGGGGAUGAAAAGGGGAUCCUCAGAACUCGAAACUCAUGUUAAAAUCAUGGGAAAAGAAACCACAAAAUUUGCUGAGCACAAUGCUAAUAAGUCUCUGCCUCCAACACCACCAACUCAGGCGCCCUCAUUUCACAUGCAGGACUUCAGGCCAACUACCCCGGGUCACAGUCCUGGUGUUGGGCACUCCCUUCAGAACUAGGGCAACUGUAUUAAAGCAAGGUUUCAAAUAUUUAUCGAUGUGUGAAAUAUCUACGUUAUGUCAAAUACCAUGAAAGUUUGGAUUUUCAGUUCAUAAAUGUGGUGUAACUCAUGUUUGCUAUGUAGUGUUAAUUUGUACGAAUAUUGUAUAACUUAUGCAUGCAAUAAAGCAAUGUAAUGUGUGAUUCGUCAAGCAUUUGUUCUUUUCUAUUGGCAUCUGAUGUUAAUGGGAGUAGUACUAUUAAGACAUGCAAUUGGCUAAUAAAGAUGGGUGAUCCCUAGCUAAUCUAAUUCAUAAGUUUUGUGAAAGGAUAGAAAUAAACUCUCAUUCUAUACCUUCUCGUGAUGCAACCAUGGACACCAUUUGUGUCUUAGGCUCUAUUUUGUUUGGUAAAAAAUGGAACUGGUUAAAGAAUAUUGUAAUGCACGCCUGCACAGAUGCUAGACGAAGCUGCCGAUCAGUAGUGGGACACAGAUUGCCAGCUAUGCAAUGAAGUUAGUCCAUCCAUCCUAUUUCUGAAGAAUGGCAUCCUAAUCGUACGAAAGAGUGCAUAAUUGUUUCAACAAAGUUAUAACCUUGUGAUACCAACAAGAAGUAAUAGUUGUUGUUCCAAUAUAUAUGAUUGAUUUGAAGACCAAACCCUUUUAUCAAAAAGCAAAUGUAGUGUAAAAUGAUCCAGCUUUCAAGUUCACUAUAAACGUUUCCUGAUCAUAGCCAUCUUAUUAGACUUUCAUCUGAAGUCAAACAAUUUUUCCAUUAAUGCUGAUCAAGGAAUUUGAAUGGUUGAGGAUAGUUGGUAAAAUCGCCAAACUUGGUAUGAUUCACAGAAUAUAUAUACUACUUAAACAUUAGCAAGAGAGCAUCAUUCAGUUCAUUUAAUACACUAAAUCAGAUCCAAAAUGAUAGGGCCGUGCUAAGAUGUAACUGGACAUCAUCAUAUAUUAAUCAAUUGAUGAGAAAGCAAUGCUCCAAUACUCAAAUGCAUGCCCUUCAUUUUGCAAAAAUUGAGACAGUAUGCAUGGAAUUUAGCUAAGCAGAGAAUCAGCCUGACAAACCAAUUCAGAUAAGUAAUCCAUCAGUUUUCUAUUUGAGAAGGUCUUGUGCUAUUGUUCUAGUUACGAAUCUAGAUGAGACACCUUCAAGUAGUAAGCUGUAUGUUAGUAAUUAGAGCCAUGAAGAUGAUGGGUCAACAGAUGUUGGUGACUGGAUUAUUACAUGCCAACUACAGCAAGCAUAGGAUCCCAAGUACAAUGUAAUGCACAAAAUAAUAAAAUGUACAUCAUUUUUCACUAUUUGUCUACAAAAAUUUCGACUGAAUCUCCAAUAGCUUCAAGGGUACGUACAUUAGGUAUGCAGGAAAUGUCUAUUAUCUUUGCCAUGCCAGUCAUUUCAUUAUUUUUCCUGUCAAUGUUAAGCUCUCUCGUAAAACAAAAUUUGCUUCCAUGUUAACUUAUCAAUUUAAUCUAAAAUCUUAAGCUGUCAGACAAUGUUAACAUAUCAUUUGGGAUUGCACAAUUUCCAUCCAUUAAUGUUGCCUAAUGGAAUCAUAAUUUCAAUUUUCGGAUUAUAGAACUGCUUAAAGUCAAUGGAUGCAACUGCGUUGGUCUCGAAGGAGGGACUUGCAAGUGGCAUUUCAAGGUGGCUUUGAGCUACAAAUUUCAAGUAUGUAUCACCCUACAAAAGAUUCUGGGAACCAUUAUUUCAUAUCCCACCUACGUGUUCUUCACAGUAGUGUGCAAAUAGCUCUUAGUGCGACCUUGCAUUAGACUUAGACAAAUGGUAGGCAAGUGAUAAUUUGGUUUUCAAAUUGGUCCCUGCAUGCUUUCUAGUGCUACUACCAAUGAAUCUUUUAGUAGUUGAACCAAGACCAAUUGACGAAUAAUAUAAAAUCUUGGACCGUUGGGAUACGAAAAUCAUGCGGAAGAUCCUCUGUGCUUCUGCUAAUUAAAGUCGCUCUCAUGCAAUAUCAUAUGAAGAGUGUCCCAAUAUAGUCAUAAUUAUAACCAUUAACAAAGCAAUACUCGUGCGCUACAGCCUAGCACAACACAGAAUCAAAUUCUCUUUCUUUCCUAAAAAUGUUUGUUUUAUGCUUAAAGUUCAGUGGGAGGAGGCCGGUGAGGAGCUUCCCCAGAUCGAGGAGCCAAACAUGCAGGCAUACUUUUUGAAUAAUCUUUAUUUUUAAUUGUAUUGUAAGUGGUAAGAGGAGGAGGGGGUUGAGGCACGGCACUUAAGAGUUCAGCUCAUCAUUAAUUGAUUCAUUUGACUUCUUUUGAAUCAAACUGACAAGGAGGAGUGACUGGGACCCUCCAUGAGGUCGGUAGCUGUAGUGCAUUUGACUCCACUGUUUGGCUGGUAGACCAUAAGAUUUUAAUGAAAAAAAUAAUGACAAAUGGCAUGACAUAGAAAGUGGAAAGCCACUUUAUUGUUGUUCAAGCUUAAACCAAAUAUUUCAUAUGUUUCUAUAAUUAAGGAGGAAAUAAAUUUGAAUCCCACUUCUUUCCUUUUCCUCUUUUCGUGUAUAUGAAAUUACUUAAAUGAAUCAAAUGACCUUAACCUAAUGGGGUAUUGCCAAUGGUACAUUGUAAAGAAACUUCUUUGAGGGACAAAAUUUUAAGAAGCCUGAGCCUGAGCCUGAACUAUGUACUAUAAUCCCAAAGUUGCAUGUUACAUGCUAAGGGUCAUCUUCAUCAUAUUUAACUUGCACUCAUGCCCUGAUCAUACUUGGGAUCAAUCUUACUGAACCAUGCAUUUAACUUCAAAUAUUCUACUGCUUUUCCAAAUUGUUAAAGAUGAAUUAGGGGUCAAACUUGUGGUAUGCCGUGACUUAAUAAAAGAACUUCAAGAAGAGUCAAACCCAUAUAAUAAUACAAGCAAAGAACUCGAUCAAGAAGAGUCAAACCUAUAUAAUAAUACAAGAUAAUAUUCCACAAAGAUUACAGGGAUUCUAAUCUCUACUUAUUACUGAAAUUCGGUCAAAUGUCGGCUGUCCAUGUAAACCAUCCACUACUAAUUAACUAAACUUCCUUUUCCAUUAGUGGUAUAGUUGAUCUAGUGAUUAGAAAUAAUUUUUCUUUGAGUGCACCAUCUUCCUGGGUCCAUAGUGCUUUUAAAUAUCUAAUAGAAUACUAUUGCCAUGACAAUACCUACUUUGAAUUCUAGAUUAACACAUAAUUGAAAAUAAGGGAAAGGAGAGUAAUGAUGCCACAUUGUAUACCAAAAAAAAUCUGAAAUUGAAUACCGCAUUUAAUGGGAGCCUAAUUGCUUUUGAUAUAUUGAUAUCUUGCUCGAGUGUAAUGAUGCAAUGCUUCUCAUAAACAAGGUUUUCUCAGAAUUUCAAAGGCAAGAAAUGAAAUUCUAGCAAUUCUUUCUCUAUCAUGACGUUCCUACGGCUCUAAAACCACAUAUUGGACUGAAUAAUAGAAAGUAUAUUCUUAUUUGAAAACUAGUUGGUAUCCAGUGCAAGGUUCAAAAUCUAUGGCAUUCAGCAUCAUACCCUUCCCAAACUCAAUCAAUAUUACACCAAUCCCCAAAGUCAUUCUACACCACAUCCAUCCUCCAUCCUUGAGCCUAUUUUUGGAGUGAUCAUCUAGACAGAGGUGUAUUAUUGCAACCCUAACAGAGGAUGACAGUUGGAAGGUUUUUGGGUUGUUGAACAUGGUAAUGCAUUAGAAAACUAAGAAAAAAGAAAAGCAUUUAGCCCCUAGUAUGUAAUCUGGCAUGACUAAUAGAUGCCAUAUGACUCGGUGAUAUAUAUUUCAUGCACUAAACUAACAAAUGUGAGAGUCAAUAUGUAAAUUAAUAUAAUGAAGUGAUGUUGCUAUCAAAGAAAUAUUUUAUUUAUUUGUAUAAUUGGGAAGAAUCUUACCUUUCAGCCGCUUAGUAAUUAUGGAACUUGUUUAGAAAACCAUAAAGAAAAAGAAAAAUGGAAGUACAGAGAUAAGACAGACGUGCUUCACUUGAAUUUGUCGAGGAAAAAAGUCUAAGCUUGCACACAAGCCAUCACAUAAAAUAAUACACAUCUGUCAGUGGCAAGUACAUGAGCAUCCCUAACUUUUUGGUGCACUUCCAUGGUGGGAAGGUCAAAUAAUGAGCUCAUUUUUGUUAUUCUGAACAAACACUUGGGUCUUAGCUAACCCUUCCAUUCAGUUUUUUAGGAAAAAAAAAUUGGUUAAAUAGAUCAAUCUUCAAACCCUAGCAACAUUCAAUCCUGUGAAAGGUCAUAUAGUAAAAUAUGAUCAGGCCUUUUAUGGUUCAAUGUGAAUGUGUUCUAAAGAUAUAUUAUUAUGUCGGUGCAAUAGUUACUCUAUUGUAUAUUAUAUAUUAAAGAAACAAAAGGAAAAGAUAUAAAAGAAAGAAUUCAGAAGAGAGACGGAAGAAGAUUAAGAGCAUGCGUGCCUUAUGCAUACUGUUCUUAAGCACACACAACCAUCCAAAUUGGAAGCAGUGAUUCACAUCAAUUUUGGCCCAUAUAAUAAUUAGCGGUUUAGGAUCCUCAUAGGCCAUGCUCCCCAAGAUUAUAAGUACCCCAGGAAAUGCAAUGUUGUGAUCAUCACAUUCAGUUCUCCCUCCUUAAGAGCAGAGUCUUCUUUGAGCCUUCCUACUCAAUUCAAAGAAAGAAACCAUCCUGUUGAUCACUUUCCUUCUCUCUUCAUGGCAAAAAUCCGCUUUAUCCAUGCCUAUUCUCUUCUUCUUGCUGUAAUCACCUAUCAUCAUAUUCUCUACACUGAGGCAAGGCCAAUAAAAUCACCAAGUUCAAUUGAUUAUGAACCAGGAAAAGAAACAGGCAGCCAAGGAACUGAGCACAAAGAUGUUUGGUCCGGGCCUCCGCCCCCAGAGCCCAAUCCCAUUGUUAAAUAUUCAGUUGCAGGAAAGGAGGAGAUUCUCCCACCCAUGAUACCAAUUACAGCGUUGGUUUUGGGGAUUCAGCGGCAGUCCACACAGAUGGAUUUCGACCUACAACUCCUGGCAGCAGCCCCGGUAUUGGCCAUUCCUCUGCACCAACCAAAGAAGAUAUUGAACCUAAGGCACCAGGCAAUAGUCCCAAGACAUUCCGUCAAGGCAAACAAGGAUGAUUAUCGGCCAACAGUACUAGGUCACCGCCCUGGAGUUGGCCAUUCUCUUCAGAAAACAAAUGCAGAACCAAAUGCUUAGACAUGUAUAUACAUUCUCUGAAGUAACUUGUAUGUCCUCCAAUUCACAUUAAUACAUAAGUCCCUUGUGUGAGUAGUUUCAUUUCCUCAGUUUCACAUCAACCGUCCGUGAACGUGAAACUCAUGUAUGUAUGUAAGCUUAUUAUGAAAUGAAAAUAAGACACUAUCUACAUGAUUGUUCUUAAUUUUAUGUUCAAGAAAUGACACAUGGUUAACAUUUAAUAAUCCUACUGAUUAAACUAAUUAACUCAUAUUUGACAUUUAAUUUUUUUAAAAAUAAAUAUAUCAAUUGAGUUAUAAACAUACUUGAUUGAGAUAUUAAUCAUAUAUACUUAUAUAAAACAUAAUUCAACUUGAUUAUUAAAUGGGUUAAAUAAGAUAUACAACAUGUUACCUAUUUAAUAAUUAGGUGGUAAUUGGGUUUAUGUUCUUAACACAAUUAACAUUGGUGUCGGGUUUGGGUUAACCUAUAUAGUAAAAUGUUUAGGCUUUGACAUCACACAAACACGAAUCAUCAAUAUGAAUCACCACCCUUACAUUUGAACACAUACUAAAUGAUAUAAAAACUUUGUUGGGUUAACCAAUAUGGAACAUGUUACCAUAAAUCUUUAGUUUUAUGACCUGAUCAACUCAUUUAUGGGGCUUUUUGCUAGUGGAAAAUUUAAAAAUAUUUUUUAAAAACCAGUACCACGAAAAAUAAUUCUAAAACUAUCGUACUUAUAGAUUUCAAGUAGAAAUCGUCUUUUGAAAACACAAGUUUAGUAUUAAAAAAAUUUUAAGAUAAAAAUUGAAUUCAUUUUUUAAAAAUUAGUGCAAAAAAUAAACUCAUCCUUUCAAAAGAUAAGUUUAGUAUAAAAAGUGAAUUUAUCUUCUUUUUUUACAUGGAUUCAAUACAAAAAUAAAACAAAUUGUGGAUAGGUUCAUAAUUUUAUAUCUAUUAUUGGGUUAUUUGGACACAUGACUCAAAAUAACUAUCAAAAUGUAAAAAUGAUCCCUCCUUUUAAUUUUGUUGAGAAAUAUCCCUCUUUGGACACUUAUACCCAAUUUUGUUUCCUCCAAAAACAUAUCUUCUCAUUUAUUUUUUUCAUUUCAUCCUAUAACACAUUUAUCUGUUUUAAAUUUUAUUUAUUACAAAUUUAACCUAAGUUAAUUUCUCAUCAAAGAUGACUCAUUAUUGUUUUUAUUUGAGAUGUUCAUUUGAAUUAAAUUUUAUUUAUUACAGAUUUAAUAAAGAUUAAUUUCUCAUUAAAGAUGCUCUCUUGAACUCUACUAGAGUUAAGCUUGGUUCAUAAAGAACUUAUUUAGAGUUAAGUUCUCAAUUAUAAUGGUAAUAUAAAUUAUACCAUGGUUAAGUUUCAUUUAAAAAUAAUUUAACUAGAGUUAAGUUUUUGUUUCAUCUACAAAGAAUCAAUUAUAAUGACUUAAAUUAUACCGUUGUUAAGUUUUAUUUAAAACAAAACUUAACUAAGGUUAAGUUUCCAUUUUAUUUACAAAAAAAAAAAAAAAAAAACUUGAUGAACUUUGGUCUCAUCUUCACAUUUUAGAAAUUUAGAUGAAACUACAAAAAAAAAAAAAAACCUCAACAAAAUAACCAAAAUUCAACUGCAAAAAUCCUAAACCAAAAUCCCAUCCGAAAAAACCUAAAACAAAAUCCCAAUAAAAUUCCUUAACCAAAACCACAUCCCAAAAAAGCUAAACCAAACUUCCAACAAAAAAAUGAGAGUUGUGAUUGAUUUUUAUCUAUUGAUAUAUGUUAUGGGUUUGAGCUUGACUAGAAAACAUGGGGAGAAGAACAGGUUAUCAAAAAUGGAGAAGUGGAAGGGCAAUGAAUCAGAAAUGGCAGGGAGAUGCCAUUUUUAAGGAAAAAGAAGGUAAUAAUGCUUAAAAUAUGUCAUUUUCUUAAAAGAAUAAACAAAGAAGGUCAUUCUUCCAAUUUCACACAUAUUCAAGGUUUUUUAACCAAAUAUCUCCUUAUUUUUUUUAAACAACUAUUUAUUAAUAGUAUUUUUAAAAAAAACAUCCUCAUUUAUGUAUACAUCAAAUACAUUUUCCUAUAUUGAGUUACAGGAAAAAAAAAAAAUCACUCCUCUUAUUACAACCAUUGAUAGCAUUACUAUCCUUGCCUUCUUAAGCCCUAUUCAUGCAUGCAUCAUAUUGGACAAAGACAUGAACUUCAAGCCUGUCUGGCUAGCUAGUCCGGUAAUAUUUAAUUGGCUUUGUUUUCUUUUUUUUUUUUUGGUCUAAUUUUUAUGUCAGCUUACUAAGCUUUCAAUUUACCUAAAAGCUUUAAGUUUUUUGAAUUUGUACAUGGACUCAUUAAAUGGGAAAAUAUAUAUAUUAGUCCUAUUAAAGAAGGCUCUGAUAUCAUAUUAUACUCUUAAUGAACUUAACAUUUUAAGUUGUUAGAGAAUAACACAAUGUAUAUUAAGUUGAUUUAGUCUUUAAUCUUAGUGUAGGUAUAACUCUUCGCUAUAUUUCUAUAUAUGUUUGGACUUGGAUUAAAAAUAUGAGAAUAAAAAUUAUAGUUACACUUUAGUGAACAGUUGUGCCAAAAUCUAUGGUUCUGCUUGGUUGGUGUUUUUGAAAACUGUUUUGGAAAAGAGUUUUUAAGAACAGUUUUUUGUAUUUUCAGAAACAAAAUUGCUUUUGGAAAUUGAAUUUUGAAAAAUAGUUUUUAUUCUCAAAAACCAAAAAAUAUGUUUGGUUGAGUUAAGAAAAAAAAGUGUUUUAGAACCAAAAAAAAAAAAAAAAAAAAAACAUGUUUGAAAGUUGGUUUUUUUUUAAUUGAAUGUUUUUUUUGUAACUCCUCUCGACUAAUGAAAAAAUAUAUAAAUAAAAAAAAAUUCAACAAAAGAUAAUAAUAAUUGGUUUUGUUUUUCAAAGUUGAGUAUUUUCUUUAACUAAUUGAUAUUAUAAAUAUAUAAAUAAUUUUUACAUUCACUUUUUUAAAAAAUAAAAUGUUUUAUUUUGAAAAUUUUAUGCAUUGGUUUUAAUUUUUUUAAAUAAAGGAUUACUUUGUAAACAUUUCUAAAUAUGUUUUAUUUCAAUAAUUGUUAAAUUAUAUGAUCAAAAUAUCAUAAAUUGGUAAAUAUCAAUUAUUGGAUUUUAUGAAUAUAUCAAAUAGUAAUGCAUUAUACUUAGAAAUAGAUGAUGUAUUUUUUCUAUUUUAAAUGUAAUUAAUAAUAUAAAAAAUUAAUUAAUAAUGAUAUAUUUAUGAUAAUUUUUUGUUAAAAAUAUUUAUAAUUUUAUUUAAAAUUAAAUUUUAUUUUAUAUUUAAUAAUUAUAUAAAAGAUAAAAAAAUUAAAAGUAAAUCAAACUAAUUUAUUUAUAAAAAUUUAUUAAUUUUCACUAUUUUACUUAUUUUACAUAUAUAUAUAUAUAUAUUGGGAUUGAAGUCCUGUUCUCAUUUCUCUCAUUCUUCUUCUUUCCACUCCUAUUCUCUAUUUCUCUUUCCCUCCUAUCUCCAUUUUUCUUCCAACAUCCAAACUUUUAUUCACGACGGUUGAAUUAUUUCUCUCUUCUAAGAUCAAAAUAUUACUUACUAAGACCAAAAUCCAGAUUGUUGUUGUUGUAAAGAUUCCUAGUUAGGGUUUCAAUUUUUGUUUUAAUUUUUUUGUUCUUUUUUAUUUUUUUGCAUUCUUGGUCUUUAAUUUGUGUUAUUGUUUAUGUUUUGUUUGGUUUAUGGGAAAUCUUAGAAUUUAUGGAGGUUUUAACUUUGAAAUGCAUCCGAAAAAUCGAAUGGGGAUAAAUCCUAAAAUAUCGGAAAAAUAUUGAAACGGAAAUGACCAAAAAAUAAAAAAUAAAAAUUAUUGGAUAAUGUUAAGUUUUUUAUUGAUUUUUUGUUAGACCGAUUUUUUGAUUUUUUUUUUUUUUUAACAUUUUCCCUCAUAGUGUAAAAAUUUCCCUUCACAGUGAAGAGAUGAGAACACCUAAAAACACUAAUUGAAAAUAUGAAGAACAUUCUUUUUUUUUUUUCUUCUUAGAACAAUGGCAAAAACACGAAAAACACCAUUUAUUUGUUCUCUCAAAAUCGGGCUUUAGAAAACACGGAGAACACAUGGGAACAAAAAACACGCUCUUAUCAAACACGUUUUGUGUGUUUUUUGUUCUUAAAAAUAGAAAACUAUUUUUGAAAACACUAAUCAAGGCCCUAUAUUUUAUAUUCAUUUCCAAAAUUAGUAAUUUAGUACCCCUUCAACUUAAAAUUAGUGCAAAGCGUGCCCCACGGCCACCGACUAGCCAUGUUCUAUGUAGAAAGUUACAACCCCAUCUCUAUGACUCUACCUAAUUUUAUACUAAAAAAAAUUGCGAUUAAAGUUCAAGUCAAUCCCACUUCAACAGGCAGGGUGUGAUUUACAAUUUUCAACUACUUCAUCAUAUAGGUCUCUAGUUGUCAUUUUUUAAAAGUAAUGCGCCGCAAAUUUGAGUAGGGUUGUUGAUCCUUCACUCUCACCCUCGGUACCUCCAAAGUAGCCGUCUAAGCUAGAUUCCAAGAAGACUGGUGGAGAAAUUAAUUUUUAUGUUGUUAACCCCCCUCCCAAUUAGAAGGUUUAGAUCCACCCCAUGUGCAGCCUCACAGUUUUAUACGGUUGAAAUUGAGAUCCCAAAUGGUGAAGGUGCCUUUAUAGUACUUUGAGCUGAAAAGAAUCUUAGGUUGCUAGCUGCCAUAGCGUGUAGUUGUGACUAUAUUAAGACCUCCGGUUAAUAUAUAUUUCUAUAUUUAAGCCUACUUGCAGUCCUUCGCCACCUUCUUGGGUCAUGUGUGAAUGGCACAGCAUCUUGGUCUUUCUUUUUAUAAAGACUCUCUUCUUCAAAAAGACAUGCUUCUGUACGUGAUUGUCGAGAGAAUCAAUGCGGCCUUACAGCUUAUUGAAACUGUUAAUUAUAAGAAAAUUUUACUAACAAUUCAUCGUUCGAUUGUAAAUUUCAGUUCAAUUUUGAAGAUCUUUCUAGGAACUCCAUUUGCAACAAUACAAUCCUUUGAUCACAAUUUCACUUGAAAUAUGAUUUGAACCUUAAAUUUCAUUUAAAAAAGAUGGUAUUCUAGUUAACGUGCAGAUCAUUCUCAUUCAACAGAAUCAAAAUGAUUUUCAUUAUUUUUUGAAGUAAUAACCUCUCUUCGAGAUGCCAAAAUGGCUAGGUUUUACCUGCCUGAGGGUUCGGACAUACUGCGGCCACCCUUUUCUCCCAUGUGAUGCAGUUAACUUGAUGGAAUCUUGGUCGAUGCUUGAUUCGCACAUGGGACAUCUUUUUGAGUCCUUAAAUACCGAUAUGAGGUGCAAGGCUUCCAUAUCCCUCCUCCUUCGAUACUGUUUUGAGCGUAGGUCUUUAGCCUCUCUCUCUCACUUUCCCUGGGCUAAUUUGAGCUUAGUUCUUGGAGACUACCAAUCCAUUCUUCUGAUUAUGGCCAAGUUCAUUUGCACUUGCUUCCUUUUUCUCUUAAUGAUUGUUUCUCAUGAAGUUCUCCAUAUUGAAGGAAGGAGCUUGGAGUUAAAAAGGAAGUUGAAGUGUGUAAAAUGCUUGAGCCCUGAUGAGGAAAGCAUUAAUACAAGAGAGGCUAGAGAAACUGUUGCGAGCCCCAGUAACUCACACAAUGACCAUAGUAUGCAAACUAUGGAAGUAUAUGUGGACGCUUUUCGACCAACAACUCCUGGACAUAGUCCCGGUGUUGGUCACUCCCUUCGUAACUAAGUAUCGAUUUGCCUGUCAUAGAUGUCUUGAUGUGCAUACGUUCUCACUUGUUAUUUCACUGUCAUCAUUGUAAGCUUGUUCUUUACAUUAGAAGUAGUAGAUUGUGUAUGUAUUUUCGCUUCCUACAGUAUAACUCCUGUAUUCUGAACGUUGUAAUAUGAUUUUAGGCUUGUUCCAUCCUUCCAAGUUGUAUUUACUAUUCUCUUGGCUCAAUCACUAGCAGCCUCCAUUAAAAUGACUGAUGUUUAGAUUGUUUGCAUCUUAUUGCACAUACUUCCUUUCAUAAACCUAAUAAGCAUAUAAGGAUUAUUUGACUCUUCUUGAAAGAAAAUAAGUGGGAGAAGACUACCAUGCAACACCUUAUAAAACAAAUUAAAUGUUACUCUUAAGAAUUCGCCGAGGAUUAAAAUCAUCUAUAGGCACUUAGUUGAGCACAAUUAUUCCUCGAUCUACUUACACACAAGAAGAUCUCAGAAAUUUACCCAUAUGCAGCCGUCUACAUUCAAGGCAUAGGCAAGGAGAACAAGUGCUAGUAUAUAUGCAUAUAUGAUACGACAAUGGUGCUGCAAAUGAUAAUGAACGUUGAAGGUUGCAAUUGUCAAGAUUUUUAAAUAUCUGCUGCUAUAGUAAUGCUUGAUAAUCUAUAUGAUAUAUCUAGAUUGAAGUAGCAUGACCUAGUACAAAAUUUACAUUUAUUAUCGUUAAAUUAUAGCUGUUUUUGGAAAAUUGAAGUAAUGUUAAAAUAAAUAAAUAAAUAAAUAGAGAAAAUCUCUACUGGCAUAUAAGAGUUUUAAUGAGAAAAGAUGGAGAUUAUUAGCUAAUUAAGUGAAGAUGGAGAGGUGUAGGAAAAGUUAAAAGGCUUUUAACUAACAAAUUAAAGAUGUUCCUCAAUGUGUGGAGGCAUGUACUGAAGCACUUUUUCUGCUCAUCUUUACUUUUCCUCUGGCUUAAUUACUUUCCAGACCCUGUUUACUUAUGUCAAACUUCAAGUUAAUUAAGGAGAAUCAAACCAAUGUGAUUUUAUUCCGUCGUGAUUUCUCUCUCCUUUAUCUUUAUUUCUUUUAUCCCAAACCCUACUAAAAGUCCUUUAAUUAUUUCAACUUUAAAUCUAUACUAUCAUGGAUCCCACGAUAUUAAUGAAUUAGAUUGAUAUACUUCAUCCGUGUUACAAGGUCCUUAAUGUAGGUGAGAUUCCCAUUGUUUUGAACCUUGCAUCAUGCCUUUCUUUGAGGAUGCCACUGUAGCAAGUUGGUUCCAUCUAUGAAGAAUAAAACAACAGAAAAUCACUCUUCUAAGAGAAGAAAGACUAGCUAGGAUAUAUAGGAAUAUUUUUCCUCGAAUAAUGGAUUGAGGCUUAAUUAAUUAAAAGCAUUUUAGAAUUAAAAACAAUUAAUUGAUAUUAGUUCACGUUCAAUGUCAAAUUUUAAUUUCAUUGCUUUGAUCCUUGUUUAAAAAAUGACUUCAACAGUGAAAUCCAUCAUAGUUACCUGGAGGGUUAGAACAUGCAUGGUCUGGAAACACAUGGGCGGCAUGAAGUUGCUGCCAGCAGACACACUUGAACAAGAAUAAAACAGAAAAGAUCUUAAAAGAAAUCUCUCACCAACCCCAAUAGACUAAAAAGAAAUCUAAAAAAACAACAUAUCAAAUUGGAAUAAAAGUAAACUGGAAGGACCAAAGAAACUGGGGUCCCACUAAAUUUUGUCUGAGAUACUGAUCAAAAAAUUUAUGUCAAAAACUACCCUAUGAGUCAGUGUCAGUCAUGACCUCCUCAAGCUGGGGAAGCCACUUUUUGUUUCUUUUUCAUUCAGUUUUGCCAUUAACUGCAAAAACGAAUAUUGUGCUCUUGGUAGCCAAUGAUCAUGUUAGUUUGUCACAACAACUUAUGAAGUGAAAGGUUGGAACUACAAAAAGUUGGGGUGUAAAGUUAGGUUUGUCUACCCCAUAAGAUAGAAAAGAAGGAUUAAAGAGUACCCAGCUCACAAGAACCAUCCAAAUAAAACAGUAUUGUUAGGCAUAGUGGGAAGUUUCAUGGAGGAAUAGUGGGAAUUGGGAAAGGGCUAGUGCCAGGCACCCUGUUUAUUAAAACUUGAGUGCAACCCUUGGGAGUUGUUGAGGGGUAAAAGAGAGAGUGUCAGACAACAAAAUCUAUUUGAUUAAAGGUCCAACUGCCUUGGAAGUAUCUCAUGCCCCGUUGUGCAAUACUAGUGAGUGGCUUUAGGUCGAGGCACUUAGAAAAAUUUGAAGCCAAGAUUAAAGAACAUGCAGAAUAUAUACAAGUAGGCAGGCCUAAGAUAGUGUAAGCUUUUUAUUUAUUGAGUUUGAGAGGUGGGGCUUAAACCCUUAAAACAAACCGUCCAAUUUUUCUUUUCCUUUUGUUUGGAGUACAUCUCUCACCACACUUUAUGGAAUUUUUUCCACUGUUGAGUACCCUCAUAUCCUCCGCUGAGUCCGCUCCUACAACCUUAAAUACCACCCCUUCAAAUGGAGAGUUUAUUCAUAGGUUGAAGACCACAGUUGAAUAAGUGGUCUAGCUAGCUACCCUCUCUUCUCUCCCUUUCUUGCUCUCUUUCUCUGAUAUUAAUUGCUGAAUUUGCCAUCUCUCUUCUCCAUGGCAAACACUAGGUUCUUGGGUGCUUGUGCUGUUCUUCUUGUUUUGUUAUUAUGUCAUGAAUUUUCUUGUGUUAAAGGAAGGCAUUUGAGGUCUGCGAUGUGCAAAAAAUGCUCAAGGCAUCGCCAGACCAGUCUGCGAGCGACCGAGGCAGGUGAGGCCCCUAGUGGUCUGCCACAAAUGAGCACAAGCAAGAUGGAACACAUUGAAGACUUUCGACCCACCUCACCAGGACACAGCCCUGGUGUAGGCCAUUCUAUUCAUAAUUGAACUUCCCAAAUCCAAGUCCUUGUAAUUAUAUUUGUUGCGUGGCCGCACCACGAAACAUGGCAUAGUCAUUGCUCAAGGCAAUGCUGUAUGAUUUGUUUUCCUUCAUUGAUGUAUAUAAAUGUUUGCUUGUGAUCAUGAAUUCUUCUCUCUGCAGCCUCUUUAUUUCUACAGUUUACGUGCCCUUCUCCAUAUCUAAAUACAAACAAAACAAGGAAAUCGAACAAAAUUAAACUGAAUAGGACAAGUUUUCUCAGUGCCUUGCUAAGUUUUGAAUCAAUAAUAAAGGAUAAAUGUUCCUUGAAUAUAUGCAUCUGUGUCCUCGAAAUGUGCCCAAAGAAUUGAAAAGAAAAAUGAUGCCAUGUUCCAAUGGAUUGAAGGCUUUGCUUCUAGGCAAAAGCAUUAGUAAUAUAUGGGUUUUUUUUUUUUUUUGGCAAGAUAGGAGAAAUUUAUAUAUGCAGAGUCUUGUUGGAGACACAGGGAAUCCUAUCCAAAAAAGUGGGCAAAUGGAAAGAGGUUUGAGUUACUUGAAUGCUAUAAUGUGCAGAAUCAAAUCUUUCUGAUCUUAGUCUAACAUGGCCUGAUAUUGACACUGUCAACUUGUCUCAGAGUCCCAAGUCAUAACUGAAUCUUUUCCGUAUGCCCACAUUCAUAUAGAGGGAGAGAAUGUCUUUGUACCUUUAGGCGCCAUGCAUAUUCGCUUCACAUGCAAAGUUAUGGACGUGCUUUCUUCUUUUUGUUGGCUAUUUAGUUACCUACACAAUUGCCUUCAAAAUACAAAGUUACCAACAAGCAAAUAUGCAUGCAUGCAUUCCCUCGGGUGAACUUCAAACCUUUUGUUAACCUAAGCUUUGUAUUGCUUUAAACCAUUGAUUUGACCUAAAAAAAAAAAACACUCAAAAGCUUUAAGUGAUGGGUAAAUAAUAAAUACCAUCCUAAUAUUGGGCACGAACUAUACAAUAAUAUAUUAUCCCUGUGCAGUCAUGCUUGUAAAGCAUAGAAAAGUUAUUAAUGUUUCUUAGCCCCCUGUGUAUGUAUUGUGGGUCUAUUAAUACCUAGCAGUUUAAACUUUAGGUCAAAAAUUAUCAGAUUUCUAGUUAACUAGAUAUCGAGAGCUUAGCCUCUUAGAUCGAUUUGUAUUCAUGGCUAGAUGAGGAAAAUACAAAUCAGGAAAAGUGUGUGUUCAUGCCCACAUCUAAAAAUAAUAACAAAAUAAGAUCCUCUAAAAAAAUUCUUAAUUUGAAGAUAGUACUUAAAUGAUCCAAAGUAGUAUUUAUAUCAUUCAAAAGGUACUUCUAUAACUAUGGGAAAAUUUGUAAAAUUUUAGUUAUUUUUAAAUAAACGUAUUAAAUUUAGAUUUUUCAAAUUUAGAUUCUUAUUUUUUUUUGUGAUAUUGUUAAGGGCGUAGACAAAAAUAUAGUUUCCCAUCUAAAUUAGCACAAGCCUACAGGCAAAAUUAUUGUGCAUUCUUUAGAAUUCCAACUUGCUUACCACAUGAACACACAAAGAGCCAUUGUUGGAUCUAAUUAAGAAUCCUGAAAGAGCCAUCACUCCUUGGCUGAUAUAGCGGCUGUUGCCAGCUUCAAAAGGGUGCACCCCCGACUCCUAUGUUGAUUCCCAUGUACUUUAAAAAUUGCACCGAUUUAAAUAACAAAAGAGAAAAGGGUUUGGGGAAAAAAAGAAAAGAGAAAAGGCCCCCAGAAAAAAAAUAUAUAAAAUUAAAAAAUUAAAAAUUUUAGAAAAAAUAAUGACCGUACUAAUAUAUAUACUAUUCCAUCACAGUGAUCUAUGGAAUCUCGAAUCUGUAAUGCAUGGACAGAACUAAGAAUCCAAAAAACCUGCAGUGGUUGAUAGUCAUUUGGCCCCACGUGCACUAGACAUGGUGGUAGUUAAGUUAGUUUAAACUUUAAACUUAAGGCAAGAUCAAGAAAAUCGGAGCCCACGUUGAUGCUUUUUUUUGGAUUUAUUUAUCAAAAACAAAGAUACGUUCUUAAGUUUAUCCCCCAUCCCAGCUCAAAGUGUUUUCUUAGGUUUCUCUAAAUGCCAAUUUUUUUCUACUUUGGUGGUUUGGCUGCACAUGGAGACAACCCCUCGUGGGCUCACUUAUAAAAUUAGGCAAGUUGAAGCAUGCGCUUACCAGCGAAUGAUCUGUGUCGAUCUUAAUAAGAAACUAAAAGAAUAGCCGUUCGUAUGUAUAUUAAAUUUUUUAAAUUGGCUGAUCACUUUCCAAGAUUCGUUGCAAGAGAAGUUUGGAUCCAUAGUGAUGAAAUGGCCUAUUAGUAUUAAUCAAAUAGUCACUUAAUAUAUUUCAGUUGCUUUGACUAUGAAUUUACAGUUUUGUAACCGUGGCUGGUAAGGUGUUGCUGGUUGCACUCAUGUGUCUUUCUGUUACAGUUGUUUCCAUGGUGCUUGCCUCCAAGGAUCAGAGUCAUAUUAGCUGGACUGAGCUGGUCCGGGUAGAUGGUUCCAUCCACUUUACAUUUUCAGCAAUAUAGAAAACACUUAGUCAGGACAAUGAGUUACUUGUAUGCUGACUGUUGACAAUUUCGUGCCAAUAUUUUCUAGCUUGGGAAACCUUUUAGAAUAUGAUUUAUUCUUCGCUAAAGAUCCAAAGUUGUUGUUAACUUAACCGAAAAGUCACAAUUAAGUUUUAAAAAGUUUGUUUAGUAGCAAGUUAGGUGAUUAAAGAGUUAAAAUAGAUUAGUGUAUUUUCUAUGAAUUAAAAAUGCUUAAAUUAAUAUUUUAGGAAAAGAGGAGACACUUGAACUGUAGAAACAACGCUUAAACAUUGGAACCACUCAAACACUUAUAUGACACUUAAGCGUUUAAGGCACUUAAGUGGUAGGUAAGAUGCUAUAGGUAAGAUGCUAAAGCAAUAAAUAAGUGCACUCGAGGUGUUUGAGCAAUGGGUAAGUGUACUAGAAAAAUCAUCCCAAAUCUAUCAAAAUAUGAUAGGUUUAUUUUUUGGAAAUUCACGUGUAUUCUUUUUGAAAAAUUCAAAAUACCAAUCCCAUAAACCUAUAAGCCUAUAUAAACCUUCAUUAACCCAAUUUAGGAUUGGACACUCAUUAAGAGGUUAGUCUAACUUGCCCUACUAUUCCCAAUUUCUCAAGAAAGAUUCAAUACUUGAAUCUUGGAGUGUUAAAAGACCUGCAUCCCUUCAACGAAGCUAAGAAGAAUUCACUAAAGCAAUAAGAAAUUUUUUAUCACAAGCGUAGAUCAAAUUGUGGGUUCUAAAAUGUCAAUUUUAGGGAUAACCAACCAGGUAAUUCUAUAAGACUUAAUCUCAAUAAUGGAUUUUAAAUUAGAGGUCUUAAACCCCAUGUUUGUUUUAUGUCCAUAAUUAGUGUGAAGAUUUUUCACAUAAAAAUUCUUAUGUCCCUUACUUAUAUGUUUGAUAUUUGAUUAUUUUAUUUAUCCUUGAUAUCUCCUAUUCUAAUAGUCUAUUUGUUCAAACAUCUAUUCACCCCCUUUUGGUGUUACUCUAACAGACAACGGUUUUUCACACUCGUUGCCCAUCGUUUGUUACUAUGAAACUGAGGAUGCAAGAACUGAUGAUAUAAGGUCCACAGGACCUGGUCACAGCCAAGGUGUUGGCCAUGUAGGACUUCAAAAUUAGUGGGAUAUUUAAUCAUGUUAUGAAUAAGAUGUGUUUGAUUUGGAUGUCCUGGUGUAAAAAUGUUGUUUCAAGUUUAUGUUUGCCACUCCUUGAAUCCCAUUUAUCCAGCUGCCUAGCUAGAUAGUUAUAUGUAAGCUUUGAAUGAAUCACUUUUUUCAGUCUCUCUAAUCAUGUGGACAACUGCUAUACAUAUCAUAAAGGUUAAGGUAAUAACUGUAGUUAAUGUAUGGCAUUUUUCACAUUAUAGUUCAGCUGAUUUGCUUUUCACAGACUUGGGUUCCAGGCAGCUCCUAGAACUCGGAGAUCUCCUCUCUGGCAGAUUGUCACAAGAGCUUUCUCACUCUCUAGUCCUAACAGAAAAGGAAAAUGGCAGAAUCGACUAAUGUUGUUUGGGCUGCAACUGGCUCUGGGAUUUGCAGGCUUUGAAGAGGCCAAGGCCCAUUGCUUUGAGGCACAAGACAAGUUAAAAACAUUUGGCAUGGCAACCUUGGAGGAUUGGUCUUCUAAUACUGGACUUUUCUCAAUAGUACAGUAAUUUAAAAAAGUUAUGCUUAAAUUAUUGUAGUAGAAGAAGUUAUUACAAAUAUGUGGUAGUUUUUGCCACAUAGGAGAGAGGAGAGAGGAGAUAGGAGAGAGGAGAGAGGGUGAACGGAUAAAAGGGAACUCGUCUCUUGAAGAGACAAGUUCCAUGAAAAAAAAAAACAAUUUGGAACUAAAGGGAACUCGUCUUUUGAAAAGACGAGUUCCCAUGGGAAAAAAAAUAUUUUUUUUUUAAAUAUAUAUUUUUAAAAAAAAAAUCACAAAUUAAAAAAAAAAAAAAAAUCCUAAAGGGAACUCGUCUCUUCAAGAGACGAGUUCCCAUGUAAAAAAAUUUUUUUUUUUUAAAAGAGACGAGUUCCCAUGGAAAAAAAAUAUUUUUUUUUAAAAUAUAUUUUUUGUUUAAAAAAAAUCCCAAAUUAAAAAAAAAAAAAAUUCCUAAAGGGAACUCGUCUCUUCAAGAGACGAGUUCCCUUGGGAAAAAAAAUAUUUUUUUUUUUAAAUAUAUUUUUUAUUUAAAAAAAUCUUGGUAGUUUUUGCCACAUAGGAGAGAGGAGAGAAGAGAGAGGGUGAGAGAGACGAGAGAGGAGAGAGGGUGAACGGAUAAAUUUUUUUAAAAAUUCCCCAUUUACUCAAGGGAACUCGUCUCUUCAAGAGACGAGUUCCCAUGCGAAUUUUUUUUUUUUUUUAAAUAUAUUUUUUAUUUAAAAAAAACUCUCAAAUUAAAAAAAAAAAAAUUCCUAAAGGGAACUCGUCUCUUCAAGAGACGAGUUCCUAUGUAAAACAAAUAUUUUUUUUUUAAAAUAUAUAUAUUUAAAAAAAAAUUCCUAAAGGGAACUCGUCUCUUCAAGAGACGAGUUCCAUGGAAAAAAAAAAUAUUUUUUGUUUUAAAAAAAAUCCCAAAUUAAAAAAAAAAAAAAUUCCUAAAGGGAACUUGUCUCUUGAGUUCCCAUGGAAAAAAAUAUAUAUUUUUUUAAAAUAUAUUUUUUGUUUUAAAAAAAUCCCAAAUUUAAAAAAAAAAAAAAAAAAUUUCCUAAAGGGAACUCGUCUCUUGAAGAGACGAGUUCCCAUGGAAAAAAAUAUAUAUUUUUUUAAAAUAUAUUUUUUAUUUUAAAAAAUCCCAAAUUAAAAAAAAAAAAAUCCUAAAGGAACUCGUCUCUUCAAGAGACGAGUUCCCAUGGGAAAAUAAUAAUUUUUUUUUUAAAAUAUAUUUUUUAUUUAAAAAAAUCCCAAAUUAAAAAAAAAAAAAAAAAAAAAAAAAAAAAANNNNNNNNNNNNNNNNNNNNNNNNNNNNNNNNNNNNNNNNNNNNNNNNNNNNNNNNNNNNNNNNNNNNNNNNNNNNNNNNNNNNNNNNNNNNNNNNNNNNAAAAAAAAAAAAUUCUUAAAGGACUUUUUUUUUUAAAAAGGGGGUUUCCCUGGGAAAAAAAAAAUUUUUUUUUUAAAAAAAUUUUUUUUUUUAAAAAAACCCCCAAUUUUAAAAAAAAAAAAAAAAAAAAAAAAAAAAAAAAAAACAAUUCCUCAAGGGAACUCGUCUCUUCUAGAGACGAGUUCCCAUGUAAAAAAAAAUUCCUAUAGGGAACUCGUCUCUUGAAAGAGACGAGUUACCAUGGGGAAAAAAAUAUAUUUUAUAUUUAAAAAAAAUCCCAAAUUUAAAAUAUAAAAAAAAAAAAAAAAAUUCCUAAUGGGAACUCGUCUCUUGAAAGAGACGAGUUACCAUGGGGAAAAAAAUAUUUUUUUUAAAAAAAUAUAUUUUAUAUUUAAAAAAAAAUCCCAAAUUUAAAAAAAAAAUUCCUAAAUACCCAUGGGAAAUAUUUUUUUUUAAAUAUAUUUUUUAUUUAAAAAAAUCCCAAAAUUAAAAAAAAAAAAAAAAAAAAAAAAAAAAAAAAAAAACCAUUUCCUCAAGGAACUCUUUUCUUCGGAAAAUUUUUUUUUUUUUAAAAAAUAUAUAUUUUAAAAAUUCCAAAGGAAACUCGUCUUUUCAAAAAACAAUUUCCAUGAAAAAAAUUUUUUUUUUUUUUUAAACCCCAAUUUAAAAAAAAAAAAAAAAAAAAAAAACAUUUCCCAAGGGAAACUCUUCCCUCCAAAAAACAAUUCCCCUGGGAAAAAAAAAAUUUUUUUUAAAAAAUUUUUUUUAUUAAAAAAAAACCAUUUCCUCAGGGAAACUCUCCUCUUGAAAAAAGAAUUCCCCUGGAAAAAANNNNNNNNNNNNNNNNNNNNNNNNNNNNNNNNNNNNNNNNNNNNNNNNNNNNNNNNNNNNNNNNNNNNNNNNNNNNNNNNNNNNNNNNNNNNNNNNNNNNGAAAAAAAAAAUUUUUUUUUUAAAAAUUAUUUUUUUUUUAAAAAAACCCCCCUUUUAAAAAAAAAAAAAAAAAAAAAAAAAAAAAAAAAAAAACCCUUUCCCCAAGGGAAUUUUUUUUUUUUGGGGGGGGUUUCCCUGUAAAAAAAAAAUUCUUUUGGGAAAUCUUUUUUUUAAAAGGGGGGGUUUCCCCGGGGAAAAAAAAAUUUUUUUUUUUUUAAAAAAAUCCCCAAUUUUAAAAUUAAAAAAAAAAAAAAAAAUUUCUAAAGGGGAAUUUUUUUUUUAAAAAGGCGGGUUUCCCCGGGGGAAAAAAAAUUUUUUUUUAAAAAAAAAUUUUUUUUUUUUAAAAAAAAAUCCCCAAAUUAAAAAAAAAAAUUCCAAAAACCCCCGGGAAAAAUUUUUUUUUAAAAAUUUUUUUUUUUUAAAAAAACCCCCAAAUUUAAAAAAAAAAAAAAAAAAAAAAAAAAAAAAAAAAAACAAUUCCUCAAGGAACUCGUUUCUUCAGGAAAAUUUUUUUUUUUUUAAAUAUAUAUAUAUUUAAAAUUCCUAAAGGAACUCGUCUCUUCAAGAGACGAGUUCCAUGUAAAAAAAUUUUUUUUUUUUUUAAAUCCCAAAUUAAAAAAAAGAAAAAAAAAAAAAAACAAUUCCUCAAGGGAACUCGUCUCUUCAAGAGACGAGUUCCCAUGGGAAAAUAAUAAUUUUUUUUAAAUAUAUUUUUUAUUUAAAAAAAACCAAUUCCUCAAGGGAACUCGUCUCUUGAAGAGACGAGUUCCCAUGUAAAAAAAUAUAUAUAUAUUUAAAAAAAAAAAAAUUCCUAUAGGGAACUCGUCUCUUGAAAGAGACGAGUUACCAUGGGGAAAAAAAUAUAUUUUUUUUUUAAAUAUAUUUUAUAUUUAAAAAAAAAAAUUCCUAAUGGGAACUCGUCUCUUCAAGAGACGAGUUCCCUUGGGAAAAAAAUAUAUUUUUUUUAAAUAUAUUUUUUAUUUAAAAAAAAGCCCAAAUUUUUAAAAAAUAAAAUUCCUAAAUUCCCAUGGAAAAUAUUUUUUAAAAAUAUAUUUUUUAUUUAAAAAAAUCCCAAAUUAAAAAAAAAAAAACAAUUCCUCAAGGAACUCGUCUCUUCAGAAAAAAAAUAUUUUUUUUUAAAUAUAUAUAUAUAUAUAUAUUUAAAAUUCCUAAAGGAACUCGUCUCUUCAAGAGACGAGUUCCAUGUAAAAAAAACAUGGGAACUCGUCUCUUUUGUUUUUUUUUUUUUUUUAAUUAGGAUUUUUUUAAAUAAAAAAUAUAUUUUAAAAUAAAAAUAUUUUUUUCCCCUUUUAGUUCCAAAUUGUUUUUUUUUUCAUGGAACUCGUCUCUUCAAGAGACGAGUUCCCUUUUAUCUGUUCACCCUCUCUCCUAUCUCCUCUCUCUCACCCUCUCUCCACUCUCCUCUCUCCUAUGUGGCAAAAACUAUCACAUAUUUGUAAUAACUUCUUCUACUAUAAUAAUUUAAGCAUAACUUUUUUAAAUUACUAUACUAUUGAGAAAAUUCCUUCUAAUACUUCAUGAUCACUAGUGGGCAGUUUCUUUUAAUGGGUUUCCUCAAGUUUUUGCUAAUAAGAUGGCCGGGGGGCUUCUUCAACUCCACUCCUGAUUCCUCGUCCUUGGAAAGUGGACUAUGAAGCGAAAAGAGUUAAUGUGAGUGGUCCGUAGUUUCUCAGAGCUAGCUUUGUUGCCCACAUCAUGAAUACGAGUCUAUCAUCCCAUUCUAAAAAGACUCAAUAAACCAUUUGCUUGUUUCCCAAGCCAAAGUCACCCAUCAACCCCUGUAUUGUCUCAAACAAAAAUGAAAGGUAAAGAAAAAAGCAGUUAAUGAUUGAUGAUUUUGAGUCGCCAAGUGUCAAGCUCUGAUGUUCAAUUCAACCCCAAGGGCAAAGCCCGUACCCAUCUACUCAAGAGAAAGCGUGCAAUGUAACAUGAAUAGAGGUCCCCCAUGUCUCAACAUCUAUAAAAGAUUUAUAGGACAACUGUACAACACAGGCAACCAUUGAAAUCAACAUCCCAACAAAAUUACCCAAUCAACCAAAUUUAUGGACCCUUUCGUGGAAAAUUACACCUCAAUUUGAGGACCCAAAUGAGUGCCUUUUUUCCCUUUCUGAAAGUAAUUUUACAUUUGCCACAAAAGUGCAUCUUUAAACUCUGUUUCCAUCAAUGGGUAAGAGGGGUCAGGAAAAUGAUACAAAGCUACACGCCUACAUGAAUUAUAAAUAUGGAAGUUGCAUAUCGCUAUCAUAGUAUUAAUAGCCAUAAAUUAUUGAAGAUUCUAAGAUCAUAUAGGAUCAUCAAGGCACAUCAAAGGUAUCAACCAAGUGAGGUUUUUCUAGUGGAUCAACAUCAUUGCACUAAACGCACAAAUUCUUUUACGUAUCUUUACUAGAAAAAAGAGAUGGUUGCCCAAUGAGCUAAAGCCCACGGAAUACACAUGUGAGCACCACUGUGGAAAAAAAAAAGGGAUAAAGAAGAGACUGAGACUGAACAGGAACACCGGCUACUAGAUUUUCUCACACAUUACAUGUUUGAAAACAUCAACACAAGUUCUUAUAGAAGAGGAGGGAUUAUUUUCUGGAGAGCAGUCUUGAGGUCUGGUUCACUUGUAUUCCAAAAUCAUGUUGUUCUCGGGAGCCAAUCCAACACAAGCCCUUAGUAUGUUCUCGAGCAUUGCCCGCUGCUUCGCCAGUGCAUUCACCACUGGAGUGCCUGGUGGAACCUGUUUUUAAUACACCAACAAAACGUUACAACAUCAUAAUGCUAUCAACUAACUCUACAUUCCUCGCAUAUUCCAAACAAGAAGGUAAAACUUUGAUGUCAAAAGUCCUGAUUCAUGUGAAGUCAUUCACAUUCUUGUGAUGGCAGCAACACCCCAUGUGAUGGUCACAGAGGUCACAAGCACUGUGGUCCCUUUUCACACUAGUAGCCAAAUGUGUGGUUCUUAUCAAGUCCAAAUCAACGAUUAAAGGGGAGAAUAGAAUAUGGGGAACCCACCAAGUUUAAAGCUUUGAAAUGCAUGUAGAGAGACUUACCAGAGGGGCCUUGGUGAGGUAACUGAGGAUGGUGGCAACUGGGUGGAAGGAAUGAAACUUGUCCUGCAAAAUUGAACAUCCUAUGAAUCAUUCCAUGUGAUGGUAAAAACCAAAGCAAGAGGGUCCCAUAAGGAUGCAGAAGAAAACAGACCUCUCCUUCAGCUUUGAGCUGGAUGCGGGUGCUGAGCUCAGCAAGAAGGACCAAAUCCAAGAUGAUGGGAGCAGCUAAGAGUGAGUCCUCGCAGGUGUUGUGCAGCACAAUGGUGCUCUUCCCACCCAUGAAUAUCUCAGAAGUGUACUCAUCCAUGGCUCUCUUGCUAUCUCCAACAUAUGGCACAUACUGCAAUAUCAACAACACCGUAUAAUGUUAGCCAGUGAGAAUGAAUGAGUCCAAACCAGCAUCUGAAUUGUAAUACAUACAAACAAAAGGAGGGUUCUGCGAUAUACCUUGAUGACCACCACAUGGUCAGGGUGCUCCCCAGGCUCAUACAGGAUAGCGUUGCUGGCAACCAUGUCGUCGACAACAUUGCUCUUGGAGAUCUCCUUGGAGCGGAAGGUUUGAGGAGCAGACAGAUUCAUGCCAUCGUUGUUUCCCAGAUGGUUAUAGCUCACAAUGGAUGUUGGCUGUCACCACCAUCAUCAUCUUUCAAUAUCAUUAUUCAUACAUAAUCCUAUACAUGCAUACUUAUUUACUUUAAAAUUCUAAAUUUCAACAGAGGAAAUGCUAAAAAUGAUAUACCUUGAUGCCUGCCCCAACAAGGAAAUCCACCAAUACAGAUUUCAUCUUGGUUUGACCACUCUUAAAAUCAUCCCCACCAAUCAAACUAUUCCUCUUAAUAGCCAAAUCAAUCAGCCCUGAAGACAUACAAAGAUUGACAACAAAAACAUGAGUGAGAUUAGACGCCCCCUCUAUGAUGAAUUCAUAACCUUCACAUAGAAAAGGAAAAUUUCAGAUUAAGAACCUGGAACAAAAGUGUUCUGUGGGCUUCCAUUGAUAAAGGGAACAUUUUCCAUGACACAAGCCAGAGCAUACAAGGUGGAAGGAGAGAUCUCAGGCUCAUUCCUAUCCAGAGAAGCCAAGAGAUUUUCUAUGGUGUCAUUCAGUCCCACAAUCAAAUUACUGUAUCGCUCUGUGUUGGCAGUCCACAGCACCACCACCUUAUCCACCUUGGUUGCCUCCUUAAACUCCCUAAUCAUACAUACAAAAUCAGAAAAGAAGAAAAGCCCAUUCCAUUUUUAAGAUUCAUGUUUAAGAAAUUGAAGAUUACGACUACCUAAUAUCUUUAAUGAUCUGCUGGACCUGCUCUUUCUUGGUGCCUUUGAUGACGUUGUUGGCACGAGAGCAUUGGUUGGCAGCAAUGAAAUCAGGGUCAUAGAUUCCAGGGAGUGGGACCAUGGACUCCAUGUAGGGCCUCAGCUGCUUCUGCAGAUCAAUGUCCAGGACCUUAGCCCUGGCCAUUGCAUCUGCCAGGUUCAUGUCACUGAUGUCCCAUCCCCCAAAAACAAUGUCAUCUGGGUUCACCUGAUCAUUAUAAUAUAAAUUAUAUCAUACUAUAAAUAAAUCAAAUAAUGCUUUCCACACAUGCAAAUAUUUUCAAUGAAAUUGAGUUACUAACUUACCAUAGGGAGGAGGCUCUUGAAUGGAGCGUAAAUCUCCUCUCCAUUGUAGGACCCAACUCGGAUGGUCGAUGCCUGAGUCAGCGAGCCAAAGUAAUUGGCUGGUUGCACCUUGUCCUUGGUUGCCCAUGAAAUUCCCCUGAUAAAAUGCAUGACCCACUUCUCAAAAUUAAAAAUCAUUUUAAAAAAAUCAACAAAUCUCACCAACCAAACAGUUUUUUUUUUUUUUUAAACAAGUAUGGAGCAAAGCAGGGCAAGAACGAAGAAACUCACUCCCGAUUGGCAAUUACACCACCAGUGAGAGAUGAGCCGUUGUUUCCUCCCCAACCCACAAGCAUAACCCUAGUCAAAAACAGAAAUCAAUUCGGAAACAUGGAAAAUCAAAAAGGAAAAUUGGAAAGAAACACAGUUGUUAAGAUGCCAACCCUAGCUUGGGGACAUGGGCAUCGGUCCUGAAUUCAUAUUUGACGGUCUUGGGCUUGACAACCCAUUGGUAGGUGCCAUUCCUGUUCUCAUGAACAAGCUCGGUGGUCUCAUAGUCGUACACGGAAUGAAUCUCAUUCUCUGUGUACUUGACAUUAGGACUCUCAACCUUAAAGCUUUCGAUGAACAUUUUUUUUCUCUUCUCCGGGAAAAAAUGUGAACCAAACAAUAAAUUUCCUGGAAAGUGAGAGAGAAAAACAAGAAGAGAAAGCUUCUUCUCUCCCUCUGGCGCUCUAGACGUUGCUGGUUGUGUGCUCCUUCACUCGGCCACAAGCCAUCGUAUAUAUAAAUAAAAAUGUGGGGUGGCGGCACGUGUCGGGCGGUGAAUGGUGGGAAACCUUCGGUUGAAGGUCUUGGCCAUGUAACCGCUCGUACGGGUGACACGAGCGAGGUGAGUGGGACGUGUGGUGGGGACGAUGUGGCCUGGCCUUUACGCGUGGCGUGAUCCUGUGGACCCUGAUCAUGACUUUUCUCGGGCAAUGUGGGGUAUUUGAUUUUUGAGAAGGUGCUCGAACGGUAACGGUGACUCGUGAAAUAACAGCUUCAAUCAUAAAGUGGAAACCUCUCCAUAGUCCAAGUAGAAACAUUUUUUCCACGCUGGUUUGUCCAUGACACGUGGCUGAUAUGACGACAUGGGUUUAACCCUUUCCAUUCCGUUUCUCUCGCCCGGUCCCACCAUUCCUUUUUUCUUUUUUCCUUUUUUCUUUUUUCUAUUUCUCUUUAAAAUUUAUAUGAAAAAUUUUCUACUUUUAAUGGAAAGAUAUUAUCUUUGUUUACUUUUAUUUUAGUAAUAUUUUUAGUACAAAUAGUAUCUUAACGACCAUUUUAAGAAUUCAAGUGGUUGGUUAUAAAGAAAGACUAUAAUUCCUUAAGGUUUUUUUUUUGUCACACAACACAAGAGGAAACUUUCCUAUACUUUUACCAUUCAUUCUUAUUUAUUAAAAUCUUAUUAUUUUACAUGUAGGUAAUUUUUUGUAUAUGUCCAAAAUAUAAUAUAAAUUAAAAUAUUAAUCCUCGUUCAAAAACCUAGAUUUCAUCAUACUCGUCUAAUGUUUCAAUGUUUAGUACCUUGAACUUUUUGUAUUACAAAAAUUAAGAAUUUAUUUGAAAAUUUGUUCUUAAAGAUAGAUAUUUGUUGCUUAGAACAAAACUUUUUUUUUGUAAGAAUACAUUUAAGUUAUUUUUAAUUAUUUUUAUAGAAUAUUUUGAACAACAUUUAGAAAAAUGAAUAAGACUUUAUAUAUAUUUUUUCAAGUCAAGAAAAUGAUCUUUUAUAUUGGAUUCCUCAAAUAGAAUUUUAUUUCUAGAAACAAUUAAGAAUUGUUUCUAAAAACUAUUUUUUUUUUAAUUAUUGUAAAAAACAUUUUCUACUUUAAACAUUUGGUAAAUUUUUAAAAAUUGCUUUUAAAAGGUAUGAUAAUUAUUUUUAGAUAAUUACUUUAUAAUCAUUUUUUAUUGUAUAAUGCGUUACCUAUCAAAAUGUUUUUUUAUUUAUAUCCAAACAUUAAUAUUGUAUUUGAAUUUUUUUUUUUUUAAAAAAAAGCCAAUUUCCCUUUAAAUUAAUUAUUUUUCAAUCAUUAUUAUGAAAAAAAAAUCAAAUUUUCUAACCACAAUUAAGGAAAAAAAACCCUCUAAAGUGCAAAUCUUAUCAGAAAAAGAAAGACAAGUAACACCUCCUUCCUUUAAAUUCCCAUUUAAGGUUUUUCAAUCAUUUUCAUUUUCCUUAUCACAAUUAAAGGCUCUUCUUCAAUCAUACACCAACACAAUCCCCACUAGUAGAUUAUUUAAUAAUAAUUUUUCUCAAUUGUCUUAUCCUUUCUAUACUAUAUCAUUGAAUAAAUUUGGAUAAUUAAGUCAUCAAUUAAGACACUUAUUUAGUUGUAAUUAAAAUCUCAAAAUUUGAUGAUAGUAUUCUCCUUAGGUCCCACUAAGAUAUCGAAAAGAUAUUGAUUAAUUACAACAUAUUAAAUAUACAAUUCAAUCUCAUUAUUUUAUGCCUAAUGUUCAUCUCAUUCUUUAUUUAAUAAAUUGAUUUAUAUAUAUAUAUAUAUAUAUAUAUAUAUAUAUAUAUAUAUAUAUUUUGAUUUCAUUUAGUCGUAUAUUCAUAGAUGGAUCUAAAUUUUACUAAGAUUACAAAUUUGGUAAAUACAAAAACGAUUGUCUAGAAUUUUCCAUCUCCUUCCACUGGAAAGUAGAAAAGGCAAAAUAUUCACGUGAUAAAGAUAAAAAAGGAAAAGGUAAAAAGUCGGAUGUGGGAUUUCCAAUUUUCCACACUUGAUAGCCACAAUCAAUCCAUUCCACUUAGCAACUAAAAACAUUUUAACCAUCAAAACUGUCCACCUAAUAACCAAUUUCAUGUGUCAACUUCAUAAUUCAUGUAAAGAAAAAGACAAAGUUGAUGGGAGCUGUAAGAGACUUGAAGAGUUCAUAGAUUGAAUGGCAUGCCUCCACUGUAAAACGUCAGAAUCAAGUGAAGUUCAAGGGACAAAGACAAAGCAAUCGAGAACCAACGACCACGAGAUGGUUUGUGGUGAUGUGAAGAGCAUGGGGGUGAGUGGCCAUCCUCCGCCAGAAUGUUCACGGAAACCUGCAGCGGCUGCCAUGUUAGUGCCGACCCCACCAGCUUUGAAGUUACAGAACUACCAUUUUUGAAUGGCAUAACUAUUCUCGAAGAUGGAGAGGUGUUCCACUCUCAUUUUUCUUUCAUAGUAUAUUAUAUAAGUACUAUAUACACUCUGCAUGUGGUCCUCCACCUUAGUAUCACUUUCGUCUCAGUAAUCACACUGCCCAUCGUGGCUAACGGGAGAGAGGCGGGGGUGGUGGGGCGGCAUCAUCACAUAAUGCAUAUGGUAGUGCAAUUAUUUAAUCCUUACUAUUUCAAUAUGCCCACAUCAUUGUAAAAAUGUGUUGGAUGUAGAUUGUAGGUCCAUUGCCUAAUAAUUUAAGUGUUCUUUAUGGGUACAUAUGGAAAAGUUUAUGGGCAAAAUUAAUCAAAAUAGUGAAGUGACUAGUGAAAGAGAAGUAUUAUGGCAUGUGUUUGAGUGGGAUAAAUUGCUUUAAAUAACCAAACCAAGUGAAGAAGAAUCUUCAUACCCUCUACUCUUCUUGAUUUGAAAUUCAAUUUUGGCCUUAUUCCAUAAGGACAAAGAUGAAGAUAAGACGGGUGUCCUAAUGGGAUCUCAUUUAAAUGCCAAUUUCUAAAGAAAGCCUACAACUUUGUGUGGCAUUAGAGAAAAGUAUGUACAAAUGGGGCCCAUCACAAGAAAUGAUAGCUAAAGCCAAAAAUAAAAUAAAAUAAAAAUAAAAAGUAAAAGUAAAUUAAUGCAAUAUUCCACAGAAGAAAAUUAAACGUAAGAGGUGGGUUGGAAAAUUGAAUUUUCAUAUGUUUUUGAAAAGCCCACUGCACUUUUCCUCCCAUGUGAUUUGCUCAUCUCUCCCUUCACUUUUCAUUCAUGAACGGGUAGUGGUGUAACUUCACUGUCUCUGAAUAAUUGACAAAAAUUGGGUUUUUUUUCUUGCCCAUCAAAAAAGGGAAAUGGGAUCUUCUUUUCUAUUUAUUUUUUCCUUUUCUUUUGGCCUUUUCUUCUUUCAUGAAAGUAAGCUACUUUCUGACCAUAUAGUAAAUACUUGGAUGCUUCUGGUGUUCUGGAUUAUGUUUUCCGGAUCUGGGGCAACACAUGACUCAUGUGGGUAGUGACUAGUGAUUCAAAAUCACUUGCUGGUUGUGAACUUGUGAAACACAUUUUGAAGUUUGUGAACUCAAUUAUUGUAGGGCUCUUUGAAGACUUGCCACUCGUUGGUCUUUGCUUCUGCAUCCAAAAUUUACUGGGAGCUAGCUAUGAAUCUUUGGUAGAAUUUGUAGUAACUGUAAUCUAAUUAAGCCUGAUAUUUUUUUCUUUUAGUGAUUCAAGACAAGUUCUUGAGUCCAGAUUUCCCUUAUACCCAGAUUUCCUUGAUGUGACUUAGGAAAAUUCAGUGUCAAGUGUCGAUGAAUGGUUUAGUAGGUUGAAGGGGACAAUUUGGCGGGCUACUUUCAUGUUUAAAUAGAAGCAUACAUGUUUAAUUUCCACAAGGAAGUUUGGUUUACAUCGUUUUAGAAUGAAACUGCUUUCACAGUGAUGCUUCUUGUUAUUAAAUGUCGAGCAAAAGCAGAAUUCUCUUUCUUUUUUGUGAGAAGUAGAAUGGAACUUGCUUUCUGUGAGAAGUUGAUGGGACUUGCUGCUUUUUCCCCAGAAGUUGAAUGAGAUGUAUGGACUAUUCUGAUCCACAGUACUUGACAGUGGAAAUGGGCUGCUGCAAGAAUUCAUUCUUGUAGAUGUUCCCAGACACAUCUCAAAUAUUUUUAGCACUUUGAUUUCUUCCAGCUUUCCUGAAAAUUUUCAGUAAAAGAAGUGAGUCCUAGCCCACCUGCUAAUUGGUAUAUAUUCAUCUCCAUAUCUAGUCUUACUGCUAAGAUUAUGCUUAUAGAUGAUGAAAUACUCUAACGGUGAUUUGAGUCUAAAACCCGGGGCGGUACAUUUUAGCCAGAAUUGUUUGAUCCUGCUAGGGGUUGAGGGCAUGGUCCAUGAAUACUAGCCAAAAGAAGAGGCAUUAAUUGGAACCAGAACCACCCCAAAGUCUAGAGCCACUCUUUAUUAGAGGCAUGACAUUAGCCCUUGAUGCUCAAAGUUGAGGCCUUAAUUUCAACUUUCCCUUCUCAAGAAAAUGUUGUUUGGCCCCAUGGUUCUAAAUAACCAUGAAAAUAAACUACAUAACCAACCCUUUCCACCUUCUUUUCCAUGCUUUGGCCUGUGUCAUAAUGGAGCUGAAGCUUUAGAAGUACCAUGUGAUCCAUGUUUGAGUGAGUUCUCUUCCACUGAGGCUGCUUUCUUUUUCUUCUCUUUUCUUUUCACGGUCAUGAAGCCUAGUAGUUGAAAGGAAAAUGCCCACGAAAUUUCCUAAUGGGAAAGCAGAUAGUCCUGAUUGAUCAUGAGGCAGUGGUCAGAGUCCCAUUUCUUAACAUUGUAGUGUGCCCUAAAAGAGUCUCAAAAAACCGAAAUUAAGGUCUAGAGAAAUUAAAAUGAAUACUCCAUCUGUACUAGCAAAAAACCUAUGGCAGUCAACAUCAGUAUCUGUGCAGUGUCCUCUGAGCAAGUCCUCAAAAAGGCAUUCAUAUACAAAAUUCAAGACCAGGAGGCACAAGCCUGGUAUUGCAGCUAAGAUGUUGAACAAAUCAAAUUGUUAUAAAGUUGAAAAACAAUUCCUCUUAGUUAGUGUCCGGUUGAUAGUGCUUCUAAAAAGUACUUCUAACAUCAAAAGUAAUUUUGAAGAAAAAUCUAAGUGUAUGGCAAAAUUUAAAAACACUUUUAAAAAAUUCAAAAAUCACUUACAAUGUUUUUUGAAGUUGACACUUUGAACAGAAAAUCUGAAGAAUGCACUCUUACUCUAUGUAGCCUCUCUUUAACUUUCAAUUUACAAGUCAAGCAUCAGUGGAAAGGAAAUGAAAUGUUCUUCUGGGACUGGGUUGUAGUUUUUGGUGAAUCUGCAUAAAGGCCAAAACCCCAUUACUUUAUUUGAAUCUUCAGGACUAUUUCCUAAAGUUUAAUGUUUUAAAAUCAAUUGGGUUUCAAAGUAAAAGAACAUGCAACAUAUAAAAAGAUCAAGGGAACAUGAUAAACAAAAAAAAAAUUUAUACUUUUUAAAUUAAUUUUUGAGACAAAAUUCAAAAUUAAGGGAAUUUUUUUUCUCUUUUCAUAACCUAGAAAUUAUUAUUUUUUAUUUUUCAAAGGAAUGGUAAGAGUUCUAAUAUAAUGUAAGCAUCUCAUGUUACAUGUACUGGGUUUGAAAAACACAAGUUGGAUAUUGUCAUUUUAGGGUUGAAACCUUCAAUGAUUUCUAAUCAUUUUGGACUCAUGUGCAUCACAGACAAAAACUAGUUGGGCUUUGCCAGCCCAUUUGGUUAGCAUAAACAGGUGAGUGGUGACUAUCCCCAGGCCCAAGUAUCAGAGAGAGACUCUAUGCUUAAUCUGGGCUGGCCCACCACUAAUUUCAGAUAUAGGCUAAUUAUUGAUUAAUUUUAUUUAGAGAAAAUAGUUUUUAAGCAAGGAAGUAUGUCAUUUAAUUACCUAAAUAAAUUAGUUAAAACUUGAUUACUUUAGAUCAUGUUUAAAAAAUAGUGACACAAUUUCUUAAUUUUAACAAGCAAUACCAUGCUUUCUUAAUCAAACAAGAUCACAAGUAUUAAUCAUUAUCGCAUUAAGGUAUGGCCGGCCAUCACAAACAAACAGGCCAAAUCUGUACAAAAAUCUGUCCAAAUAUUUAUUAAAUUAAUUGAAAGAACCACAUGGGACAAACAGAAACCUCCUUUUCUGCAAUAUCAUUAUUCUUGGCAUCCAAAACCUUAUCAUUAAUGUAAUCCACUUAUGAAGCCAAUAUUAGAAAUGAGACAUGGUGGUCGACAGGCUCACAUGCAGACAACAGAAACAACAACAGUGAGAGACAACUCAACAAGACACUAGGACGAUUACUUCACAUAUUCCAAAAGUGUGUUCAAUGUUGUUCUUCCUAAAACCUUAGAAAAAAAAAUAUAUCAAAUAAUAAAAAAAGAAAGGUAUAGAUGUGAGUAUAUAUGUUGUACCAGAAUUCAACUCUUCCCUGCAGGUCUCUCUCUCAGUGAUGGUGAUUUCGCUGCAAAUGCAUUCAAGCAUAGGAAAAGUGGGGCCAUGGCUUCACCAAACAGGGUCCAAGGGAAAGGGGUUUAGGGUUAGAACAGUUGCAUGGGCAAUGCAAGAAGGGAAGAGCAAUAACAUGAACUUGUAUGAAGUCCUAUGUAUUAGAAGUGAUGUGGGGGUUGAUGAGAUAAAGAAGGCAUACAGGAGAAUGGCUCUUCAGUGCCACCCUGAUGUUUAUCUCGAUCCCACCACAAAGCAAGAGUCCACCAGAAGGUUCAUGGAGGUCAGGAAGGCUUAUGAGAUGCUUUCGGAUCCGAUUUUGCGAAACAUGUGUGAUUUUGAGAUGGGUCUAGUUGGAUCAGUUUGUGGGGAGGAGAGGAGGCUGAGUCUCAACAAGAAAGUGUGGGAAGAUCAGCUCCAGGGACUUGCCAGGAGGGCCUGCAGAAGAGGAAAGGAGAGAAAAAAUAAGGAUACAAUGUAGAAUAAAAUCUCAUUAUUCUUCUCUUUUUUUUUUCAUUUGCUUUUUUUUUAUUAAUUUAAAAAUAAGAGAAAUAUUUAUACUGGUUCCAGAAAAUAUUAAGAAAAAAAAAAUGUUGAGGAAAAUGAUUUUUUCAUAUUUGGUUUUUUUAUAAAAAAAUAUGAAAGAAAGUUAAAUAUAAUUAAAAUUAUUAAGAGAUUUAUAUAUUUUUAAAUUAUUUAAUCUUUCUAUAAAAGGGUUAAAUAAAUAAAUAAAUAAUUUGAAAUAAUAUAUAAAAAUAAUUUAUUUAUUUUAAAUUUAUUUUUUAUUUUCCUUCAUUUUCUCUUUCUUUUUACUUUCUCUCUAUUUUUUUUUUCUUGCAUUUUUCCUUAAACUUUCCGAGAACCAAACAUAAAAAUAAUAAAAUUUCAAAUUCCUCCCUAAUUUAAAAUAAAAUCUCAAACUGGACCAAACUUUUGAGUACACCUUCCCAAACCUGUUUUAUUAGGGUCACACAAGGUGGAGAGGGUUCACAAAAUAUCCGCCUACAGUCUCAUCCCUAAUUAUAGGAUUACGGUGUUUGGGCAAAUAAAUUGGGCCUGGAUGGUCCGACCCAAUAACUGGGUACAGUGCUCUGGGCUAGACUCAGUCGAUAUAAUUUUUCAAUUUAGGCUGAGUUGGGGUUGAUCUCAAAGCACCCCAAUUGGCACCCAUACAUCAAAAUAUUUGGAAAAAAGAUGAUACGAAUCAACUAAGUCAUCAACCCAAAAUUCAACAUAGAGAUCCUGAAAUUCAUGCAUAAAAUCGUUGAUACCCACCUUUGUAUUGUAGUGAAUUAACUUCCUUUUCUUAAGAAUAAUUGAACAUUUUCUUGUAUUCAUCGCCAACACCCAAAAACAACCAAAGCUUAGGUAAAAAGGAAGAAGGAACUGAAUGCCGUAAACCACUCAAGAGAUCACAAGAAAUUUCUCUUCCCCAUUUCCCCAUCAGAGAAAGAAGAGAGAUGUGUUUUAAUUUGGGGUACAAACCCAAGAAAAGAAAGCAUGUUGGCAAGAAGGGAAGAAGUGUCAAUGGAGAGGAGGAAAGCAAGGGAUUGUUACUCAAGGAGGUAGACAAGUGGAAGCAGCAGCAAGAAGAUACGUUGAACCAAGACGAUCAUUCAUCAUCACUCCACAGACCCUCCACUCCCAACCACUAAUCCUCUCUUCAAGCUUUUGUUUCCUUUUUUGUUGCUUUUCUUUUUAUGAGAUGGUAUGUUCCUGGUUGUUGAUUGCUUUAAAAACAAAUGAUCUAAAAAGUUAUGAGCUUACAUGAGUAAAGAAGGAAUUAAUGGUUUCUAUGCUAUUAUGGAAAUGGAUGGUGGAUAAUUUUUGCUGGGUUUUUAGGCUAAGAAUGUGAAUCUAUCAACUAUCCAUUGAGUUUUCCAGGGAACCACUGCUAAUUAUGUGGUUAUAAUUAUCCAACUUAAUCUACUUUGUUGGCAUGCAUGUAGAUAUCAUAAUCAUAUCAUGACCAUUAGAUUUUGCCUUUUUUUUUUCUCUCUUUUAAAUUCUCUCUCUGGGAUCCCAUUAAAUGGGUUGAACAAUAAUUCUAUUUCAACCUCAUUUGAAUCACUUCCAAUCCAAAUGGACCUUCCUGCACUCUGGGGUCACCAGUUAUGAGCCUUACGUGGGGGUUGGUUCCAUCACAAACAGUAUAGAAGUUGACAUUCUCCAUGAAUGGACUUAGUGAUAAGCCUCAAUCAUGAUAAGAGCAACAAAAAACCAGAAGAAUGAUUGAGCCUUCUUUUUUUUUGGUGGUGGUGGAUACACUUAGGAAAAUUUCCCUCUUUUUUGGUAUCUUUUUCUGGGAAAUGGUAAGUUUUCUGGUGGAGAAAAAUGACUCUUCCCUGACAAGGUACAGCAAUGGGGCAUAUUCAGUUCUGAAUCCAAUUCAACAUAGAUUGGCAUACUAAAACAGGCAAAAAAGUUUCCACGGAUUGAGUGGUCCCAUUAGCGACCGAGUUCACCAGUCUAGUUAGCAUAAAGUUGACAUAAUUAAUAAAUGAAGUCUUUUAAUGUGUCAUGGAAUUCGAAUAAGUCUAUUGUAUUUUAAACUGGUUUGAAAUGAUUCCAUUUGAAAUGAUUCCAAUGUGUCUUUUUGAGGCAUUGAAAGAGUACUUGUUCCUCAACACACUUUGUUUGAUUCCAAUAUAGAAUCUCAUUUUUGAAGAUGCACAAACCGAGAAAAUCUAUGGUGUUACUAAAGAAGUAGGGACAGUAAUUCUGAAGUGGUUGCAUGAAAUUCAACCUGGUCUGUCCAAAAAGCAAGUUUAUUUCUGAAGUACCACACCAUAGGUGAAGGUUCUAAGGAUAUCAUGAGCAAGACAGAAAUGUCUGCCCAUGUUCUGUGGAAAAUCAUGGGCCAACUGGCAGAGGACCUGACCAAAAAAAAUGCAUAGAAACUAAAAGCUUACAGAGUUGUUUGACCCUACAUAGCAUCAUUGUGGCUGUGGAUGAGGAAUUGGGACUACCCAUUAGAGGAGGUGAGGAGAAAAGCCAAUAAAGCAGAAAUAAGAGUCACUGGUUUUCUUUGAGAAGCCCAGGUAAGGGGAUCAUACACCUUAUCUAUUUCAGUAUCUCUGUUUCAGCUCCAGUAUGAUUGUAUUUUGGGCUAUCCCACCAUGAAUUUUGCCCAUGAAAAUCUUCUUUUCACUCCCAGUGGAUGGAGUGGAAGCACCGAAAGGCAUUUUAUUGUGCCUUAUGAUGUUACAUUAAUCGACAAAUCGCUAGCUAGUAAACAGUUGAAGCAUGAUAAAUUUGUGUCCUAUUAUAUGAUAAGAAUAUCAUAGCAAACACUUGCAGAUUGAUUAGUAAGCAAUAGUAGACCAUUCUCAAUAUCAUAACCAAUAGUAAUAAGAAUAAGGCACUCAGUCAACAAGAAAGGAGCACAACUGCAGCUGAGUAAACACCUUUCAAAUGGAAAAUGGCAGCCAACCAUUAAAAUUCUGGAUUUGAUACUGAGAUGGGCUCCACUCCACCAAACAGAUAUCUAAGCUCUGUCCAACUGAUCUAUUAGCACAAUGGUAAAUUAUUUGAACCACUUCAGUGAUGUAGCUGCAAAAAAAGUAGAAUUAAACAAUCUUAAAGAAUAUUUAGUGGGAGCAAACCAGAAUUAGAUUGUCAGAGUAUAGAUUUCACUUUUUGUGGACCACUGAUCAGGCAUUUCUUUGGGAAUAACCACUGUGUUUCACUUUCAAAGUGUGCUCCUCUACUCGGUUAAAUUCUAAAACCAUAAUAGAUUCUGAAACAACUAUUGUUCUUCACUUUUCACUCUGUUCUCCACUCAUUCCUCAGCUUCUAAAAAGAGUAUUAUAUAUUUCAUCAUCAGGAUUCUCCAGAAGUCCAACUUUGUUUUCCAAUCUUCACUGAUACGGCUUGUUACCUGUACUUGUCUGUUCUUCACAUAUAUGCCUCAUAAUUUACCUCAACUUCUAAAAGAGUAUUAUAUAUUAUACAUCAUAAGGAUUCUCCAGAAGACCAACUUUGAUUUCCAAUCUUCACUGAUGUGGUUUGUUACCUAUGCUUGUUUGUUCUUCACAUAUAUGCCUCAUAAUUAAUCUCAAAAGUGCAGUCAUAUUUAUCUUCUGGUGGAAUUUACCCAUUGGUAUUAUUGCUUGAAGCCUUUUGAAUUUUGAGGACUUGGCAGAAAAAGUGUUGUGUUAGUGAAAGUGCAACAACUUAAACCCAUGAAAUUCAAUUAAAUUUUGAGUUCAAUGGGAAGAAAAAGAGGAAAAGUUCGAAUAAAAAAAUCGCAACCCAACUUGGAGUUUGGCCGGAUUUGGCUUCAGAUCUUGAAUAAAACUCAAACUGGACCGUCCAUAUUUACACCCACCAUGAAUGGCUGGCAUUGUGGGCAGUGCAUUAGAUGGAAAGACCAUUGACUAUAAACUAUGAAUUUUUGGUAGUUAUUGGCAGCAAUAACACCAGUACAUAAUUAAUGAACAAGUGCUUCUUCCAAACAGAGAUGAAAGAUUGUUUAAAGAGACCGCAUUAACACCAGUGCAAACUUUUUCUCUCCUCUGAAUGAGGCCACCUUGCCAAUUAGGGACCUCUCAUCUUCUGAUAUAUUAUCUUUAGUAUAAGCAUAGUGGGGCAAUCAUCUUGGUAUAAAUAAUCACCACCUUCUGAGUACCUGAUGCGGAACUGAAAGAGUGGUUGAAUUUGAGUUUCGGUUUGCCUACUGAUGAGAAAGGAAUUCCUGUAAAAUAGGAUAGGCUUUUCUCUGAUAUUAUGCACAUUGAAUUUGCUUUGACAAUGUGCUUAUAAGAUCCUAUAUGUCUUAAAAUGGUGAGUGAGAGAGAGAGUGAGAUAUGCCUCUCUAAGUUCUCCCAAACACUUCAAACAACCAUGGCUGCUGCUUCACCAGUUGAGGCCUGCACAGCAGAAGAAAUGCUGGACCCUGAGCAGAAUGGCAGGGCUGAACGGGUGCAGUGGGUGCUGAAUGCUCCUGAGCCACCAGGCCUGUGGCAAGAACUCAUGGACUCAAUAAGGGAAACUGCUUUCCCUCAUGGAAACAAUUUCCCAUCUCUCCAAAAGCAGCCUACUACUCAUGCCAUUUCAGUCCUGCAGGGCAUAUUUCCUAUCCUUCAAUGGUGCAGAAACUACAAGGCAACCAAAUUUAAGAAGGAUUUAAUGGCGGGUUUAACUCUUGCAAGCUUGUCCAUUCCUCAGGUAAUCAGUACUUCUUCAAUCUACGACUUCUACCACCACUCUGCAUUUCUGUUUUUCCAUUUGCCAUAGUUAUGUGAGUUUCAUGCAGAGUAUUGGAUAUGCAACUUUGGCCAAGCUUGAUCCUCAAUUCGGACUCUGUAAGUUGGUUAAUCCAAGGGCAUAUCAUAGAUUUAGUAGAUGUUGUAUUAAUCAUUCUGAGCAUAACCUUUGCCAUGUUAGAUACAAGUGCUAUUCCACCACUCAUUUAUGCUUUAAUGGGGACUUCAAGAGAGAUAGCAAUUGGACCAGUGGCUGUGGUUUCUCUGUUGAUCUCUUCAAUGGUUCCGAAACUUGAAGAUCCUGUAGAUAAUCCAAUUGCCUACAGAAAGCUUGUGUUUACUGCAACCUUUCUUGCAGGUAUCUUUCAAGCUGCUUUUGCACUGCUAAGGUGGGUCUAAUUCUAGUUCAUCUUCAAAUUGAUCAAGGCAACAUCUCAUUGUCUCAUUCUUCAUAAUCAAUCACCUUUCUUCCAUUUUUCUUUUCUUUGUACAGGCUGGGUUUUCUUGUGGAUUUUCUUUCCCAUGCUGCUCUGGUUGGGUUCAUGGCGGGUGCAGCUGUUGUCAUCGGUCUUCAACAACUGAAGGGACUGCUUGGGAUCACUCACUUCACAAACAAAACUGAUGUCAUCUCUGUUCUGGAAGCUGUUUGGAGAUCAUUUCAUCAUACUGUUGAGUUUUUUUUCAUAUGUUCAUCUUGAAUAUUAGGAAUCUUUCAUAUAACUUAGACCAGUAAAUUAUUAUUUUUUUUUCUUUUUUUUUGGUUUGAUCACAGUGGAGUCCCUACAAUUUUAUCCUCGGCUGCUCCUUCCUGAGCUUUAUUCUAAUUACCAGAUUUGUGGUAAGUAAUAACAAGAUUGGUGUUCAAGCUUCUGUUUCAGUCCAAUUAUCCAUCAAAUUUGUUUGUCCAAACUUGUAAAAUAGUACUUAUGGAUUCUCUCAGGGAAGAAGGAACAAGAAACUGUUCUGGUUGCCAGCCAUUGCUCCUCUAGUGUCUGUUAUUUUAUCAACACUGAUAGUUUUUCUCACAAGAGCUGAUAAACAUGGAGUUAAGGUAGUGAAACACAUCAAGGGAGGCUUGAAUCCAAGCUCAGUUCAUCAGCUACAGUUCACUGGUCCACAUACUGGAGAGAUAGCCAAAAUUGGGCUGAUUGUGGCCAUUAUUGCACUUACAGUAUGUGUCCAAUUCCUCAACCUUAUUCUUCAAAAACACACAGAGACUCAAUAUUUUCUUCUUUUAACUGUACUAUAUUAUGUCAAGUUUAGGAAGCCAUUGCAGUUGGCCGGUCUUUUGCAUCCAUAAAAGGAUACCAUCUGGAUGGAAACAAAGAAAUGGUUGCUCUGGGCAUCAUGAACAUUGCAGGAUCUCUGACUUCUUGCUAUGUUGCAACAGGUAAAUUUGAUGAAUUCCCCCCUCCCUUCGCCUUCUAGUUGUUGUAAUGGCUCUAGUCCCCUGCCCCUCCUUGGCAAUAUCAGUCUUCUUUAUAUGUAAUUGUUUAUGCAGGUUCAUUCUCACGCUCUGCGGUAAAUUUCAGUGCUGGUUGUGAAACUGCCAUUUCCAACAUUGUGAUGGCCAUCACUGUGUUGAUAUCUUUGCAAUUCUUCACAAAGCUCUUGUAUUUCACUCCAACUGCAAUCCUUGCUUCAAUUAUUCUUUCUGCUAUUCCGGGACUCAUUGACAUCAGUGAAGCUUACAAAAUAUGGAAGGUGGACAAGUUGGAUUUCCUAGCUUGCAUUGGAGCAUUCUUGGGGGUUCUGUUUGGUUCUGUGGAAAUCGGUCUUCUUGUUGCGGUAAAAUCUACUUUCUGCUAUAGAGAAAUGUGUAUGAAUCCAUUUAUAUAUAUAUAUAACUGUCUAUUUACACAAUACAUUGAAGGGUUUUCACAAGAAAAGGCAAUAUUUCUAGAAUUUUGUUGGGAGUCACAGUGGGGGGGUCCUGCCUGAAUCUAGGGAAAUUUUCAACAAUUUUCUGAUUGAUGGGGUUAUGAUCAUUCUCAUAUGGGUCAGAAUUUUAGGCAACUCCUAUCAUGAAUCCCAGCCAUAGUCUUCUAAAAAUGGAAAACUUCUACCUAAUUAUGAUAAUAUGCUGAUAUUCUGAACAUGUUUGAGUUGCAGUUAACAAUAUCAUUUGCAAAGAUCAUACUUAAUGCAAUUAGACCAGGCAUUGAGACUCUGGGAAGACUUCCAGGAACCAAUAUGUUCUGUGAUGUAGAUCAAUAUCCCAUGGCUAUUACAAGCCCUGGAGUUCUGAUCGUCCGUGUCAAGUCUGCCCUCCUUUGUUUCGCAAAUGCCAAUUUUGUUAGAGAAAGGUAUGCUUCCCCCCCCCCCCCUCUCCGCAUUAUCAGAAAGAGAUUUAAUUUCGUGAAGUAAACUAAUAAGGCAGUUCUUCUGAAAUACCCUUCUAAGGAUUAUGAUGUGGGUGACUGAGGAAGCAGAGGACAAUAAGGGAAGUGCAAAAGGGAGGAAUCAACUGGUAGUUCUUGACAUGUCCAGUGAGUGUUCCAUGGAGAACCCAACGAUUAAUGAACGUUAUGUUGCUUCUAUCCUGUACCCAUUUUAAUCCAUUCUGCUGAUCCUGUUAUGGCAGACUUGAUGAACAUCGACACCUCGGGAAUUGCUUCUCUGGAGGAGGUGCAUAAGCAACUGGUCUCACAAGGAAUGGAGGUGAGGCACUGAUAUUAAGCUUAAGCUCACAUUGGUCUUCUAAGUUGGGGAGGUAUUAGCAACCUUUCUUUUUGUUUAUAAAAAUUGGCCCUCAUCAUCAUCUCUUUCUCCCUCAGCUAGCCAUAGCCAACCCCAGGUGGCAAGUGAUUCACAAGCUAAAGCUAGCAAAGUUUGUGAACAAAAUUGGAGGAAGGGUCUUCUUGUCUGUUGCAGAAGCUGUGGAUGAAUGCUCCACCAUCAAGAUUAUGACUACUAUUUAGAUGUUACUAUCCUCAGUGUUUCUGUAUAUCCCAAAAUAAAGAAAUAAGUUCUGCUUCUCCCUGCUCAUCUUGUGUGUGGUUUGGCCAUCUCCUGUAAAAUAUAACAGCGAGAUGAUUGUUUAGCAGUGGCUUGCCAUCUUUUUCGUACUAAGCUUGGUGUGUUAAAAGAUCUAAUAUUGUUAAUGUAAAACUUUAUGUGAAAUUCAUAGGCUUUGAUCGUUUUCAGCUAAGUCCAUCUUUUGUUUUCGAAGUGAAGUUGGCGAUUCAUAUAACUUAGAAUUAUGAGUUUCACCAAUGUGUUUGAGGCAAAGCAAUGGAAGAAUGAUUGUUGCUAGUCUUUAUAUAAGAAAUUAAUAUUAUUUGAAAAAAAAAAAAAAAAAGGAAGAAAAUAUCUACAAAUCAAUGUUGCUGCUGUGUUUCUCUAAGAUGGUGAUAGGAGCUACUCAUCCUCAUCCUCAUCCUCAUCCUCAGUUUUCCAUCCCAUUUUCGAGAUAACUUAGAUGAAACUGCCCUUUCGAGCUUGUUCGAAAGGAAUGAAUGCCUCAAAGAGAUUACUCUUCUCGCCUUUGGUUGAGCUGUAGUACUUUAACCCAUCUUCAACCUCUACAUCUUAGUGAAACAUUAGCAGGACAAGGAUCGAUAGAUGCAACAUGGGAAACUAGCAAACUUUCAGUCACCGGAGCAGCGAAUGAGAGUGCUUUAGUAUGUUGUUGAGAGCUGGUUUUUCACGGGCUUUGCACAAUAGAUUCUUCACCCUUUCUGUCAUCUGUUUUGAUUUGUUGUUAGUUAAUGGCAUAGACAAAUAUCCAUGCAAAUUCUUGAGAAGAGAAAAUGGAAAUGAUGAAACCUUUCCCAAGCCUCCCCUUGCAUAGGGAACUGCUCUUUGAUAUCCAAGAGAAGUUGUGGGAGAUUUCCGGCUACUUUCUUCUCUGCACAUCAGUUUCCCAUUGCUUCUACUUCUCGUUGUGAUGGUGGUCGAGUCAUGCCACUUGCCGCUCAACACACUAGGCAGGCUUGAUUCCUGAUAACCAAACAGUAACACCGGCAUCAGCAUAUCAUCUUGGAAUGCAUUGUUGCGUUAAGAAAGACUGAAAAGCCCGGUUUCAGAGAAGUUAAAGAGAGUGAACACCAGAAACAGCACGGUGGCACAGUGCUUGAGGACCUCCAAAUUCAUUCGAACAUCGUCAAGACUCCUGUUUCAGGCAGUGAUUAAUAAAAAUUACAAUCAUGAAAUGUUCAUAAAAUGAUUCCAAUGGUAUAGAUUUCAUACCUGUGCUUUUGCUGCCCAAGUCCAAAGUAAGUGGCCAAUGUAGCCAUCUAAAGAAAAAAUGAAUUUGAUCAUGAGGAUUCUCUGUUGUUAUCCAGGGAUGUUACAUGAUAAGAUAAUGAAUUAUAGAUAACCAACUGGUCUACUUCACUAUCUGGUUUUGAAUUUGCUACAUACCUUCAUGUUUCCAGCCCUCCUGCCAAACUUCUCAGUCAAAACUCCAAGUGAAUCAAUCAUCCCAACAGGCACAGGAGCAGCACGGCCAAUCUCUGCGAACGCCUCCUUAAUCCGGACGCAAUCAAAUCUUUGGAUGUUAUGUCCUGCCCAAACUCUCCCAUUCAGAAUGCUGAAUAUCUGGUCUGCAACUUCCUCGAACCCAGGUGCUCCUGCAACAACUUCCCUGGUUAUCCCAUCAGACCGACCUGACCUCAACGCAACAGCAGACAAGUCCCCAGGCCUUAUGAGCGUGCUGUAGCUCUCUAGCUCAACGAGCUUCCUUGGGCAGACUACUAUUGCCCCAAACUCCAGCACCCAGAACCUUUGUCCAGCUCUAUUGGGCACGGUUGUUUCUAAGUCAAAAAACACAAUCUCUGCUGCACGCUCUUGGCUUGAAUCGUCAGAAGAAUCCAUUUCUAGAUACAGGGUAGGUAGUAUCUGUUCUUUUGGUUCAGGGUUUUGCAUACAAUCAUCAUAUCAUAUAUAUGGUGGAGGAAGAUCAAGGAGAGAAGCACAUGGGAGAAGUCCAGAAUUCUUUCAAUAUGAGGUUGAUUGUCUUGUAGUUCAAGUCAUAACAUAACAGUCUGGGCAUAGGAUGAAGGGGUUCUUAGCUUCUUUGGGGUGCCAUGGGCAAAGCAAUCCCAUUCCAGUUAAGACAGGAAUAUUAUUCCAAACGGCAACAGCUAUUACCUUUCCCUCAGCACUUUCAGAAACUGCCUUUAGAGGUUGAAUCCUUUGCAGGGCUUUCAACUUUCUUAUGCCCAUUGUUGAAUGUGUUUGCACAUUUGAAGCAAAGUCAUGUAUACAAGAAUUGAUUCCCCAUUCUCUUGGGUAACCCCAGUGUAUAUACCCCAGAGAGGGUCACCCAUACAGGAGGGUAUGGCUAUAUGGGAAACUAAUUUGAGUGUUAUGGACUUGGUAUAUUGUAUCUUUAGACCAAGGUUUGGUUCAGUCUGGGAUUUGGGUAAAGGGGAGAAUUGGUCUUCAUUGGUUUACUUGUGAAUUGAGGCAUCCAUAAAUGGGUCUAACCUAAAAACCAGACCUCUAGAUUCAUUAUGUAUUAAUUCCUCCAAAAUGCAUUUUUUUUUUCAUAAAACUAGGCCAAGAAUACCAUUAUAUUCCAAGGGAAGAGUUGCGAAAAUUUCUUCAUAACACAAUCCAACCCAAACUUGAUGCGUUGGACUUGGUUCAGGCUUAAGAGUAAUUUCAUAUGUUAAUAGAGGUGGCAAUCACAUAGGCUCGAGACGGAUCAAGCACAUGCUGCACAUCCCAAGGUCCCAACCCUCUUCCUAUUAAUUAAAUCUAUUUCCAUCUCUAUUCUUAAAAUAAAUAAAUAAAAUUAAGAGGGUGGAAAGCCUUUUUUUUUUUUUUUUUGUAAUUAUAGUUGCAACUCCCAAGGUCACAAAAGUGGUUGUGAGUCUUGUGACCAGAUGGGUUCGACUUAUUCCAUCCCAUCCCAUCCCAUUUAUGUAAUGUAAUUCUCUUCUCUAACAUAAUAAAAAAUAUAAAAUAUAAAAUAUAAAACGAGACAGGAGGGGUACCAAAAUUUCUCAAUCCGCCCCCACCGUUUAAUUUUUUUAUUUUCAUUUUAUUAAAAAUAAAUAAAUUUUAAAUUAUAUUUAAAACAAAUACAUUUUAUAAAUGAAUAAAACAUUCUAAUUUUUAUAACUUGUUUUAUUAAAAAGCAUUUUUUAUUAUUUUAUAUUAGUUAAAAAUGGAAAAUCCUUAAAAAUUUAAUUAAAUUAAUUUUAGAGAUAUAUAAUUCAGAUGGGAUAAAACAUGACAAGACAAUACUCCGAGUUUAAAAAAAAAUCUUAAAUUCAUUCUUAAUCCAUUUAUUUUAAUCUCAAAUUCGUUUUAUUAGGAUGGGAUGGAUAAAAAAGUUCGCCUACAAUAUCAAUUAGGUACACAUCAAAAGACAUUCAGGAAUUGCAGCCUCACUAUGAUUUCAGUACAAAGUAAUCCUGAUUGAAAACAAAUGAAUAGAACCAAGGGAAGCUUGCAUUUUUAUUUAAAUAAAUAGUCCAGAAAACACAUUUUGGAUCCCAAAAGAAGAGCAACAGCCACAAAGAUUUGAAAUAGUUGCUACCUAAAAUUAGACAGGGACAGGGGGCCUAAGAGGAACAACUGCUUUCUUAAUUCUCUCUCCACGGCUGCGUGUAGGGUGGAGAGGGAUGCAGCAUAGGAGAUGCGGACGCACUUGUCAUCUCUAAUGCAUCCCCUGGGACAAGAGCAACCUGCAACCAACAUCCAUAACCCAAUUACUAACUAGUGUUGAUGUGCCUCCUAAUGAAUUAAUCAACCAUCGUUUCUCUCUUUCCGUUUUUUGUUUUCCAUGAGCUUACCUGGGCCUUGUCCAGCAGAUAUCGACAGAGGGACUCUGAAUUCUCAAUUAUACCAAAACCUUCAGCCUCUGCCCCAUAGUAAGAGCUGAAGUCAAGAAAGAGGUAAAAAGCUCCCUGCAAAUGAGAAAGUACAGAGGAUUAGAAGUUUGGGAUAAUAGUGGGAGCAGAAGUACAAGUGAAGUGCGAACAUUAAAGCAAGCUGAUAAUUGGGGUAUGUUACUCUUAAGACUAAACAAAAAGAGCUGGUACCUGGGGCUCUGAUAUCUUGACACCCUCCAGUUCUCCAAAGCUUUUAACCAAGAAAUCUCGCCGUUCCCUGAAUGCUUUUACCAUUGUGGAAACAGCUUCCCCACCAGCAUAGCCCAUUCCCAAUGCAGCAACUGCUGCUUUCUGAGAUAUGCUACUGGCACCUGAAGUGAACUGGAAGAACACAACAUAGGAAUCAGAAAGACCUAGCCAUUUAAAGUGCAAGGACAUGGUUUGAGGUGUCCAUCCACUAUUGAAAUGAGCAUGUCGAAAUAUCCAAUUGCAGUAGAAGUUAAUAUAAAUUGAUUUUUCUCCAUAUGAUUUAAAAGAGAAAAAAUGAAAGAAUCAUCACAAAAAUAAAUCAUCAAGUCAUAUCAACCCACAAACUGAGUCACCCACAGUUUCAGCACAUUAAAAACAAUGCUGGAGUUAAAAAUAAAAUAAAUAAAUAAAGGAAAAUUCUUAAAUUUCUCUCUAUUUCAUCUGUCAUCUCCCCCCUUCUGUGCUUCACUCCCACGAAAUCCACUUUCAGAAUCUCAAUGACGAGCCCUAAAAGUCCAACUAUUUACAGAUAACACAUAUUUAUGAAGUUCAGAAUUACUAAUUGUGAACACUUGAUAGAUUAAAUUCUCAAUACAAUCCACUUUAAUCAACACAAAAAGAGCAAGCAGAGCAUAGAGCAAUAUUUCAUAUUCAGAAACAGAUAAGAGUGAACACAGAGACAAAAUAUUUAUCCAGUGAUCACAAUAGACAUCCCUAGUAACCCGUACUUGUGUGUUCAAUCCAUGAUCUACCAAGCAUCAAUUGUGACGUGAUGCCUUAAUGAAGGAUACAAGAUACAUGUUUAAUAGAGCUUUCCCAUUGGAAAGUGAUAGGUGUGGAAUGGUAUAGAUAUAAUAUACCUGACUCUGGAUCUUUCCACAUACGGCAACAAAGUGUUAGGACCAGCAAGAUACCCAAGCCGCCAGCCAGUCAUUGCGAAGGCCUACAAAUUAGCCACCCUAUAAACGUCAAUCCAUAAGAUGAGGCCAACACCUGAAUGUAUCACUCAUGACUAUAUGAAGAUUGAAAAUAGAAACUAUCCAAAAAGGAGAAUAUGAAAUCUAUGUCACAAGGAAAAUACUUGAAUGAAUAUAACUAACCUUAGAAAACCCAUUGACUGACAAAGUCCCCUCCCACAUGCCUGGCAAAGCUGCAAAGCUUGUAUGAGUUUCUGGUGCUUAAAUAAUGUGUUCAUAUAUUUCGUCAGACAAAACCUGAAUAUGACAAACAAAGAAAUUUUAGGUAGUGUUAGCUAAGUUUGGCAUACUCAAGUGCAGAUCUCACUGUUGAGGUUCAAGUUCAUCCAUUCUUACCAGAAGCCUGAGGUGCUUUGCUACAAUCUGAGCGAUCUCUUCAAGCAGCUUCUUGGAGUAAACUGAUCCGGUUGGGUUGGAUGGAGAACAUAGAAUCAGCAAUCUUGACUUUUCAGUGAGUUUGGACUCAAGAAGCUUUCAAAGAUAAGAGUUGGAAGAAUGACAGGUGUUGCAUCUGCCAGUCUUGCCAUUUCUGGGCAACUCACCCAGAGUGGAGCUUGAAUUAUAACCUGAAGAACAAAGGCUAGUCAAUAAAUGAGAACCAUAUUUGUAGAUAAAAAGAAUCCAGACAAUGGCACAACUAGUAGCCCCUAAUCUAUAUUCCCAAGAACAUUACUUUGCUGAGUAUACAUAAGAUUUUCUUUCAAAAAAUAUCCACUUAAAAAAAGACGAAGAAGAAGAAAAAAAGGUAGAAACAUGACAAUAUGCAAAUUUUGACACGUGGAGGAGGGCUAAUGGACUUCAAAUUGCCAUCAUGCUGACAAUUUAAGUGAAUGGCCUGAACAGAUUGUGGACAGCAAAGUUAGCAAAACAUCAGCAAAUUAAGUCAUUGGUAUAUGCCACAGUUUUUUCACACAUAAAGCAAGCAUCUCUUAGAACUGAAACCUGUAUGAAAUGCAGUUCAGAGAUGAAUUACAGCAGGCCCUGUUUCCAACAGAUGUAGAUUGGGAGGGACGAAAUUCCCAUAUGCUAACAUCUUUCUUGAAACAUGCUAACAGGAUAAUUUAUUUUGCUGUUAGUGCAUGUUCGUGUAUUUUAUUGUGUUAAGGUACAGGCAGGGGUGCAGGCGCAGGUGAUUACUAUCACUUGCCAAAUUUACAAAUCACCAGCUCUCUGUGAUUUAACUAACACAUUGGAUUUUCUUCGUACCAAAUUAAGUCCCAAUGGCACAAUGAUACCACAAUUUUUUUGUCAUGACUCCACAAGUUGUAAAUUUCAAUCAAACAGAACAUGGUCCAGUAGAUAAACAGUUCGAUAGCUUUAUUUAUUUAUUUAUUGAAAGGCAAAUGGUAGCUUUAUGGACUUAUAAUAUUAUCUAAUCAAAGUCAGAGCUGAACAAUGGAAGAGGAAAGGUAUUCACUACACAAUAUCCAAAUGAAGGUACGUCGUAGUUCAUCCCAAUAAAUUCAGAUAGGAAAUAUCCAAAAGAAUAGUAAAGCAGACUAACAGCAUUUUUAAAUGUAAUGAUGAUUAUGAAGGUAUGAGAGGUGGAGCCUAAACCCUUAAGACAAACCGUCCAAUCUUUCUUUUCCUUUUGUUUGGAGUAUAUCUCUCACCACACUUUAUGGAAUCUUUCCACUGUUGAGGACCCUCAUGUGCUCUGCUCGUACGACCUUAAAUACUACCCUUCAAAUGGGGAGUUUACCCAUAGGUUGAAUCUUGCUUGCUUUAAGUUCUUAUUCCUCUCCUCUUUCAAUACAGUUUUGAGUUAGGUCUUUAACCUCUUCUCUUUCUGUUAGCUCAUUUGAGCUUAGUUCUUGGAGACUAAGAAUCCAUUCUUCCAAUUAUGGCCAGGUUCAUUUGCACUUGCAUCUUUUUUUUUUAUUAAUGAUUGUUUCUUAUGAAGUUCUCCAUAUUGAAGGAAGGAACUUGGAGUUACAAAAGAAGUUGUGCGCAAAAUGCUUGAGGCCUGAUGAGGAAAGCAUUACUAUAAGAGAGGCCAGAGAAAUUGAGGCUAGCAACUCGCACCCUGACCAUAGUAGGCAAACUAUGGAUUGAGGGGACUUCUGAUUUUCUCUUCUCCAUACUACUCUUCAAAUGGGGAGUUUACUCAUAGGUUGAAGACCACAGUUGAAUAAGCGGUCUAGCUAGCUACCCUCUCUUCUCCCUUUCUUGCUCUCUUUCUCUGGUAUUAAUUGCCGAAUUUGCCAUCUCUCUUCUCCAUGGCAAACACUAGGUUCUUGGGUGCUUGUGCUGUUCUUCUUGUUUUUUUAUUAUGCCAUGAAUUUUCUUGUGUUGAAGGAAGGCAUUUGAGGUCUGCGUUGUGCAAAAAAUGCUCAAGGCAUUGCCAGACCACUCUGCGAGCGACCAAGGCGGGUGAGGCCCCAAGUGGCCUGCCACAAAUGCGCACAAGCAAGAUGGAACACAUUGAAGACUUUCGACCCACCUCACCAGAACACAGCCCUGGUGUCGGCCAUUCUAUUCAUAAUUGAACUUCCCAAAUCCAAGUCCUUGUAAUUAUAUUUGUUGCGUGGUCGCACCACGAAACAUGGCAUAGUCAUUGCUCAAGGCAGUGCUGUAUGAUUUGUUUUCCUUCAUUGAUGUAUAUAAAUGUUUGCUUGUGAUCAUGAAUUCUCCUCUCUGCAGCCUCUUUAUUUCUACAGUUUACGUGCCCUUCUCCAUAUCUAAAUACAAACAAAACAAGGAAAUCGAACAAAAUUAAACUGAAUAGGCCAAGUUUUCUCAGUGCCUUGCUAAGUUUUGAAUCAAUAAUAAAGGAUAAAUGUUCCUUGAAUGUAUGCAUCUCUGUGUCCUCGAAAUGCACCCAAAGAAUUGAAAAGAAAAAUGAAGUCAUGUUCCACUGGAUUGAAGGCUUUGCUUGGGGUUGGUGGGGAGGGAAUUGGAGAUAUGUAUAUAUGCACAGCCUUGUUGGAGACUCUGGGAAUCCUAUCCAAAAAAGUGGACAAAUGGAAAGAAGUUUGAGUUAGUACUUGAAUGCUGUAACGUGCAGAAUCAAAUCUUUCAGAUCAUAGUCUAACAUGGCCUGAUAUUGACACUGUCAACUUGUCUCUGCAGAGUCCCAAGUCACAACUGAAUCUUUUCCGUAUGCCCACAUUCAUAUAGAGGGAGAGAAUGUCUUUGUACCUCUAGGCGCCAUGCAUAUUCGCUUCACAUGCAAAGUUAUGGACGUGCUUUCUUCUUUUUGUUGGCUAUUUAGUUACCUACACAAUUGACUUUCACAUACAAAGUUACUAACAAGCAAAUAUGCAUGCAUGCAUUCCCUCGGGUGAACUUCAAACCUCUUGUUAACCUAAGCUUUGUAUUGCGUUAAACCAUUGAUUUGACCUAAAAAAAACACUCAAAAGCUUUAAUUGAUGGGAUCCUAAUAUUGGGCACGUACUAUACAAUAAUAUAUUAUCCCUGUGCAGUCGUGCUUGUAAAGCAUAGAAAAGUUAUUAAUGUUUCUUAGCCCCCUGUGUAUGUAUUGUGGGUGUAUUAAUUACCUAGUAGUUUAAACUUUAGGUCAAAAAUUGAUAAUUUAUCAUGGUAUCAGAUUUCUAGUUAACUAGAUAUCGAGAGCUUAGCCUCUUAGAUUAAAUUUGUGGCAUAAUAAUGCCCCCGACUAGCAGGACUCAUGAUUGAGGCAUCCAUGAAUGGGUCUUAGAGAUCGAGAGCUUAGCCUCUUAGACCCAUUUAUGGAUGCCUUGAGCAUGUUUUGCACAUUAACGCAGACCUCAAAUGCCUUCCUUCAACACAAGAAAAUUCAUUGCAUAAUAACAAAACAAGAACAGACCAAGCUGAAUUUACUAGUUCAUGGCAUAAUAACAAAACAUGAGGUUAUUUAUGGUCUAAUAGAAAUUUAAGAUUUUUCGUGAGAGUGAGGCACAGAAGGGGGGAGAUGACUGGUGAGAUAAAUAGAAAUUUAAGAUUUUUCCUUUAUUUAUUUUAUUUUUAACUCCAGCAUUGUUUUUAAUGUGCUGAAACUGUGGGUAACUUAUUUUGUGGGUCGAUAUGACUUCUUGAUUUAUUUUUGUGACGAUUCUUUCAUUUUUUUAUUUUUUAUUUUCUCUCUUAAAGCUUAUGGAGAAAAAUCCAUUUACAUUAAUAAACAUGAAUGUAAUUUUCAUAAUUUUUAAAAUAAUGAAAUUCAUAGGAUUAAUUCAUGCAAAAUCAAUUGAGCUUUGGUUGGGGCCGUAUGAGUUUUCUCGUCUUAUUAUUAAUUGUUAUGCUUAGUGAAUAUUGAUUAAUUUUUGUCUUAUUACGUAAUAUGCAUAUAAUUAUUUUAUAUUUGAACUAAUCUUGCUUUCAUGAUAACACAUUAUUAUUUGUUGCUAAGAUACACUCUCACUCUCACUCUCACUUUGUUUAUUUAUUCUUCAUGCAUGACUUGCAUCCAUUGUAUAAUUAUUCCUUGGUAUCCAUUAAUUUUCUUAUUAAUCAUCAUAUCUGCAUUAGCCUCAUUUAGUAUAAAAUCAUUUUUAAGGACUUAGAGGGUGAUACGAUUUGUUCCCAAUAGGUAAUCCAACCCUCGGACCAAAUUCGAUUUUCACAAAGUAUGUUUUCCUUUUAGGAGUCGUACUUAGGGUUUUUAUUUCUUAUUUUAUUUUUUAAGAAAAAAAUAAAAUAAAAAUAAAUAGCGACUUCAAAUUUUUUAUAAAAAUAAUUUUUUCAUAAAUAAAAAACAAAUGAAGCCAUCAAGUGGAACACAUCGUGAAAAAUACGGGUCCACAAAUAUAUUAUUAUAAUUCAUUUUUGUUAAAAAAAUAAAUUUUUUAUUUAAUGUGAUGUGUUAAAAAAUGGAAAAUAAAAAAAAUUCAAUUAUUUUUUAUUUAAUUAUAUAUAUAAUCAAAGUAAGAUGGUCAAAACAAUACUAUAACGACCCGCAUCUAACCAUGUAGAUAUUGUCCGCUAUAGGCCUAAGGGGGUCCUCACGAUUUUAAAACGCAUCUACUAAUGUGAUGUGUUAAAAAAUGGAAAAUAAAAAAAAUAAAUUCAAUUAUUUUUUAUUUAAUUAUAUAUAUAAUCAAAGUAAGUUGGUCAAAACAAUAUUGUAACGACUAGCACCUAACCAUAUAGAUAUUGUCCGCUUUGGGUCCGAGGAGGCCCUCACGGUUUUAAAACUAAGGCCAAACAAACCCUCACAUCGGGGUUGAGGAUCGGCUCCAAUACCAUUUGUAAUGGUCCGCUCCCAACCGUGUAGAUAUUGUCCGUUUUGGACCCAAAGGGAUCCUCGCGGCUUUAAAAUGUGUCUACUUAGUUAAGAGGAGUCUCUACAUAUAUAGCAUCAAGAACUUUCUCCCCUAUUCGACGUGGAACACCACAAUUACAAUAUCCAAACUCCAAUCAAGAUUUUUUAUUUUUUUUUUAAUUUCCUUCUACGCCAUUGCCAUUCCUAUAUCUCAAUCCCUAGGCAGCUUUUGCACUGGGCUUUUAUCGUUUGCAGCUCCCCAAGGCUAUAAAAGUAGUUGUGUCCUUGCUAGGAAGCUUCUAAGGGGAGUUCCCACUUCCUAGGGAUACCGACAAGUGAGGUUGGAGCCGAUCCCCUCUAUCCCACCCUAUUUAAUUUUUUUAUUUUUAACUUUUAAAAAAAAAAUUAAUUACACUUUAUAAAUAAAUAAAACAUUCUAAUUUUUAUAACUUAUUUUAUUGAAAAGUAACAUUUUAAUUAUUUUAUAUUCAUUAAAAAUAAAGAAUUUUUAAAUUUUUAAAUAAAAUUACUUUUUAAAAUUAAUUAAUAUAUAUAAUCAAGACAUGACAAAACAAGAUAAGACAAUAUUCGAACCUAUAUCAAAUUUAAUAAAAAAUUCUUAAACUCGUACCUAACCUAUUUAUUUUAAGUUUAAACCUAUUGCAUUAGACGAAAAGGUACUCAUCACCAUCCCUAAGGGUUCCUGAAGGAAAAACAAAAAGGCUUGCCAACAAUCUAAUUUGGUACAUAUCCAAAAAGUAUGACCAAUCAAAUUGCAUGUUGUGUAUAUUUUGAACCCAUUGCAAUCCACCUUAGUUUCGCUACUUAUAUUUGAUCUUACUGUUUCUACUCCCAUCCAAUGGUUUAUAAUUUAUCAUGCACUCUCAACAAUCACAAAGUUUGAUGGGUACCUCUUUGGUCUCUUCCAAACCAAAAGAAAGAAGGCAACACUAUUCAGAAUCUAAACAUGUAGAGAAUUUGAUCAGGCUUAAUAAUAAAAUUUGCAGAAACAUUCAUGAAUUGCAGCCUCACUAUGAUUUCAGUACGAAGUAAUCCUGAUCGAAAACAAAUGGAUAGAACUGAGGGAAGCUUGCAUUUUUAUUUAAAUAAAUAGUACAGAAAACACAUUUUGGGAUCCCAAAAGAAGAGCAACAGCCACAAAGGUUUGAAAUAGUUGCUACCUAAAAUUAGACAGGGACAGGAGGCCAAAGAGGAACAACUGCUUUCUUAAUUCUCUCCACGGCUGCAUGUAGGGUGGAGAGGGAUGCAGCAUAGGAUAUGCGAAUGCACUUGUCGUCUCCAAAUGCAUCCCCUGGGACAAGGGCAACCUGCAACCAACAUCCAUAACCUAAUUACUAACUAGUGCUGAUGUGCCUCCUAAUGAAUUAAUCAACCAUUGUUUCUCUCUUUCUGUUUUUUGUUUUCCAUGAGCUUACCUGGGCCUGGUCCAGCAGAUAUCGGCAGAGGGACUCUGAAUUCUCAAUUAUACCAAAACCUUCAGCCUCUGCCCCAUAGUAAGAGCUGAAGUCAAGAAAGAGGUAAAAAGCUCCCUGCAAAUGAGAAAGUACAGAGGAUUAGAAGUUUGGGAUAAUAGUGGGAGCAGAAGUACAAGUGUGAACAGCAAAGCAAGCUGAUAAUUGGGGUAUGUUACUCUUAAGACUAAACAAAAAGAGCUGGUACCUGGGGCUCUGAUAUCUUGACACCCUCCAGUUCUCCAAAGCUUUUAACCAAGAAAUCUCGCCGUUCCCUGAAUGCUUUUACCAUUGUGGAAACAGCUUCCCCACCAGCAUAGCCCAUUCCCAAUGCAGCAACUGCUGCUUUCUGAGAUAUGCUACUGGCACCUGAAGUGAACUGGAAGAACACAACAUAGGAAUCAGAAAGACCUAGCCAUUUAAAGUGCAAGGACAUGGUUUGAGGUGUCCAUCCACUAUUGAAAUGAGCAUGUCGAAAUAUCCAAUUGCAGUAGAAGUUAAUAUAAAUUGAUUUUUCUCCAUAUGAUUUAAAAGAGAAAAAAUGAAAGAAUCAUCACAAAAAUAAAUCAACAAGUCAUAUCAACCCACAAAAUGAGUCACCCACAGUUUCAGCACAUUAAAAACAAUGCUGGAGUUAAAUCUUAAAUUUCUAUUUAUUUCACCAGUCAUCUACCCCCUUCUGUUCCUCACUCCCACGAAAUCCACUUUCAGAACCUCAAUGAUGAGCCCUAAAAGUACAACCAUCCACAGAUAACACAUAUUUAUGAGGUUCAGAAUUGCUAAUUGUGUUGAUAUCCCCUUAUAAAUGGCAUGUACAUGGAAAAGACCCAACCACACCCCCCCCCUCUUUUCAAUUUAACUACUGCAUCCAGACUACAAGACUUGUUUCAGACACACUUAUAAUUUUAUGAACACUUGAUAGAUUAAAUUCUCAAUACAAUCCACUUUAAUCAACACAAAAAAUGCAAGCAGAGCAUAGAACAAUAUUUCAUAUUCAGAAACAUAUAGAGUGAACACAUAGACAAAAUAUUUAUCCAGCGAUCACAAUAGACAUGGCUGGUAAACCGUACGUGUAUGUUCAAUUCAAUUCACGAUCCACCUAGCAUCGCUUGUGACGUGAUGCCUUAAUGAGGGACACAAGAUGCAUGCUGAAUAGAGCUUUCCCAUUGGAAAGUGAUAGGUGUGGUAUAGAUGUAAUAUACCUGACUCUGAAUCUUUCCACAUGCAGCAACAAAGUGUUUAGGACCAGCAAGAUACCCAAGCCGCCAGCCAGUCAUUGCGAAGGCCUACAAAUUAGCCACCCUAUAAAUGUCAAUCCACAAGAUGAGGCCAACACUUGACACGUAUCACUCAUGAAUAUAUGAAAGAUUGAAAGUAGAACUAUCCAAAAAGGAGAAUAUGAAAUCUAUGUCACAAGGAAAUACUUGAAUGAAUAUAACUAACCUUAGAAAACCCAUUGACUGUCAAAGUCCUCUCCCACAUGCCUGGCAAAGCUGCAAAGCUUGUAUGAGUUGCUGGUGCAUAAAUAAUAUGUUCAUAUAUUUCAUCAGACAAAACCUGAAUAUGACAGAAAAAAGAAAUUUUAGGUAAUGUCAGCUGAGUUUGGCAUGUUCAAGUGCAGAUCUCACUGUUGAGGUUCAAGUUCAUUCAUUCUUACCAGAAGCCUGGGGUGCCUUGCUACAAUCUGAGCAAUCUCUUCAAGCAGUUUCCUGGAGUAAACUGAUCCGGUUGGGUUGGAUGGAGAACAUAGAAUCAGCAAUCUUGACUUUUCAGUGAGUUUGGACUCAAGAAACUUUGGAUCUAGGAGAAAAUUUUCAGAGAUAAGUGUUGGAAGAAUGACAGGUGUUGCAUCUGCCAGUCUUGCCAUUUCUGGGUAACUCACCCAGAAUGGAGCUGGAAUUAUAACCUGAAGAACAAAGGCUAGUCAAUAAAUGAGAACCAUAUUUGCAGAUAAAAAGAAUCCAGACAAUAGCACAACUAGUAGCCCCUAAUCUAUAUUGCCAAGAACAUGACUUUGGUGAGUAUGCAUAAGAUUUUCCUUCAAAAAAUAUCGACUUAAAAAAAAAAGACAGAAGAAGAAAAAAAGGUAGAAACGUGCCAAUAUGCAAGUUUUGACACAUGGAGGAGGGCUAAUGGACUUCAAAUUGCCAUCAUGCUGGCAAUUUAAGUGAAUGGCCUGAACAGAUUGUGGAUAGCAAUGUCAGCAAAACAUCAGCAAAUUGAGUCAUUGGUUUUUGCCACAGUUUGUUUCACAUAUAAAGUAGGCAUCUCUUAGAACUGAUACCUGUAUGAAAUGCAGUUCAGAGAUGAAUUACAGCAGGCCAUGUUUCCAACAGAUGUAGAUUGGGAGGGACAAAAUUCCCAUAUGCUAACAUCUUUCUUGACACGUGCUAACAGGAUAAUUUAUUUUGCUAUUAGUGCAUGUUCGUGUAUUUUAUUGUGUUAAGGUACAGGCAGGGUAGGUGCAGAUGAUUACUAUCACUUGCAAAAUUUACAAAUCACCAGCUCUCUAUGAUUUAACUAACACAUUGGAUUUUGUUCAUACCAAAUUAAAUAGAGCAUAAAGUCCCGAUGGCACAAUGAUACCACAACUACUUUUUGUCAUGACUCCACAAGUUGUAAAUUUCAAUCAAACAGAAGAUGAUCUAGUAGAUAAACAGUUUGAUAGCUUUAUUUAUUUAUUUAUUUAUUGGAAGGAAAAUGGUAGCUUUAUGGACUUAUAAUUUUGUCUAAUUAAAGUCAGAGCUGAACAAUGGAAGAGGAAAGGUAUUCACUACACAACAUCCAAAUGAAGGUACUUCGUAGUUCAGCCCAAUAAACUCAGAUAGGAAAGAGCCAAAAGAAUAGUUGAGCAGACUAACAGCAUUUUUAAAUCUAAUGAUGAUUAUGAAGGUAUGAGCUACUUCACCUCAUCUCCUGGGGAGCAAACUGCAAGCACUGCUUGAAGAAUAGACUGUUUGGCUCCAUUACUAACCAAAAUCUCAUCAGGUGUAUAUGAGAGCCCAUUUUCCUCUGUCAAAAUAGUAGUAACCGUUAGAACCAUUAUCUCUGCAUUUCAGAAUAGAUAAUUAAUAGAUAGAAACACCCCACAUAUAGCAAACUAACCCUUCAACUUAUGACAAAUUGCUGAACGGACUUCCAAAGUACCCGCAUUUGGAGUGUACCUUGUGUAACCUUCACGAAUUGCAUUUAUCCCAGCCUAACAUUUUCAAAAAUAUCAGAAGAGAAGAACAGAUAGUAUCAGUGGUGUAAGUAUAGGUAAACACAUUAGCCACAGACCAAAAGAGAUUAAAUUGAAAAAGGUCAAAAAGAAAACCUCAGCUAUCACAGCUGGAGUAUCAAAAUCAGGUUCUCCAGCUGCUAAUCGUAUAACAGGGACUCCAGCUUGUACAAGAGCAGUUGCUUGGUCAGUAAUAGCUACUGUUUUAGAAGGCUUUACAGAAUUUACUCUGGGACUCAGUGAGAUAUCAACCUCCAUUUUCUCAGAUGUGCCCCCUGCCCUUACUAUAACAUCUAAUCUAGAUGACUGUACUUGUCUUGUAGACUCCAAGGAUCUAUCAGCACAGAUAUGAAUCAGAAAGCAAUAGGUGUUCCAAAACAUAGAAAGGAGAAAACAGAAAAUAUAAUAUUUAGGGUCAAUGGCUUGGUGGCACCUGCAGUUGCCCUUGAGGCCUGGCCAAGUAGCAAAAUGUUGGGAAGGGGAUAUGGGAAGUUCCAGGUUCAAAUCCCAACAGGGAGGGCAAAACAAUGUUACCUAUGUAGGACAUGUAGCAGCACUUAAACUAAGGCCAAAUCUUCAAAUAGAACCAGGGGUAAGCUAAUCAAUUACAAAUGAAAAGCAAUUGACAUUUCAACAUGACCACAGUAAUUUCAAGCAACCAGGAAGUUAGAUAUAUUGUUAUAGAUCAAGGCACAAAAGUGUAAAGGUAUUAAUUGAACCCUCUGCCACCAUUUAUUAUGCUCUUGUAAAGUCCUUUUAAGAAGCAAGAAAAGUAGUGUUUCUUUUUUGCCUUCCUUAAAAGCAAGAAUUGAAAGUUUGUAUUGUUAAACAGUAUCAAAAAUGAUAUUUGACCGAGAAAAACAUGAAAGUAGGUGCAAGAGUGGAAUUAGCAACAUUAACAAUGGUGGUGGUGGAAAAGGCAAUAGCAGCGGUGGGAAGUGCUGGAAAAUUAAGUGUGGUGGCAACUGUGAGCAAUGGCAGUUAAGGUAGAAAAGACAAUUGAAGCGAUAAUGCUGAAAAAAAGAUUGUUAUGGUUGUCCUGCAAUCCCAAAAGGAUGGUGGCAGACCAGUUUUGGGUUGAAUGCCUAUAAUUCCUGUAGCGUAGUGAUGAGUCUAGCAACAACUAUGGUGGUUUGUUGGCGAAGGUCCAUAAAAUAUAAAGGCAAUCAAAUUUUUUGCUCUCAACAUAAAACGCUUCUUAUUUCAUUCAAAAGAAAGCAAAAAAUAAAGCUCUCAUAAUGCAUUCCAAACCCAAGUUCCCAUCUUCUAUUACUUCUUGCUUCACCAUUUUUCCAAAGUUCUUGCUUCCAAAGCUGAGAAAAGAACUUCCAAGAUGCUAAGAAGGAACCAGGAAGUGCCUAAUUUCCUCACAUUAAACCAAGAACAGUCCCCCAAUUUCAAUAUCCAAAAAGUCAGAACUCUUUUUGCUUUUGAAAAUCAGGAAAAAAAAAAUGACAUAAAUGCCUGCUUUUGAAGAACUACUUUCAAAAAAGGCAAUUUUGAAAAUGGGUAUGGUUUAGGUAACAUUAAAAAUUAUAAUACACGAUAGGGUUUUUCUAUUUUCCGUACCACAACAAAAAGUGCUCCCAAUCGAGUGGUCACAAUUCCAAAGGAAAUGAGUUCGCAAAUCUCAUUCUCUCAUUUCCUUGUACUUGGUUGCAUUCAUUUGUACUUGAAUCUCUUUUUUUCUAUUUUUUGUUUUUAAAUUUGUUGGGCUAGAUUAAUGCUUGUUGUGGAUUCGAAAGGAAUGAAAAUAUUUCUGAAAAAAUCAUUUUCAUUUCUACUGCCAAAACGCGUUUUAAACACCAUAUCUUAAAAGAAAUGUGAUGCCAAACAAAUAGUAAAAACAAAACAGGUUCAUUCAAACCCUAUGCGCCACAUAAAGGAUCAUUACAAAAAAAAAUGAAUUUAACAGCAAAUUCAUAGUUUCCAGAAAGCAAACAAACAAGACUCAUCUAAAGCUCCGUUGUGCUGUUGAAAACGAGAGGGAAACGAGAAUUGAUAACUUCAAAAUUUUGAGCCCUUGGGUUCACGAAGUAUCGAUCACCCUUUCCCUCUUUCAUUUUCCUCCAGUUUCUCAGCAACCAAACAGACCAUAACGUUAGAAUUAAAGAAACUUCAAAGAAAGGAAUGAGAAAAGUAAAUUGAAAUGAAGGGAAGCAGGAAGAAAAAAAACAGACUUACUUGAGACUGUGAAAACGAGAGGGAAAAGAGACGGAUCUGAAGCACUCCGAUCCUAUAGAUUGAUCUGCGAAGCAUAGGCGAGUGGGUUUAGGGGUGAAAGUAGUGAAAGAGGAGGCUGCCAUCGAUGUUUGGUGAAUCGGAUUCGAAGUUUCCAAUGAAGCAGCCAACUAUAGUUACCUUAUAAUAUAGUGAGGGAGUGUUUCACAAGAUGAGCGGGGUUGGUGGAGACCAGGGUUGUUGGAGGAGGCUGCUCUCCUUUGGUCCCCUUUCAAGACAGGAAGGUAGUGGGUCCUUUCAUCAUCCGACUUACCCUUUCAGCGCUGUCUCCCUUAUAGUCUGAAUUAUGUUUCAUUUUGAGUUUUUUAUUAGGAUAGAAAAUGGUGAAAAUAUAAAAUAAAAUUAUUUUUACAAUAUACAUGUGUGAUGGUAUGAGAGAUAUUAUUAAAAAUGAUAGUAUUAUUAUUUUUGUAUGAUACUUGUUUGUGAUAUUAUUAUUAUAUUAGAUUUAUUUAUUUUUUGUUAUAUUUUUUAUUUAAAAUAAUUUAUUAAUCCCACAUAAUGACCCCUAGAGGAUUCAAACUGAUAACCAUUGAAGAGCAAACCUAACACGGAACCAACUUAGCUACCCUCAUAGUUAUAAUCUAAUAAAUAAUAUUCUAUUUCACAUAUAUAUAAGAUCACAUUUUAAAUUAAUAAUUCUUUGAUAUUUAUAAUAUUCAUAUUCAUCUUAUAUGAUUUUAUUCCCUAUUUCACUUUCAAUAUUUUUUAAAAUAAUUUUCCCUUAAAAAUUAAGAAAAAAAAACGAUAGAAUAAUGUUUUCACUUUUUCUAUUUUUAUAUAUGUUUUCAUAUCCUAAUUUAUGUUUUCUUUGAAAACAAAAACUGAAAAAAAAUGUAAACUUCUAUUUAGUAAUGAUUUUAAGAAUGAUUUUUUAAUCUAAAAAUUAUUUUUUAAAAAAUAUUAGGUAUUUGAUAAAAUUUAAAAAAUAUUUCUAAAAAUUUGAAAACUAAACACUUAAAAAAUAUUAGGUGUUUGAUUUUUCGAUUCUUCUAAAAAUACAAACACUCCCAGACGUACUCUACAUUUAGUGUUGAUCUUUUUAUAUUUAAAAAAAAAAAAUUGUAACUUUUAUGUAAAAUAUAACAAUACUUCAAAAAAAAAAAUAUCAAUCUUGUCUUGUGUCUUUUAAAAUUUAAAGUAGUAAAAAAAAUUUAGUAUGUUAUUUUUUUUAAUCAGUUUCAAUCACUUUUUUCUUAAAAUAAGCCUCCGAAAUUCGUCCAUUUUCUAUUUUUAAAAGCAUGAAAUAACAUGAGAAGAAUGUCCAGACCACAACGUAGCCUAUCUAUGUUUUCCCCCUUUUUUAAUUCUCUCUAUGGGGUUGAUGUUAAUGUGCUGAAACACAAGGUUUCUAGAUGUGAUAUGGUAUAAUAUACUUCGAGUAGGUGUACCUACCUCCCCAAGGCGUCUCUCACUGACAGGGGAUUAUGCAAAACGAUGACGUUCGGCUGAGGCAAAAUGUUUUUAUAACCCACCUUACCAUCAGGAUUGGCAUGGGAGAUGGGUGCUCGAGACUUUCAGAUAUCCCACCAAAGUACUUGUCUGAUUGCCCCUCUCUUGCCAAACUUCUCUCGACUGAUGUUUGAGGUUUUAGCAGCAAAAGAUUUAGUCAUGCCUAACUGGGUGGCACCUUUGGCACCCAGCUAAAUGUGGUAAUUGCAGUCUUUGAACAAAUCUUUCAGAUAUAUUAUAUUACUCGGUUAGAUUUCUUGCUAUGUUUCUUUCACAUUUUUAUUUUUCUGCAAAAGCCGAAUAUUUUCCUGCACGCCAUACUAUAAAAUCAUCAAUGUCUAAGCGGAGGCAUACUACAGAAUUAGAACAGAAACAUGCUAUAAAGAAUUGGAAUGGAAAACUUAUUUAGAGCCCCUCAAUUUGAAGUAGAGGGUUGCGUAACCUGUAAAGUGAAUAUGUACGCAUGGGUCCCCAUUGCUGGAAGCUGCAGACAGUUCAAAUAAGAUGCUUCCAGGUUCCUCUACAGUCUAAUUCAUGAUCUCCUUAUUAACAAAAUAGACUAAGAGUUCAUUUGAUAGUAAUUCUAAAAAAUGUUUUUAAUAUUUUUAAUACUUGAAAAUUUUUAUCAUUUAAGUGUUAGAAAUACUAAAAAUGUUUUCUAGAAUUACUCCCAAACGAACUUUUAAAGUGUGUUUGACAGUAAUUCAAGAAAACAUUUCUACAUUUUUUAACACUUGAAUGAUAAAAAUUUUCAAAUAUUAAAAAUGUUAAAAACGUUUUCUAAAAUUACUAUCAAACAGGCUCUAAAUAAUUGACACCGCAUCGCAUUCUUUGUAGAAGCCUCUCUGCUUCCUUCAUCAAAAUACCAACAAAAAGGGGAUUAGAGUAGAAGCUUACUCGCAUAGCUGAGGCAUCACAUUUGAUUGGGGUGCAUUGUCUGUUUAAGCCCCCUUCAGCUGUUCUGCCUUGGCCUCCACCAUAACAGAAACUUUCUGUGUUCAAAAGCUGCAAUCACAAAACAAUUGGAGAUUUUUCUUUGCACUCCUAUGGUUUUCUUUAGGUUACAAGAUUAAUCCUCAAGACCCAACCCACCGUAUCACUCCCUACCCUAACCUAUCAAUGGAUUGGAGAGUCACCAUCCAUCCACUUUGUAAUGUUAAAGCACCUAACAUCCUUAUCAGGCUCUGUACAGCGAUGUUAAUGUCUGGUAUAGCUGGUAAUCACAUAUUGCAACAUUCUGGUCGGCUUCACUUUCAUGCUUAGCUUAUAAUUAUUAUAAGCUGCUAUCAAGACUCUGAUGACUUGAUCCAAAUUGAGCCACCAUGCUAGAAACCCAUGGUUAAAAAGUUCAGUGGUUUUCUAUUAUUGAAUCUCCCGAAUCCGUAAGGCACAGCUAAACAUUUUUUUUUUUUUGAUACACAAACAAGAAUAUAUAAAAGACAUCAAUCAAAGAGCGGGUGUUGCACCCCAAGUACAGGGGAGGUAUACAAAGGAUGCCAAAACAACAAACAAACCACCUCAAACAUGCACACAAAACACUGUCCCACUAACUAAACUGAUAAAUAAAAUCUAACAAGAAAAGAGGUCCAUCUUGAAUAUGUUGGCAAGUCCAUUGGAAUAGGGCGCAGAUAAGAGUGUCCUUUAGCACUUGAUCUCACCAUUGAAUUCCAUCAAAGUAUCUUCAGUUCCUCUUUUGCCAAAGAAUCCAAAACAAGCAAAGAAGGUUUGUCCUCUAAAUCUCUUUCUAUUUUUGCUAACAAAACUCUCAUGUCAUCCUUUUAGCAAAUCUUUCACAGAAAAAAUGGCCUAAAAAAGGGCCAAAUAGAGAAAAUAAAAAAUGCCAAAGACCCCUUGACUUUUCACAAUGGAUUAGCAUAUGAUUAAUUGGUUUUGUUGAACUCAUAUAUAAACACUAUGAUACCUGGAUCCUCCAAUCUGACCUAACUUAGCUAUCUCGAUAUGACAUGACAAGGGUGUGGAUAUGGGAUCGUUAUCAAAUAUUCGAAUUUUACUUCGAGUGUGAUUAUUUGAUUUUUUUAUUGAUAUCCUUUUAUUUUUUCAACUUUCUUAGUAAUUAUAUUAUAGAAAAAGAAGAGUUGGCCGAAAAGUAAAUUUUUGUGAGAAUAAUUAGCAAUAUGAGAAAAAAAAAAAAAAAAAAGGGGGGGCGGGGGGGAUUAGAGGGAAAAUAUGAGAGCUUUUUAAAAGGAUAUCUUCAUUUUCAAUUUAUUUUUAAUUGAUUUUUCUUUCAUUAUGUCAUGUCCUGGUAACCAUAUCCCCUUUUCUGGAUCCUUUUUAGCCAAGUCCUUGUAUCCUAAUUUGAGUUGUGUAAGAGGCACAUACCCAAAUCCAACAUUCAUACCUGGACCCAUGCAACAUAGCAUAAAUAACAAUCAUUAGCCAACAGUCAACCUCUUCUCUUAAGUUGAUCUAGGGUUGGUAAGCUUUCCCAUACAGCCUCCUAAGCAAAAAAAAAAAAAAGCUCACUUUGAAAGACACCCAAAAGCCCCACACUACCUUUGAGGAAAAAGACACUCCACCCGAUUCUAGGGAAGAAUAGAAAGAUUUAAACAACAAGUUCCCGCUCUUGCUAGCCUUCCAAAUCAGCUUAUCUGCGUCCUCACUGCACUUCCCAAGCACUUGAAGCCUCAUAAGCAACUCUUUGAUUCUAUGUAACUCCCAAUCUUGAAACUAUCUCGUUCCAAACAACCUGCCCGCUUAAGACCUCCCAAGUAGUCAUCACCCAAGCCUCUCUAUCAGAUGCACAACUAAACAUAAAAGAUUAAUGAUAGAACAAAUUUUGUCAAGCACUUCAGUCACUUGCAUUAAUGCAUAUCACUCACAAGGCCUGAAUUCACACAACUCAGGAUUGUCUAUAUAAAUCAUUCACCAUUCAUCUCUACCAAUGUCCAAAGCCUCCUAAAUCAUAUGCCUACAUGUCAAUUCUCACCAACUCAGUCCACAUCUUUUUUAGCCUUCCUCCUUUGGUCCUUCCUCUCUUCUUUCUUACACCCUUUGUCUGAAUCAAAUCAGGCCACAGGACCCUUAUAGGAAAUACUUAUAACGAGUUCACAACCUUUUCAAAACUUUAGGCUGACGGAUAAGGACAGACAUUCAAUAAUUGAAAUAAAAAUGUGCAGAGGCAAGAAUUUAAGAUGUAUACCAAGAAGUUUAGGCUCACUAUGUAUAACAUGUUAGAAUUUCAUGAUUUCAAGAUGCAAUUAGGAAACUAGUAGUAUAAUCUAAGGUGGCAAAUUGCCAGUCCAUAAUGACAAAAUUGAAUCCUAGUUAGAUACCAAACUCAUCCCAUACAACAAAAAUGAGUCAUUCAGACUAAAGAUUAAACUGAAAUAUGAACAUCAUCUCCAUCAAAUCAUAUAUAUCCAAAUCUCUCAUCUCAAAACCAUCAAUUAUUAGUUAUUACCAGAGAAACAGAUUUGACAAUGUAUAAAACAUGUAGAUAAAUCAAGCCCAAAAAGGAAGGGUGCCAAUUCUGAAGAAAGAAUACCUCAUAUUCGAGUACAAGAUGAAUCAAAAUCAUCAGGAGCAACUCGAGCAAUCCAAUUGCUCAGCGUCCUCUUAAUAUCAGAAUGAUUAACAUAGGCCAACUCAUACAUGCUACACAAAUUAACCACAAGAGUCUCAUUCAGAGCUACUGUAGGAACCCUUUCGAGGGCAUUCUCCAACACCUUGAUCGAAUCCGAUAAGUCCCUCAAAUACAUCAAGCACAGAGCUUUGUUAUUGAUAGCCACAACAUCCGAACCAUCCCUCUCAAUGCACUCCUCGUACUCCCUCACUGCAGACACAUAAUCUUUUCCCACUAAGUAAACCAGCGCCUUAUUCCGAUUCACAAGGUUCUUGAACUCAAUUUCGCUCAAUGAACCUAAUCUCUCUUCCUUACCCAUCUUCUCUACCAGUUCGAACGACGCCUUCGCCCCCUCCAAAUCCCCAAUCUGCAGCUGAAUGCAGCCGAGCUUCGACACCAGCGCCGGAUCAUCGCGACAUCUGCCGCUCAGUAACUGCCUGAUCAAACUCACACACACACCAAAUUCCUUGUGACUCAAAUGGUGCCCGAUUAUCGAAUUCACCACAAAAACCUCCCUCCUCUUCCACACAUCCGCAGAAACCCCCAGCCCCCUCGACCCUUUCUCAUCCACCCUCGUCCGCGCAAAAUCGAGCAGCGUAUACAACCGAUCUAGGGUUUCCUGGCGCUUCCCCAAUUUCAACGGAAUCUCGGCAUGGAUCCACCGGAGAGCGAACGGAAUCAUGGAACCAGACCGGCCGGGGUACACAUCAGGGUGUGAUUCGUACUGGUAGAUGGAGUGAUCGAGAUCCUCCAGCGAUGCCAGCUCCUCCGAAACGUCGCCGUAUCGACGGAGCUUGAUGAGAGCCAGGACGUUGUAGGAGAAAUAGCAUAGGUGUUCGUGGGGCUUUUGGAGGAGAGAGAGCUUGCGGGCGCGAGAGACCUUGUCGAGAAUGGAACGCCAUGAGCCUCGAGUGGCGAGCUCUUGGAGAGACGAGAGCUCGUAGCAGAGGUCGUUGAGGGAGCCGAACGGGCUCGACAGUGGGUCGCUGGCGAUAAAGCCAUCAGCGGCCGGAGUUGAAUCCUCCGACGGGGCAUCAGUGGCCAUGUUUCGUGAAUUGAAGAAUGGCUCGACUCAGCUUCACUGCUGUGGGAAUAGCUUGCGACGAUCAGAUCCGGCUGCUUUUAAUUAUUAUUAUUCUUUUUUACUUAUGAAUUUAUUUUUCAAAAUAUGUUUUAUACAUUAAUCACUCCUAAAUUUGUUUAAUAUGAUAUAAAAUUUUAAAAUUUACCUAAUAAUAUCUUAGGCUUAUAAAUGGCUGGUUUCAAGCCCAAUUCAACCCAAAUUGAGUAAUAACUAAAGUGAUAGUUAAUAUUUUAUUUUUUUAUUUUUAGUUUUACCGUUUUUUAAGUCUUUAAUUAUAUAUUUAAUUUUUAUUUAUUGAUCUCAAACCAAUUCUCAUAGUAAAAUAAAUUAUCUAUUGAUAAAACUGUCAUUUCAAAAAAUAAUUAUUUAAAUUAUGAUAUAUAUAUAUAUAUAUUUAAAUAGAGAAAGAUAAAUCUAGUUUAUAAAAUUUAACGUUCUUUUUGCUAUAAAUAUAUAUAUUUUUUUUAAAGUUAAACCCAUUUUUCCCUUUGAAUUAAAUACACCUAAUCAUCGUUUAUUUGAAAUUCCAUAAAAUAUUUUUUUUUUCAUUUUUCAUUUGUUAUUUUUAUUAAUCUAUUCUUUAAUUUAAAAUAGGAAAAAUAUUUAAUAAAAUAAAAAAUCAAACCAAUUAUUAAAACGAAAAAGUUAUGAUUUACUAUUCAAUGGUUGAACGAUAAUAGAACCCAUAACAUCAUAAAUAUAUAAUUUAUAUAUUAUUAAAUUAAAAAUAAUUUUAAAAUUUUAAAAUAUACAUAUAAAUAAAUUAAAAAUCAAUAAUAUUUAUUUUUUAUCUUUUAUAUUAUCAAAUUAAAUAAUGCAUAAGUAUAAAUGUAUUAAUAUACUAAAUUUCAUUAAAUGAGAUAUGUAUAAUAUUUUAAGUGGAUAUAUUAAAAAUCAAAGAAAAUCCAAUUAUUUAAUUUUAGCUAAUUUUAUAAUUUUUAAAAAUAUUAUAUUAUUGUUAUUCAAUAUUUUAAAUUUUUAUUUUAGAAAAGAAAUAUAUUGUUUUUUGUUUGCCUUAAAAGCAUCAAAACAUGUGUAGCCGGGUGAUGCCCCAUACCACUUUCUGAGCGCUUUUCAAAAUUAUUCAAUAAAAACUGAAGAAAAAACUAUAUCUCUUAAUCAAAAUUUAGAAAGUCUUCAAUUAUUGAGUCAAAACACUAUUAAUCAUCAGAGGAAGAAAUUUAACUAUAUUCAUAUAGGAUUAGUUCAAGUUGCCAUAAAACCUUUGUUUCAUUUAGGUUUAGAUAUUCUUAUUUUUGUUUGUUUAAGAGACGCUAGGUCAACAAGAUUUACUGAUUCCGUCCUUAGUACGAUUGAUUCAAACCUUGCCAAUGGUCUCGUUUAUUUUAAUUGUUUUCCAAACUUUUCCAUGAAUAUAAAUUACCCAAGUAUUCUUUCAAGUUUAACCUUAAACAUUAAAACCAAAAAUAUGAAUUUUGUAGAAGAAGCUUAAACUAUAGCAAUAAUCUAUAGGAUAUAUUAUAAAGUCAUGACAACCCAAUUAAAUCCUAGAGCUAUAUGUUAAUCCGUCAAAGAUGAAACAUUAUUAUUACAAUAUAAUCCUAAUAAUACUCAAGCUUUUGUUCCUAAAAAAUUAAAAUGGAAUGAAAUUACUCAAGAAGGUCAAUGGGAAUUAAAAGAUUUAACUUUUCCAAAACCAAUUAAACCUUUAACAACUCCUUCAAAAAUUAUACAACAUACAAAUGGUACUAUUCAAAUAUAAUUUAGUCCAGCUUCUAGAUAUUCAUUUAAUCAAGAUUUUAUAUCUGCAAGACCUUCUACUUCAAAUCCUAGCCUAAAUGGUGUUGAUUUUACUCCAAAAAUUCCUAUUCCUGUAUAUCAGCAACAAGAAUCUCCUCCUGCUUCACCUACUCAUUGAGAUAUGUAUCCUAAUCAAGUUAAUAUUAUUCACAAGAAAAAUUAUAAAAAGACUCCUUUUACUCCUAAUAUCGAAUGGAUAAAAUCAGAUUAUUUUGCCCCUUAUAAUAAUACCAAAAGAGUUUAUUUUCAAACAUUUCCACUACAAACUAGAAAUGCAUUAAGAAAACAAUAUGAAAAAUAUAUGAAUCAAAAGAAAUUACUAUUCCUUUUUUCUAUUGGUUUUUCAAAAUUAAAAAACAAAGAAAACAAAUUAUAACUUUAAGAGAUAAAGAAAGACAUCAAUUGGCAAUAAAACAUUCAGAAAAUGUUCAAAAAAGAAUUUUAACAAUAACCUCAGAAUUAGGUUCACAACCACCCUUAAAUAAUCAUCAAUUUAAUUUUGACAAUAAUUCAAUUUCUGCAUCACCCUUCAAAAUUCCAAUAACCAAAUAUGAACAAAGUCCCAUAAUUUAUAAGGAUAUUAGACAAGUUCAACAACAAUUAAAUUAUACAAAUCAUUCUCUUCAACAUUUAAGUCAACAAAUAACAAAAAUUUCCAAAUUUUUGUUUUCUUCUACCCCGGGAGGGAAGAUAGGAGAAACGAAAACAUUAAUAUCAAAAUCUUCAAAAAUUUCAUCAACUUUAUCAUCAUCAUCAUCAUCUUCCAAAUCUUUAGAACAACCUUUUAUUAUUCCUAUAAAUGUUGCAAAAUCAAAUAUUCAAUUAGUCAUACCAAGAGAAACAAUGUUAAAAGAAAUACAAAUUAGAUUAGAUAAACUCAAUAUUAACGGUAUUAAGAAUCAAAUUCAAACUAUAACAAAAGGAAAAUCAGAAAUAAAUAAAAUAGAAGAACAAUUCAAAAUGUCUCCUGAUUCAAUAGAAAAACCCCCUGCAACAGUCAAUGCAAUUUCUAAUAAUUUUAUAAGUAGAAAAAAUUAUUAUUCAAAACCCUAUUUUCCUGAUGUUCAAUUAGAAGAAAGAAAUUAUCAAUUAGCUGCUAGUUAUGAUGGUAGUAGUUUUUAUGAAUGGAAUAUAGAUGGAAUGAGUGAACAUCAAAUAAUUAAUUUACUUCAUGAAAUGAUGAUGGCUGCUAACGCAUAUAGAAUCAAGACUAGUAACUCUGACUUUCAUGCUGCAGGCACCUUAGUAAUAGGAUUCAUUGGAUUACUUAAAGGUUGGCAGGAUCAUUAUUUGAGUCAAAAUGACAGAGAAUACAUAUUAAAUGCAAAAAAGACAAUAGUCAAAGAAGAAGGAACAUCGGUCCAAACUUAUGAAGAAGAUGAUGUCAAUACAUUAAUAUUUGCAAUAACAAAACAUUUUAUAGGAGAUCCAGUUUAUUUUCAAGAAAGAACUUCUGAAAUCCUUAAUAAUCUUAGAUGUCCAACACUUCAAGAUUUCAAGUGGUAUAAAGAUAUGUUUUUGGUUAAAGUUAUGACAAGACAUGAUUGUGGAAGUCAUUAUUGGAAAGAAAAAUUUAUAUCAGGUUUACCCACUCUAUUUGUAGAAAAGGUUAGACAAAGAAUAAGAAAUAUUCAUAAUGGUAGAAUUCCUUAUGAGUCAUUAACAUAUGGAGAACUAAUUACUUUUGUCAAUAAUGAAGGAUUAGCUCUUUGUACAGAUCUCAAAUUAAAGAGUCAAAUGAAAAAAGAAAAACAAGACAAUAAAAAAGAAUUAGGAAAAUUUUGUUCAUAUUAUGGUUAUGAUACAAUAGUUGUCCCUUCAAAAAGAAAAAAUAAGCAAAAUAAAAUAAAAAGUAAAAAACCAUAUAUAGAGCCAAAAUUUCAAAAGAAGUUUGUAAAAUCUACUCCUAAUAAACCAAAAUCAUCAAAUAAAAUAGCUUUAAAGAAAAAAAACCCCAACAUGUUAUAAAUGUGGAAAAGUAGGACAUUACUCAAGAGAUUGUCAAUUAGAAAACAAGAUCAAUUCAUUAGAAAUAAGUGAAAACCCCAACAUGUUAUAAAUGUGGAAAAGUAGGACAUUACUCAAGAGAUUGUCAAUUAGAAAACAAGAUCAAUUCAUUAGAAAUAAGUUAUAAACUUAAAAAUUUAAUGAUAGGAUUAAUGAUUGAUAAAGAAAAUGAAGAAUCAAGUGAAAAUUGUGACUCAGAAGAACAUAAUCAAAUACUAAUAACACAAGAAAUAUCAAGUGAAGAGUCAAGUCUAGAAGAAGAAUUAUAUAAUAAAAAAGAUUGUGAUGGUAUUUGUGCAUGCUCAUAUAAAUCAAUAAAUGUGACUUCAAAAUAUUCAAAAUCUCCUUUUAAUCUCAUUAUUCAAAAUUAUGUGUCUCUCAUAAACUUAAUAUAUUUUCAAUUUUGGUAUGAUAAAGACAAAACCAUUAGAUACUUGUUUUAUUCUUCAAAAAAGAAACUAAAAUUUGAAAUUUUUCUACAGAUGGAGCAAGAAAGGAUUACAUUUGGGAAAUUUACUCUUCCAAUAAUUCCUAAAAGUAAUCUGUCAUUCAGGAUUCAUAAAGAUAUAGAAGGAGUAGACAGAUCACAAAAGUGCAUUUUAGACAACCUCUGGAAUGCAAAAAGUGAUAUUCAAAAGUUGGAAGCUUUAAAUGCUUUAUUUUUUCAUUUUAAACAGUUAAAUGAUAAAUUAGAAAGUUUUUCUAACAUUUCAAGUUCUGAUAUACAUUGCAUCCCAAUGGAUACAGAUCUUGAAAAUUUCAUUUGCAGGAAAAAAGCAAAAGAAUCCAAAGAUACAUUUUCAAAAUCUUUUCAAAAUGAAUUUCAAAAAGAAAAAUCAAAUCAAAAUGAAGAUUCAAAACUUUAUGAGGAUAGCCAAGAAUUUCAACUUUCUAGAUUUUCAUUUUUCAAGCAAAAGAAUUUGAAUCUUCCUCAUAACAUUAGACAGAUGAUCAGUGAAAAGGCUCAAGCUAUAGGGGAAGCAAAGCAAUAGCAUAUCAUGCAAUUUCUUGCUGACUGUAGCACUUUUGGAAUUCCUAUUCAAGGGAUGAGGUUUACCUGGAUUUCUCAUUAUGACAACACUUAUAAUAAUUGUCCAAAGACCGAUCCCUUGUGUACGGAAAUUCCAUUAGAAAAGCAUGAUUGUACGUGUGCUCUUAUUUACAGUAUUUACAAAGUCAAUAUUGACCUAGACAGUUACAAACCAAUAAUCAUUAAGUUCAACAAUGAGUCAAUAGAACUAACUCCUUCUCUUCUCGUGGAUUAUGGAGUUCUUUAUCAACUAAUUUUCUCCAAUCCUGAUCAAACCGAUGGAUUUGGAAGAAAAUUAGCAAUCUGUGUAUUAAAUGCCUUCAUCAGAGAUUUCAAAUCAGUUGAACUCAUUAUAGAAAGCAAACCUCCUGAAUGGUCGAAUGAUGGAGGUGUUUACCUUGCUCAAUUUCUCAUCCUUCUCAAAGCCAAUCAAAGAAAACAUCAAUUGUUUGGUACAGAGAGCCCUUGGCCUUGUACUAAAUUCAGCCUUAAAAAACAAAUCAGACAUUGGAGAUCAAGAAUGAUUGCAAGAAAUCUUGAUUAUGAGAUUUAUAGUUCUUCUAACUAUAAUCUCAUUGCUGAAGACAACAUUCAAAAAAUCAUUUCUGCAACCAAUCUUCCUGAAGUCCCUCUUCUUUUUCAGACUCAAUUUACUUAUCUUGUUGAUAAGUACAAAAAGGAAUAUGUCCUUGAGGAAGAAGCCCGAAGAACUUUUGAAAAAUAUCUCUUAGAAAUGCUAAGCUAAGAGAUAUCAAGAAUCUUUUGUACAUUUAUACCUUUGUAAAUUGUUCCCUUAUGUUUAUAAAAAAAAAAAGUUUGUAAAGCCUGAAAGUGUGAAAAGUAUGUAAUGUAAAAAAAAAAUUCAAUAAGUCAAAAGUCAUGAACAGUAGUGAACAGUAUACUUUGUCUACUAAUUCACUUGGCAAGCAACGUGGAGAAAACAAAGAGAAAUUUUCUUCUCAAGCUUCUGACAAAGAAAAAGAAAAUUAUUCUUCCUCUGUAGACUUCAAGGCCACAACUGUCUCCACACGUGAUGAAGUUAAAAAUUUUCAAGAUUGAAAGAAAGUCUCAAGUCCGCUCCCUCGCCUAUAAAUUGAGCUCAAACCUUCUUCAUUAGGCAGAGCUUGCGAGAGUGAGAGUGAGAAAUUAAGAGUUCAAAAAUUUUCUCUUGUAAUUUUCUUCCUUUUGUAUUCAUCAAUCUGAGUCAUCCUUCUACUGUCAACCAACUUGUAUUCAUCAACUCUCUGUAAUCAAGGUAUAUUUCCAAUAAACAAUAUUUUCAGAUUCAAAUAUCUGUAUUUUUAUGUUUAAAUUUCUGCAAUAAAUUAGACAUAAUUAGACAUUAAAUAUUUCCGUUUUUAUGCUUGGAGAUCAUUAGACAAAAUUAAUUAUUGCGUGCAUGAAUUGUUAUAUGUCCUGGGUGCAAAUGGUAUCAAAGCCACGUUCUGCUUGAGAACCGAGUGGUGUUACGAGUUGGAACAGUAAUUAAUCAUAGAUUUAGUCCUGACUUAGUUCGGGUUGAAUUUCCUGUGAACGGAUUGGUCAGCCUGUGAUAGCGGUGCUUAAGGGCAGAAGGAGCAUAAGUCCCCUGUCGAUCCGCUUGUGGUGGUCCCUGUUCAAGAAAUUAUCUGAAUUGAUUAAGAAGAAAUUUGUGAUUAUUUUCUGUGACAAUGAGUAAUAUUAUUAGGGAAUUAAGUAGAACCAGUUCUUCCAGAUCUCUUAGGUCUCAUGAUAGUUCUGCAUCUACAUUAAAUAAUUCUGCAUCUGAUUUAGAAAGAUCUUCAUAUAAGAUAAUCAGCUUAUCUGCAUCAUAUGUUGCAUCAUUAUCUGCAUCAUUUUAUAGUCAUCACAUAAAAUUUAAUAUUUCAAAAUUAGAUGAAGAAAUGAGUCAAAUAGAAAAUCAACUAAAAAAUAUGUCAAACUUUGUUCCGGAAAUUCCUCUUUUUAAAGAAGAGUCCGAGUCAAUUAAUUUUUCUCAAUAUAAAUCUCCUUUAAACAUAAAUAUCAUUAGAAAAAAAAAUAUUAAAAGAAAUCCUUUUGUUCCUGAAGUAGAAUUGAUCAAAACAAAUUACUUUUCUCCUGAAAAUACUGCAAAAAGAAAUUAUUUUCAACAACUUCUUCCUCAAGUUAGAAAUGCUUUAAGAAAAGAAUAUGAAAAAUAUAUGCAACAAGUUAGGAUGACUAUUCCUUUUUUCCUUUGGUUUUUCAAAUAUAGGAAACCCCUUAAAAGAAUUGCAACAUUAACUUCAAGAAAAUCAAUAGAAAAUUCUCCACAUAAUAAAAAAUUGUUAUAACAACAAAACUCAAAUCCAGAAGAGUCAAGUAAAAAAUCAAAAGAAGAGUCAAGGAAAACAAAAUUUAAUCAAAUUUUGUUUUCUUCUGCCCCAGGAGAGGUGGAGGAAUCAAAGAUAGAAGAAAAAACAAUAAAAGAAAUUAAUGAAAUACAAAAAAUAGAAAAUAAAGAAAAAACAAAAACAAUAAAUGUAAUAUCUUCAAAAGUAGAUAAGCAAAUAUUUUUUGAUGUUGUAGAUAAAAUUCAAGAUGAAGAAACACAAAGAAACUAUUUAAAAAAUUUUAAAAAUUUAAUUCUCAAUGAAGAUUCAAAUAAAAUUCAAAUCAAACUUACACAAUACUCAAUGGAUGAAAUUUAUAAUAGAUUCAUAAAAAAUCAAAGGCCAAUAACCAUUAAAGACUUGGAAGAAGAAAUAAAAGAAAUAAAAAGUCAAAUAAAUCAAUUAAAAUUAAAUAAUGAACAAAUAAAAUUAGAAAACAAAAUAAUAAAACAAAAAAAUGAGCAAAUAAAACAAGAAAAUGAACAAAUUAGAAAUGUAAUACAAUAUAAACAAGAUUUUGCUGAAACCUCUGAUAAUCAAGACCCAGGAAUAAUAAUACCUAAUAAACAAACUCCUAUAGAAUCAUUUAUAAAUACAAUAACAAAAAUAGAUUUUUAAAGAUGGUAUACAAAUAUAAAACUCAUAGUAGAAGAUUUUGAAAUGGAAAUAGUAGCAUUAAUAGACUCAAGAGCUUAUAUGAAUUGUAUUCAAGAAGGAUUAAUUCCUGUUAAAUAUUAUGAACAAACCGGACAAGAACUUUUUGCUGCAAAUAAAGGAAAAUUAGAAAUAGAAUUUAAACUUCAAAAUGUUCAUAUAUGUCAAAAUAAUUAUUGUUUUAGAACUCAAUUUAUAUUAGUACAAAAUAUGACUGAAACUAUAAUCUUAGGAACUCCUUUUAUUACAUUACUUUACCUUUUUCAAGUAAAUGAUGAAGGUGUCAAAACUACAAUAUUAGGAAACACUAUAUUUUUCCCUUUUAUAUAUCCAUUAACUAAAAAAGAAAUACAUCAAGUCCAAAGUGAUUCAAUAAAUAAAAUAAUAAAUUUAAUUCAAAAAAAACAAGCUCAUAUAAAUUAUUUAUCAAAAGAAAUUCAAUAUAAAAAGAUAGAAGAACAACUUGUACUAGAAAAGGUUCAAAAUAAAAUAAAAUAAACUCAAGAUCUUUUUCAAAAGGAAAUUUGUUCUGAUCUUCCAAAUGCUUUUUGGUCCAGAAAGAAACAUGAGAUAAGUCUGUCUUACAUUCAAAGCUUUGAUGAAUCUAAAAUUCCAACUAAGGGUAGACCUAUUCAAAUGAAUGAAAACUUUUAGAAUAUUGUAAACAAGAAAUUAAUUCAUUAUUAAAGAAGAAAUUAAUCAGAUCUCAAAAUCUCCUUGGAGUUGCUCGGCUUUUUAUGUACAAAAUGCUGUUGAGAUAGAAAGAUGAGCACCAAGAUUAGUCAUUAAUUAUAAACUUUUAAAUAAAGUAUUACAAUGGAUAAGAUACCCUAUUCCUCAUAAGCAAGAUUUACUCAAAAGACUACAUAGUUCUGUAAUUUAUUCAAAAUUUGAUAUGAAAUCUGAAUUUUGGCAAGUUCAAAUUAAAGAAGAAGAUAGGUACAAAACUGCUUUCACUGUCCCUUUUGGUUAUUAUGAAUGGAAUGUCAUGUCUUUUGGUCUCAAAAAUGCCCCUUCUGAAUUUCAAAAUAUUAUAAAUGAUAUUUUCAAUCCUCAUUUUCAAUUUAUAAUUGUAUACAUUGAUGAUGUUUUAGUAUUUUCUGAUUCAUUAGAAAAACAUUUUAUUCAUUUAAAGAAUUUGCUGACAAAUUUCCUAAUGAAAUAAAAGAUAAAAAACAAUUGCAAAGAUUUUUAGGUUGUUUAAAUUAUGUUUCUGAUUACUUCAAAGAUUUGAGAAUCAUUUGUGAACCCUUAUAUAAAAGACUUAGAAAAAAUGCACCUGCAUGAACUGAGCAUCAUACUAGUUUGGUCAAAGAAAUUAAACAAAGAGUCAAACGUUUACCAUGUAUCAGCAUCCCUCAUCCAAAUGCAUUGCUCAUUGUAGAAUCAGAUGCAUCCAAUUUAGGUUAUGGAGGCAUAUUAAAGCAAGAAUAUAACAAUCAAGUGCAUAUAGUUAGAUAUCGUUCAGGGAUCUGGUUGGGCGCUCAAAUAAAUUAUUCAACUGUAAAAAAAGAAGUUUUAUCCAUAGUUUUAUGUAUUUCAAAAUUUCAAAGUGAUUUGAUAAAUAAAAAAUUCCUUUUGAAAAUUGAUUGCAAAGCUGCAAAAGAUAUUUUACAAAAAGAUGUUAAAAAUUUAGUUUCAAAACAAAUUUUUGCAAGAUGGCAAGCUUUACUUUCAAAUUUUGAUUUUGAAAUCGAAUUUGUCAAAGGAGAGUUGAAUUCCCUUCCUGACUUCCUUACUCGGGAGUUUUUGCAGGGUAAGGAUCCUUCUCCAUCCUAAUGGGCACUCCCGUUAGGCCUCAACUUCCUUCAUCAUCCAAGAAAACCAAAGCUUCAUAUGCCAUGAUUUCAAACUUUUCAAAAAUUCGUCCUACUUUUCCUUUGCAAACAUCAAAUUCCUUUCAAGUUUUGAGUCCAUAUUUUCCUCCUCCUCAACUUUAAUAUCAUAUUGUGCAUAAGAAAAAAAUAUGGGCUGGCAUUUUAAAAUGGACCUGAUUGAAUAAAAAAAGAAAGGGUGGCAAUAUAGGGAGGGCCUUGGAAUUGGGCCCAUCUUGAAUUUAAAAAAAAAAACGGUCAUUGGACCGAGACUGUUCGGUUCUGCAUUGUGCGGAAGAAAAAAUUAUGGGCUGGCAUUUUAAAAUGGGCCUGGUUGAAUAAAAGAAGAAAGGGUGGCAAUAUAAGCUGGCCAUUGGAAUUGGGCCAUUUUGAAUAUAAAAAAAAAAGGGUCAGUUUGGUUUACUCGGUUUACCGGUUCGACCGGUUCUUGACUGGUUUCCAAAGGAGAAAAUCCAGACCGGAAAGAUUAUCGGAUGACAGUUGGACCAAAAUUAAAAUUUAAAACUAUUAUAUAUAUAUAUAUAUAUAUAUGAGAAAAAAAUUGAGAGAAAAAAUAGAAGAUAAAAAAAAUAUAUAAGAAAAUAGAAAAUAGGUUUAAAAUUAAUAAAUUAUUUUUAAGUUUAUUUAUUUUUAUAUAAAGAUUAAAUAAUUUUAAAAUAUGUAAAUUUUUUAUUAAUUUUAAACACAAUAAAAUUAUUUUUUAAUAUUUUUUUAUUUUCUUAAUAUUUUUCAAGAAUAAAAAAUAACUUAUAAGAAACCGGUGAAACGUUAUUUAGUAUUUAUUUCUUUUAGAAAUUCAAACAUGAAGUUGGUUUUGAAUGGUCAUCCUUGAAUUGGUCAAAGCCACGGACCACGUGCCUUGCUUUCUUUUUCAAGCUCUAACAAUAACAAAAAGUCAAAAAUCAAUCAGUUCCAAUUGUAACAUUCUUGGUUACUUCCAAGUUUCAAUUCUAGUGGGAUUACUUUGAAAGUUGAAAUUCUCUUACAAAUUACGACUCCGUCCCGUGAAUACAUCAUGUUUUGGAAUGUUUUAAAAAAAAAAAUUUAACAAUUUUUGUAAAACAAAACAAUUCUCAAUUAGUUUUUAAAAUAAAACUUUAUUUUAAAAUUUAAAUAUAAAAGAUAGUUUUUUAUUUAUUCUUCGAAAAUAUACUAUCUAAUUAUAUAUAAUGUCAAAUAUUUUAAAAGAUUUUUCAUAUUGUUGAUUAUCAUUUAAAACAUUAUAAAAUAUAAUUAAAAAAAAACUUAGGUUAUGGUUGGUUUCGGAAAAUAUAAUGAAAAAAAAAUAGAAAAGAAAUGGGUAAGUAUGUCCUUUUAAAAUAAUAUUUUUAAAGGUGUGUUUAAAAGAUCAAUUUACUUUAAAAGAAAAAUAAUUCCAAUUUUGAUUAAGAUCAUUGAAUUAGAGCUAUUGAAGGACAUAUAUCAUUACAAUCUACAUUUGAUAAGAUUUGGAAGAGUGUUUUAUAAAUAACUAAUUUUCAUAAUAUUUAAAAUUUGUUUGAUGGUGAUUUAAAAAAAAAGUGUUUUUAACGUAAUUUCAUAUUUGAAAUUUUUUAUUUUUUAAAUAUUAAAAAUACUUUAAAAUUAUUAUCAAACAUAUUUUUAAUUUCAUUGAAUUCAAAGUUGACUUGACGUUUUAAUGGAUCAAAUUUAAUUAAAAAUUAUUGAAUUUUAAAAUUAAAAAGAAAAGACAAUUUUAAUUCUUACACCAAAAUGAUUUUAAAAUCAUUUCUAAUUAAUCAAAAAGAAAAAUCAUUUAUAUUUAUCUCACUUGCUUAAUCCUGUCAAAAUGAUUUUUUUAUAAGCUCCCAUAUGUAUUUAUAAAUUUUAUAUAUUUAAAAAUAUAAAAUCAUAAAAUACGUUUGUAAAUAUAAAUAUUAUAUAGUUAAAAAAUUAAAUAACCAAUAAAGCAAAAAUUUUAUAUAUUUUGUAAAUAUAUAAAAAAAAAACUUAGGUUAUGGUUGGUUUUGGAAAAUAUAAUGAAAAAAAAAAACACUAGAAAAGAAAUGGGUAAGUAUGUCUUUUCAAAAGAAUACUUCCAAAGUAUGGUUUAAAAGGUCAAUUUGCUUUAAAAGAAAAUUGAUCCUAACUUUGAAUAAGGCCAUUGGAUUAGAGUGAUGGAAGGAAAUAUAUCACUUCAAUUCACAUCUCUGAUAUCACAAGUUUGUUUGGUGGUGAUUUUUAAAAAGUGUUUUUUUUUUUUUUUAAUACUAAGAAUUUUUUAUUUUUAAAAUAUUAAAAAAAAUUAUAAAUAUUUUCUAAAAUUACUAUCAAACACAUUUUUUAUUUCAUUAAACUCAAAAUUGACUUAACGUGUUAGUGGAUCAAAUUUAAUUGAAGUAUUUGAUUUUAAAAUUAAAAAGAAAAGACAAUUUUAAUGCUUACACCAAAAUGAUUUUAAAAUCAUUUCUAAUUAAUCAAAAAGAAAAAUCAUUUAUAUUUAACUCACUUGCUUAAUCAUGUCAAAAUAAUUUUUUUUAUAAGCUCCCAUAUGUAUUUAUAAAUUUUAUAUAUUUAAAAAUAUAAAAUCAUAAAAUAAGUUUGUAAAUAUAAUAUUAUAUAGUUAAAAAAAUUAAAUAACCAAUAAAGUAAAAUUGUAUAUAUUUUGUUAAAAAAUUAAAAGUUAAUAUAUUUUUUAUUUUUUAUUUUUAAAAUAAAUUUUUUUAUAUAAAAUAUAAUAACUCUUACCAAAAAAACUUCACCUUGUGUUCUUAAAACCAUUUUUUUAUUUUUUUUUUACUUCCUUAAGCUUUAAUUUUUUUUUUGUAUAAUAAUUUCCAUCUUUUAUACAAGAUUUUCUAUUUUUAAAAAUAAAGGAGAUGUAUUUAAAUAUGUAUUAAAAUAAUAAAAAAUUUAAAAGUAAUUAAAAAUUAUUUUAAAAUAAAAUAUUUAUAAAUUUUAAAAAAAUUAAACAAGUUAUUAACAAAUUUAAUGGGCUAUAACUCAAGUGAUGGUCUCCAAAAAGCCCGCGGCCCGCUUUAGGCCCGGCCCGGCCCGUAGGCCCCUUAGGCCCGCCCCUUUAAAAAAAAACUACAAAAAUAAAAAGUAUUAAAAAAAAUAUUCAUUUCAAAAUUUUAUUCAUUGAAUGUAUAAUUACAUUUAAAAAUGUGGGAAAAAUUUACAUCACUACAAAAUAAAUACAUCCCAACUAGGUUGGCACCUAUUUAUUUGUCAAUCAUCUGUAUUUUUCAACCACAAAAAAUAAAAAUAAAAAUAUAAUAUACAUUUAGUCAUUAUUUUCUGGCGGUGAUGGCGAACUAUCAUGCAUCCAUGAAGAUCUUGAUAAUUUUAAAGAUUCCAUAUCGGCAAGCAUCUUUGUUUCUCGAAUGGAAUCGUACAUCCUUUUAUCUGCUAUUUCUCAAUCUUUCACACAUAUCCCUACUUCAAUAACAUCUGGCGCUAAGUUGCAUUGUUUUUUACUAACUACUCUUCCACCUGCACUAAAAGCAGCUUCUGAUGCAACUGUACUCACAGGAACUGUUAGUACAUCACGAGCAAUUAUAGAAAGCACAUGAUAUUUGUGUUGAUGUGAUUUCCACCAUAUUAAAAUAUCAAAAUCUUCUUGAUCUUCAAAUGAAAUUAUAUGAGUAUUAAGAUAUUUAUCUAAAUCAGAUGUAUUAUUUGGAGAACUAUUUGUUGUCUUUUUUCGACUUUUCAACAUUUCUAUAGCUCCUUUAUAAAAAGAUGAGGAGUUUGUAGAUGUAGGUGGUAAUUUAAUACUAUUAAUAUUCUUACCAUAUUUUUCUUUAUAAUAGUUAUAUAAAUUAUGUAAUAAUGAAUUUAUUUCAUUUUUAAUUUCUUCAAUUUUUAUUUGGUCAUUAAAAUAAAUAAUUGUUAACCAUUCAUCCAAAGCUUCAAAUUUCAAUCUAGGCUCCACAAUUAAAGCAAUAUAAAAAAUUAAAGGUAUUUCCCCCCAAUAUUUUCUAAAUUUUUCUAUCAUUGCAAAUAUUGUAUCAUUAAAUAUUUCAAAACUUAAAUAUUUUUGAAGUACAAUAAAAAUAUUAGUUAUUUGCAUAAUAACUCGAUUUGAAGUUGGAUAAUAUACACCACAAAAAAUGUUUGUUGAAGUAUCAAAAAUUUCAAAAAGAUCUCUUAAAGAUCUGCAAUAUGCCAAUCAUAAUCACUUAAUGCAUAAAUAUCUGCUUCACAAUCAUUGUUAAGUAAUUGUAUUUCAUAUAAUUCGACUACUUUUCUAUAUUUUGUAAUAUUUUGUAAAAGUUUAUAUGUGGAAUUCCAUCUAAUGGCCAUAUCCAAAUUUAUAUUUUUUCUUUUCAUAUUUAACAUUUUGCAACAAUAAAAAAAUAAUUCAUGUUUUGCUUGAGAACUAUUAAUACUAUAUGCAAUGCCUCUAAUUUUUUCCAAUGUAUUAUCAACAUUUUUUAAUCCAUCCUUUACAAUUAAAUUUAAAAUAUGUGCACAACAACGCACAUGAAAUAUUUUAGCAUGAUCUUCUUUUACUUGCUAAUAUCGUUUUAGUCUAUGUAUUGCUGUAUCAUUAUUAGCAGCAUUAUCUAAUGUUAUUGUCAAUAUUUUAUCACGAAUGCCUAAAUCUAUAAUUUCAUCAUUUAUUAAAGAUGCUAUAUUUUUACCACUAUGUGGAGCAUUUAUUAAUUUAAAUGAAAUUAUUCUUUUAUUUAAUUUCCAUUCAUUAUCAAUGUAGUGAGCAGUUAUACAUAAAAAACCAGUGUGAGUUAAAGAUGUCCAAAUAUCAGAUGUUAAACAAAUAUUUCCUUCAAAAUUUGCAAAAAAAAAUUUUAAAAUUUCUUUUUGUGUAUAAAUUUUUUUCAUAAUAUCUCUUUUAACUGUAUUUCCAGACCAACCUUUAAAUUGAGGAUUAAUACCUCGUUGAAUUGUUCCUACAAAAUCAUGAGUUUCCAUCAUGUUGAAAGGUUGUUCUGCUCUUAUUAAAAAAUAAUAUACUUUAUUUAUAUAUAUAUAUAAUUAACUCAAUUGUUAAGCACAAAAGGAAUGUAGCUCAAUUGGUUAGAGUCUUGAUAUGAAAGCAUGAGGGGAGAGGUUCAAAUCCUCCCCUCUCCCUUUCUUUCUUUAAAAGCCAUUUUGGCUUAUUUAAAAAAGCCCACGGCCCGUCGGCCCGCCAACCCGCGGGCUUAUAGGCCGGGUCGUGGGCCUAACAUUUUUCCAUGGCCCGGCCCGAGCUGGGCCGCGGGCCUCCUAUUUACGGCCCGGCCCGGCCCGUUGGAGACCCUUAAACUCAAGUCGGCAUAUUAUUUAUGCCAAUUAUAUUCGAUUCAACUCGAGUUGACUAGGUACUUAAUUAUAAAAGACAAAAAUAGUCAAUAUAAAAGACAAAAAUAAAAAAAUAAAAACAAAAUUAGUUGGUCCAUACAAGUGUACUUAAUUAUUUAAAUUUAUUCUCAUUCUCACAAAAAAAAAAUGGAAAAAAAAGAAGACACUAGUAGACAAAAUUGGGAUAGGUGAGAGAAUUUCUCAUUCCCACCCAUCUUAUUUAAUUUUUAUUUUUUAAAAUUUAAAUUAUAUUAGAACUCAAUAUAAUUUAUUCCCAUCUUAAUUAAUUUUUUAUUUUUAAAAUUUUAAAUUAUAUUAGAAAUCAAUAUAAUUUAUAAAUUUAUGCAUUAAAAAUGAACGAAACUAAAAAUAAUUAAAUUAAAUUAUUUUUAAAUUAUAUUUAUAAUCGAUGAGGUGAUGUCCACUCUCAAAUUUUUUUUUUUUUUUAAAAUAAAUUUGUUUCUAACUCUUCCUAAAUUCUUCUUAUUGCCAUGGAACAUGCAAACAUUCAAAUAUAGUGUUCUUUUACAUCUUAACAAAACUAUUAUAUAAUAAAAGAGUGAUAAAAUAAAAUAAAAAUUUUCCAUGAUGAUAAUAAUAAUAAUAAUAAUAANNNNNNNNNNNNNNNNNNNNNNNNNNNNNNNNNNNNNNNNNNNNNNNNNNNNNNNNNNNNNNNNNNNNNNNNNNNNNNNNNNNNNNNNNNNNNNNNNNNNAAGGUUAUGAUUGUUCCAAACAAUGAUGAAUUUUAGUAAUUUGAUUUUACAAAUAUAUCAAAAAAAAUCGAUGAGUAUUUUAAUAUAAGAUAUUGAUGGAUAAAAAAUUAAUCAAAACUCAUAAAAUUAUAAAUAAAUAAAAAAAGUAAAAAACUCUUAAAAAUGAAAUUAAAAAUAUAAUAAAUAUUUUUAAGUUAUUUUAUUAAAAAAAUUAAUACAUAAAUAAUAUAAUUUAUAAUAUUCAAUAAUAAUACUUAUAACUUAAAAACAUAUUUUAUAUACAUCAAUUUAAUUUAGAUAUAUUCAAUGACAUAAAAAAAAUGAUAAUAUAUGUAUAAGUAUUUUUUUAUUAAAAUGUUAAUAAUUUUAUUUAUUAAUUUAUAUUUAUUUUGUAUGUAGUUAUUAUAUAUAUAUAUAUAUAUAUAUAUAUAUAUAUAUAUAUAUAUAUAUAUAUAUAUACAUAUAUAAGUAUUAAAAAAUUAUUUUUUGAAUAUUAUAAAUAAUAAUUUUAACGUUAUAUAACAAACAUAUGUGAAUAAAAUAACAUAAGUUGAUUGGGUGGCAAGGCUUCCCCUUUCAAAUGUGAAGUCUGGGUUUCAACUUUCAAAGCGUUCCACCACGAUCUAAAUCAUGAUGGCCCACGAAAGGUACAGCGUGAAGAGUGGGGACAAAAAAGUCAAAACUAAUAUGGAAGCUUCUGAGCUGGGGCCCGCAAACCAGUUUUCAUCGUGGGUCCCAAACUCCAACUUAGUCUUCAAUAAUUUCCACAUGGAUGUUAAAAUUUUCGGGAUACCGAUAUUGACACUUCAUCCCUUUCCAAAAAAAUCUUUGAAGGGGGGUUAGGUCCGUUCAUAUGAGAAAUCCCUAUCCCUCUUCCAUCUUGCCUUAUCUCGUUUAAUAUUUUUUUUUAUUUAUAAUUUUAAUUAUAUUAUAAAUUUUUGUUAUUAUUAUUAUUUUUAUAAAAUGUAAUUUUCUUUUAUGUAUUUAUAAGGAGGGGAAAUAAGCGUUGAUUUGCUUGAAUUUGUAGGAGGUUUUAAAUUUUUUAAUCCUAUUUAUAUAUUAUUUAUGUCUCUCUAGCUAAUCUUAAAAAGGGGUGUAGUAAAAAACCCGAUAAAGGAUAUUUUUAUCAAGGUAGAUGUUGAAUGGUUUAAAUAUUGGGUAUGACUAAAUUGAAGUUAACAAACAAAUAACAUAAAUACAAGGGCUAAAUCAUAAAAAUAUACAUAGUGAGCCCACAAAAAAAGAAAAAAAUUAUGGAUUGAUAGUAAUAUCAUAAUAAUAAGACAUAAAUAAAUGGAUAAAUGAAUAAUAUUAUAAUAAUUAAUACAUUAAAAAAUGUGAUUUUUAUAAGAAACACUUGCAUUGAUAGUAUCUAAAUUUAACUAUUUGAUUUAUAAAUGAUUAUUUAUUUUUAAAAAUAAAUAAUUAUUUUUUAAAAUUUUGUAGUAUCAUUUAGCUAUUGUCAUUUCACAAUAGUUUUUUUUUUAAAAUAAUAGCUUCUCUGAAUGUCCUCAUUAAACAAACAUAUUUCAAAUCAAAUCAAACUUAACGCAUAUUUGUUAAUUUAAAAAAAUAAAAAAUCUAUGGAAUCAAUACUUGAAAGUCACAAUAUCCAAAUUAAUAUACUUAAUACUAAAAAAUCAUAAAUCAAAAUUUAUUGGAAACUGGAAAUACUUUCCUAAUUUCCCAUUUUUAAUAUAAUUUUAAUUUUUUUAUUUUUCUAUUAAGUAAGUAAACUCUAAAUCAAGUGAGGUUAGUGUAUUGGAUUCAUAAAAAAAUAAUUUUUAAAAAUAAUUAUAAACUUAAAUAUUAACCCAAUAGAUAAAAAAAAUCAAGAACAAAAAGAUUGUAUAUAUUUUUCUCAAUUUUCUCAUUAAAGUACGUCCAUUUUCUAAACUAAUUAAAAAAACUCUAUACUUUAAUAUUUUCUAAAAUAAAAUCAUCUUUAAAAAAGAGUUUAAAAACCAUUUUUUAAAAUUAUAAUGUCAAUCAUAUUUUAUAUAUGACCAUUCUUUAACAUUCAAAAACCAAAUCCCAAACUAUUUUUAUUAAUAAUGUAAACACCUGGGUUAUGUUUAGUUCCUCAAAAGUUUAAGGAAACUCAAGAAAGUUUGGAGGACAACACAUGGAAAAAAAUAGAAAGGAAUAUAGAUGGAAAGAAAAAAAAAAAAGAAUAGAUUUAAAGUCAAUAAAUUAUUUUUAUAUAUUAUUUUAUAUUAAUUUUUUAUAUAAAAAUUAAAUAAUUUUAAGAAAUAUGUAAUUUUCUUAUACAUUUUACUUUUCUUCACAUUUUUCAUAAUAAAAUCAAAUAUAAAAAAAUUAUUUUUCUUUUUUUCGUUUUUUCCUAAUACUUUCCAUGAAGUAACAUGACCCUAAGAGUUGAUUUGUUCUCAAGACUUUUUUUUUUCUUUUAUCCUAAUACUUUCCGCAAAGUAACAUGACCCUAACAGUUGAUUUGUUCUUAAGUCUUGACAACUAAUUUUCUUUAGAAAGCGAGAGGGGUUUUUUACUAUUCCACAAAGAAAAACAAAAAAAUCAACUACAUUUAUGAUUUUAAUGACCAUCCUUUGUGUUUACUUCCAUGGAAAGAAAAUAAAAAAUGGAUUUAUAGAAAGUGAAGGAAUACGUGAGGUGAAUGAUAUCAUCAAUCAUAAGCAAUAAUACUUAUGUAUUAUAAAAUUUAUAUUCAAACAUAAAUUUCAUAAAAAAAUCUAUUAAUUGUAAGUUAAGAAAUAAAGAAAGAAGAAACCAUCGAUGAAUGAGGUGACCAAUUCCGUGUAAAGCAUAUUUAACUUUUAAUAGUUAUGUAUUAUAAAAUUCAUAUCUAAAUAUUAAAUUUUAUCAAAAAUCGAUUAAUUGUAAGUGAAGAAAUAAGGAAAGAAAUCAUUGAUAAAGUAUAUGUAACCAAUACUACUUGUAAAGUUUAUAUUCACAUAUAAAUUUCAUUUUCACCACUCACGUGAUUUUUAAUAAUUAAUUGAUUAAAAUUGAUAUGCUAUACAAAUAGUGAAGUAGAAAUUGUUAAAAAAAAAAAUUAAUAAUUUUGUGGAAGGGUUAAAAGUGGGUUAAUUUUUUUUUUUUUUUUUUCAUUUUUUAAUAGUUCGAUGUAAUUUCUAACAACGAUCGUGGAAACUCCAAUGCCAUUUCGUUUGAGAGUAUCUUUCAUUGGUCCAAUGGACCGGAGGAACAAGUUGAAUAUAUCAUCGUAUAAAUAAAAGACAAACAUUUGGGGGAUUAACACAAGUAUCCAACCCAUUCCCACCAAUUCACAGUAGCUCCACGUUUCAUAAUCUGUCUCAAAUUCUUGAACUUCUUUAAAGAGCGUUGAAGGGUGUGAUGAGAUUUUUGGCUUUGUUUAGUCUUCUCUUUUCAGUACUGAUGUUUCCAGCAGCAGAGGCUAGAAUCAGAAGGUAUAGAUGGGAGGUGAAGUAUGAGUACAAGUCUCCUGAUUGCUUUCAGAAGAUGGUUAUCACCAUCAAUGGAGAAAGCCCCGGUCCAACAAUCCUGGCCGAAGAAGGAGACACCGUCAGUGUUGAGCUCACAAAUAGUUUGUUGACAGAAAAUGUUGCAAUCCACUGGCAUGGUAUCAGACAGGUAGAGCAAAGAUUAAUAUAUAAUGUUUUCUUUUUUCUUCCCCUUUCUGGGCUUAAUUUUGCAGUUCUGAUGGUUCAUCUUCUUGAUAAUUACAGAUUGGGACGCCGUGGUUUGAUGGAACGGAAGGGGUGACCCAGUGUCCAAUCCUGCCAGGAGAUACCUUCACAUAUGAGUAUAAAGUGGAUAGGGUAAGAUUGAUCAGUGGUCUUAAUCAAGAAAGUUGGAACCAGUACUACUUUCAAUUAUCUGAUGAUAUUAUUCUUUGGUUUAUGCAGCCUGGGACUUAUCUAUACCAUGCCCAUUACGGAAUGCAAAGAGAAGCUGGGCUGUAUGGAUCGAUUUGUGUGUCGGUUGCUCGUGGGAAGACUGAGCCCUUUUCCUAUGACCACGACCGGAGCAUCAUCCUCACUGACUGGUACCAUAAUACCACUUAUGAACAAGCCCUAGGCUUGUCCUCCAUUCCUUUUGACUGGGUCGGGGAGCCUCAGGUGAAUGCCAACUACUACUGCUUCCGCCAUAGCAUACUGGUUUGUUCUGCUCUUCAUCUUCUGACGCCUUUUUCUGUCUGUUAAUUUUUCAGUCCCUUCUCAUUCAAGGAAAAGGAAGAUACAACUGCUCCCUAGUUUCAAGUCCUUACGUCUGUAAUUCAACAAGUCCUCAGUGUUCUCCCUAUGUACUCACUGUAGUUCCGGGGAAAACAUAUCGCCUUCGGGUCUCCAGCUUGACUUCCCUGUCAGCUCUCAGUUUCCAAAUAGAGGUUGGUAUAAUUAAAAACUUCACCGUGGUUUCUUAUUCGUUGCUUCUACUUGGUCAAGUCACAUUCCACACAAAAAAGUCAGAACACUACAUAUUUAAGAACUCAUCUUUAGCUAUAUAAUUGUGUUUUAAAUAAGUAAAGUUUCUGUUAUGAAUAGUAUUAGAGUUAAUUCUUAACUUCAUUGUAUGAGUUUGAUUGGUCCCAUAAGUGAUGUUUAUAUGUUUGAUCCUAUGAUCUCAUGAAAUAUAAUGAGGAUGAUGUAUUUGUACAAUAAUAAUUGUAAUAUUCUAUAUCAGAUAUUGAAAAAGUUUUUAAUAUUAUAUAUAUAUAUAUAUAUAUAUAUAUAUAUGAACUUCUCUUAACCCCGUGGACUUUAAACAUGUGAGGGGGUUUUGGGUCCAAAAUGAAGAAUAUCUACACAUUUCAAAAUGGUUUAUCACAAAAACUGUGCAUGUUCUAAUACAGUUUUAAUUUAUAACACUGUAGGGUCACAACAUGACUGUAGUUGAAGCAGAUGGGCACUUUGUGGAACCCUUUGUGAUAAAAAACCUCUUCAUUUACUCAGGGGAGACCUAUUCAGUUCUGGUGAAGGCUGAUCAAGACCCUUCAAGAAAUUACUGGGUCACAACCAGUGUGGUCAGUAGAAACAACACUGUCACUCCUCUGGGCUUGGCCAUUUUAAAUUACUACCCCAACCAUCCCAAGAAGUCUCCUCCAACAGUCCCACCCGCUGGCCCUCUUUGGAACGACGUAGAGCCACGCAUCAACCAAAGUCGUGCCAUUAAAGCCCACCAUGACUAUGUUGUCCCCCCUCCUCUCACCUCAGACAGAGUAAUUCUGAUGCUCAAUACACAGAAUGAGAUCAAUGGUUACAGGAGGUGGUCUGUGAACAAUGUGUCCUUCAACCUCCCACACACACCCUACCUAAUUGCUCUAAAGGAGAAUAUAACUGGUGCCUUCGACCCAACCCCACCUCCAAAUGGUUAUGAUUUUGUAAACUAUGAUAUCCACAAUGUGUCGAAUAACACCAACGCUACAUCCAGCAACUCAAUUUAUAGGCUGCAGUUCAAUACAACAGUGGAUAUUAUACUGCAAAACGCAAACACCAUGAAGAAGAAUGACAGCGAGACGCACCCAUGGCAUCUCCACGGGCAUAAUUUUUGGGUACUGGGCUAUGGAAAAGGUAAGUUCGACAAUUUCAGUGAUCCAAUAAAGUACAAUCUGAUCGACCCAAUUAUGAAGAACACAGCACCUGUUCAUCCUUAUGGAUGGACUGCCUUAAGGUUUCGAUCUGAUAACCCAGGUACCUGGGCAUUCCAUUGCCAUAUAGAGUCUCAUUUCUAUUUGGGUAUGGGAGUUGUUUUUGAAGAAGGGGUGGAGAGGGUGGGAAAGCUGCCUUCAUCUAUCAUGGGUUGCGGUAAAGCCAAGGGUCUCGGCGGCAGGCCAUAAUAUGCAGGUAAGUUGAGCAUGAAAAAAGAAAAUAAGAUUAUCAAAUCUUUACAAACCUCUCUAGUUCAAAGCCCCAAACAUCUUGUAAUAACAAUAAUAAUUACUAUUACCUGUUUUUUAUACAUAGUAUCAAUGCUAUUUUUUAUUUUGAGGUGAAAUGCAUAGAAAAAAGAAAUAGUAUUAUGCAUAGAAAAAAGAAAAAAAAAAUCAUGGUUGGAAAUAGGGGUCUCCAACGGGCGGGCCGGGCCUAUGGGCCCGUUGACUGGUCAACGGGCCGGGCCGGGCCGGGCCAUGCUAAAAUGCUAGGCCCACGGCCCGGCUUAUGAGCCCGCGGGCUAGCGGGCUUUUUGAAAUAAGCCAAAAUGGCUUUCACAAAAGCCAAGAGAAGGGAGAGGAGGGGAUUGGAACCCCUCCCCUCAUAUUUAAACUUCAAGGUUCUAACAUGCUGAACUACAUUCUUUUUAUGUUUAUUAAUUGAGUUAGUUAUAUAUAUAUAUAAAUAAAGUAUAUUAUUUUUGUAGUUUUUUUUUAAAGGGGCGGGCCUAAGGACGGGCCUACGGGCCGGGCCGGCCCUCCGGGCCUAAAUUUAGGCCCGCGGCCCGGCCCGCCCAUAAACGGGGUCGGGCCGGGCCUAAAGCAGGCCGCGGGCCGCAGGCUUUUUGGAGACCCUUAGUUGGAAAGGUUAAGUAACAAAAGCCAUUGAAAUGACUACUAUCUAUUUAUUUAAGUUAAAUUAUAAGAAAAAAGAUUUUAAACCUUCAAGUCAAGUAAUAAAAUUUCUCUUCAGCUUCAUAUUGGAUGAAGGUUCAAACCAAAAACGCUCCGAUGAUCAAACCUAUCACUCAGAUUAGGUACAUAAAAAAAACUUCAAAACAUUAGAGAAAAUACAACAAUAAUAAAUUAACAUAAGUUUAUGUGGUAUGAUAUUAAAAAAACAACAUCCCCAAUAAAGUGGGAUAUCUCCAACAACCUUUUCAAAACUUUAGGCUGACGGAUAAGGACAGACAUUCAAUAAUUGAAAUAAAAAUGUGCAGAGGCAAGAAUUUAAGAUGUAUACCAAGAAGUUUAGGCUCACUAUGUAUAACAUGUUAGAAUUUCAUGAUUCCAUGAUGCAAUUAGGAAACUAGUAGUAUAAUCUAAGGUGGCAAAUUGCCAGUCCAUAAUGACAAAAUUGAAUCCUAGUUAGAUACCAAACUCAUCCCAUACAACAAAAAUGAGUCAUUCAGACUAAAGAUUAAACUGAAAUAUGAACAUCAUCUCCAUCAAAUCAUAUAUAUCCAAAUCUCUCAUCUCAAAACCAUCAAUUAUUAGUUAUUACCAGAGAAACAGAUUUGACAAUGUAUAAAACAUGUAGAUAAAUCAAGCCCAAAAAGGAAGGGUGCCAAUUCUGAAGAAAGAAUACCUCAUAUUCGAGUACAAGAUGAAUCAAAAUCAUCAGGAGCAACUCGAGCAAUCCAAUUGCUCAGCGUCCUCUUAAUAUCAGAAUGAUUAACAUAGGCCAACUCAUACAUGCUACACAAAUUAACCACAAGAGUCUCAUUCAGAGCUAUUGUAGGAACCCUUUCGAGGGCAUUCUCCAACACCUUGAUCGAAUCCGAUAAGUCCCUCAAAUACAUCAAGCACAGAGCUUUGUUAUUGAUAGCCACAACAUCCGAACCAUCCCUCUCAAUGCACUCCUCGUACUCCCUCACUGCAGACACAUAAUCUUUUCCCACUAAGUAAACCAGCGCCUUAUUCCGAUUCACAAGGUUCUUGAACUCAAUUUCGCUCAAUGAACCUAAUCUCUCUUCCUUACCCAUCUUCUCUACCAGUUCGAACGACGCCUUCGCCCCCUCCAAAUCCCCAAUCUGCAGCUGAAUGCAGCCGAGCUUCGACACCAGCGCCGGAUCAUCGCGGCAUCUGCCGCUCAGUAACUGCCUGAUCAAACUCACACACACACCAAAUUCCUUGUGACUCAAAUGGUGCCCGAUUAUCGAAUUCACCACAAAAACCUCCCUCCUCUUCCACACAUCCGCAGAAACCCCCAGCCCCCUCGACCCUUUCUCAUCCACCCUCGUCCGCGCAAAAUCGAGCAGCGUAUACAACCGAUCUAGGGUUUCCUGGCGCUUCCCCAAUUUCAACGGAAUCUCGGCAUGGAUCCACCGGAGAGCGAACGGAAUCAUGGAACCAGACCGGCCGGGGUACACAUCAGGGUGCGAUUCGUACUGGUAGAUGGAGUGAUCGAGAUCCUCCAGCGAUGCCAGCUCCUCCGAAACGUCGCCGUAUCGACGGAGCUUGAUGAGAGCCAGGACGUUGUAGGAGAAAUAGCAUAGGUGUUCGUGGGGCUUUUGGAGGAGAGAGAGCUUGCGGGCGCGAGAGACCUUGUCGAGAAUGGAACGCCAUGAGCCUCGAGUGGCGAGCUCUUGGAGAGACGAGAGCUCGUAGCAGAGGUCGUUGAGGGAGCCGAACGGGCUCGACAGUGGGUCGCUGGCGACAAAGCCAUCAGCGGCCGGAGUUGAAUCCUCCGACGGGGAAUCGGUGGCCAUGUUUCGUGAAUUGAAGAAUGGCUCGACUCAGCUUCACUGCUGUGGGAAUAGCUUGCGACGAUCAGAUCCGGCUGCUUUUAAUUAUUAUUAUUCUUUUUUACUUAUGAAUUUAUUUUUCAAAAUAUGUUUUAUACAUUAAUCACUCCUAAAUUUGUUUAAUAUGAUAUAAAAUUUUAAAAUUUACCCAAUAAUAUUUUAGGCUUAUAAAUGGCUGGUUUCAAGCCCAAUUCAACAUAAAUUGAGUAAUAACUAAACUUGAAGUGAUAGUUAAUAUUUUAUUUUUAUUUUUUUAGUUUUACAGUUUUUUAAGUCUUUAAUUAUAUUUUUAAUUUUUAAAAUUUUUUAUUUUAUUAAUCUUAAAUCAAUUAUCAUAUUAAAAUAAAUUUUCAAUUAAUAUUAUUAACUUGGCAAGAGGUCAUUUCAAAAAAUAAUUAUUUGAAUUAUAAAAAAAUUUAUAUAUUUUAAAAUAUUUUUAAAUGUAUGAAAAUAUAGGGUUGUUUUUGUUAUAUAUUAUUUUUAAAAGUCAAAACCUAUUUUUUUUUUCUUUGAAUUAAAUACAUCUAAUCAUCAUUCAUUUAAUAAAAUUUAAAGUUCAUGGUGGCUAAAUUUAUUUAGUUCAAGGAGGGUGAAAUUUACCAUUUUAAAUGGUAAUGCAUCAUUUCUAAUUUCAAGAAUCAUUACAUGUGGAUAAUACAAUAUAUGAUUAAAUAUGACAAAGUCAAAGAAAAAAGUGAGUAGGAUGCCAGUGCACAGAAGCUACUUGACCCAUAAGGUUAAGGGUACAUUAGCCACCCAAAAUGGGCUGAGUUUCUUAGUCUGGGUCAUUCUCCAUACCCACUUUGGGCCAAGUUCGACUAGGCCCAAAGUCGAUAUCCAGGUCGACUUACGACCCAAUCCUAUCUUGGUUUGGGCCUUGGCAAGGUCGGGUUAGGCUUGCUAUUUUUUUAUUUAUAAUGUAAAAAUGGUUCAAAUAUUCUCCGUGUUUCUAAUUUAUGUUCAUUACAUCUUUUGAAAAAAAAAAAUCAAAAUGCCAUAAAUUUGUUUUGAAAACAACCCAUUUUAAAAACAAAUUCUCCAAAAAUAAAAAAUUGUUUUAAGUAAAAGAUUUGUUGAACUUGUUUUAUAAGUUACAAAAGUUUUUUCUAUUUUAAAAAAUAAAAAGUUGUUUUAGUUUUCAAACAAACUCAUCAACCAAAUAAGAUGAAAUAUUAAAUAAAUAAAUAAAUUUAAAUUUAUUUUCUUUGUUUUUUUAAGCAAUGUUUUAAAAAUCAAACUGAUUAUUGAAACGAAAAAAUUAUGAUUUACUGUUCAAUGGUUGAACUAGUGGUUGAACGGUAAUAAAACCGAUAACAUCAUAAAUAUAUUAUUUAUAUAUUAUUAAAUUAAAAAUAAUUUUAAAAUUUUAAAAUAAACAUAUAAAUAAAUUAAAAAUCAAUAAUAUUUAUUUUUUAUCUUUUAUAUUAUUAAAUUAAAUAAUGCAUGACUAUAAAUGUAUUAAUAUACUAAAUUUUAUUAAAUGAGAUAUGUAUAAUAUUUUAAGUGGAUAUAUUAAAAAUCAAAGAAAAUCCAAUUAUUUAAUUUUAGCUAAUUUUAUAAUUUUUAAAAAUAUUAUAUUAUUGUUAUUCAAUAUUUUAAAUUUUUAUUUUAGAAAAGAAAUAUAUUGUUUUUUGUUUGCCUUACAGAGCAUCAAAACAUGUGUAGCCGGAUGGUGCCCCCAUGCCACUUCCUAAGCGCUUUUCAUUCACUGAUUUUCCCUUAACUUUAAGAUCAUAUUGUCCAUAAGAAAAAAAAAUAUGGGCUGGCAUUUUAAAAUGGGCCUGAUUGAAUAAAAAAAGAAAGGGUGGAAAUAUAGGGAGGGCCUUGGAAUUGGGCCCAUUUUGAAUUAAAAAAAAAAUAAUAAACGGUCAUUGGAUCGAGACUGUUCGGUUCUGCAUUGUGCGGAAUAAAAGAAUAUGGGCUGGCAUUUUAAAAUGGGCUUGGUUGAAUAAAAGAAGAAAGGGUGGCAAUAGAAGCUUGCCCUUGGAAUUGGGCCAUUUUGAAUAUAAAAAAAAUGGGUCAUUGGAUCGUUCGAUUUACCGGUUCGACCAGUUCUUGACCUGUUUCCAAAGGAGAGAAUCCAGACCGGAAAGAUUAUCAGAUGACAGUUGGACUAAAAUUAAAAUUUAAAACUAUUGUAUAUAUAUAUAUAUAUAAAAGAAAAAACUUGAGCGAAAAAAUAGAAUAUAAGAAAAUAGAAAAUAGGUUUAAAAUUAAUAAAUUAUUUUUAUGUUUAUUUAUUUUAAUACUUUUUAUAUAAAGAUUAAAUAAAUUUAAAAUAUAUAAUUUUUUAUUAAUUUUAAUUAUAUAUAAUUUUAAACAUAAUAAAAUUAUUUUUUAAUAUUUUUUAUUUUCUUAGUAUUUUUCAAGGAUAAAAAAUAACUUAUAGGAAACCGAUGAAACGUUAUUUAGUAUUUAUUUCUUUUAGAAAUUCAAACAGGAGGUUGGUUUUGAAUGGCCUACCUUCAAUUGGUCAAAGUUUGUAGAAGAAAUGACGCCCACGAACCACGUGCCUUGGUUUCUUAGUCAAGCUCUAACAAUAACAAAAAGUCAAAAAUAAUUAAUCAGUUCCAACUGUAACAUUCUUGGUUACUUCCGAGUUUCACAUAGUGGGAUUACUUUGAAAGUUCAAAGUCAAUCUAACAAAUUACAAGUCCGUCCACUGAUAUGGUAGGGGGACCCACACGUUUUCUAUUGACUAACAUUCUUUAAAAUAAUUCUUCAAAAUAUACAUCAUGUUUUGGAAUGUUUAAAAAAAUUUAAACAAUUUUUGAAAAACAAAACAAUUCUCAAUUAUUUUUUAAAAUAAAAUUUUAUUUUAAAAUUUAAAUUUAAAAGAUAGUUUUUUUAUUUAUUAUUCGGAAUUUACUAUCUAAUUAUAUAUAAUGUCAAAUAUUUUAAAGGGUUUUUCAUAUUUUUUAUUAUCAUUUAAAACAUUGUAAAAAAUAACUGAAAAAACUUACGUUAUGAUUGGUUUCGAAAGAUAUAAUGAAAAAAAAAAAAACACUAGAAAAGAAAUGGGUAAGUAUGUCUUUUCAAAAGAAUACUUCCAAGGUGUGGUUUAAAAGGUCAAUUUGCUUUGAAAGAAAAUUAAUUCCAACUUUGAAAAAAUCCAUUGGAUUAGAGUGAUUGAAGGAAAUAUAUCAUUUCAAUCCACAUCUGAUAAGACUUGGAAGACUGUUCUAUAAAAUGACUAAUUGUUUGGUGGCGAUUUUAAAAAAGUUUUUUUUUUUUUAGUUUUUUAAUAUUUAAAAUUUUUUAUUUUAAAAUAUUUUAAAAAAUUAUAAAUAUUUUCUAAAAUUACUAUCAAAUACAUUUUUAAUUUGAUUGAAGUGUUAAUGAAUCAAAUUUAAUUGAAGUAUAGUAUUUUAAAAUUAAAAAGAAAAGACAAGUUUAAUGCUUACACCAAAAUGAUUUUAAAAUCAUUUCUAAUUAAUCAAAAAGAAAAAUCAUCUAUAUUUAACUCACUUGCUUAAUCAUGCCAAAAUUAUUUUUUUUUAUAAGCUCCCAUAUGUAUUUAUAAAUUUUAUAUAUUUAAAAAUAUAAAAUCAUAAAAUAAGUUUGUAAAUAUAAAUAUUAUAUAGUUAAAAAAAUUAAAUAACCAAUAAAGUAAAAUUGUAUAUAUUUUGUUAAAAAAUUAAAAGUUAAUUUAUUUUUUAUUUUUUAUUUUUAAAAUAAAAUUUUUUAUAUAAAAGAUAAUAACUCUUACCAAAAGAACAAAAAUUCACCUUGUAUUCUUAAAACCAAUUUUUUUUUUUUUUUACUUCCUUAAGCUUUAAAUUUUUUUUGUAUAAUAAUUUCCAUCUUUUAUACAAGAUUUUCUAUUUUUUAAAAUAAAGGAGAUGUAUUUAAAUAUGUAUUAAAAUAAUAAAAGUUUUAAAAGUAAUUAAAAAUUAUUUUAAAAUAAAAUAUUUAUAAAUUAAAAAAAAUUAAAACAAGUUACUAACAAAUUUAAUGGGCUAUAGACUCAUGUCGACAUAUUAUUUGUGCCAAUUAUAUUCGAUUUAACUGGAGUUGACCAGGUCAACUAUCCAUGUACUUUGAAGGAGUCAAUGGUCAAUAUAAAAGACAAAAAAACAAAAUUAGUUGGUCCAUGUAAGUGUACUUAAUUAUUUAAAUUUAUUCUUAUUCUCACAAAAAACAAAAAAAAAAAAAGAAGAAAAAAAAGACACUAGUGGACAAAAUUGGGAUAGGUGAGAGAAUUUCUCAUCCCCACCCAUCUUAUUUAAUUUUUAUUUUUUAAAAUAUAAAUUAUAUUAGAACUCAGUAUAAUUUAUUCCCAUCUUAAUUAAUUUUUUAUUUUUAAAAAUUUACAUUAUAUUAGAAAUCAAUAUAAUUUAUAAAUUUAUGCAUUAAAAAUGAGCGAAACUAAAAAUAAUUAAAUUAAAUUAUUUUUAAAUUAUAUUUAUAAUUGAUGAGGUGAUAUCCACUCUCAAAUUUUAUUUUAUUUUUAAAUAAAUUUGUUUCUAACUCUUCCUAAAUUCUUCUUAUUGCCAAGGAACAUGCAAACAUUCAAAUAUAGUGUUCUUUUUCAUCUUAACAAAACUAUUAUAUAUUAAAAGAGUGAUAAAAUAAAAUAAAAAAUUUCCGUGAUAAAAAUAAUAAUAAUAAUAGUAACAUGUAAGAUGUUGUCCAUUAUAGUCGAAGUCAGUCGUUAUGGUUAUUUGCCUUCGUAUGAAGGUUAUGAUUGUCUCAAAUAAUAAUGAAUUUUGAUAAUUUGAUUUUACAGAUAUAUAAAAAAAAAAUAUAGAUGAGUAUUUUAAUAUAAGAUAUCGGUGAAUAAAAAAUUAACCAAAAAUCAUGAAAAUAUAAGAAAAAAGUCAAAAACUCUUAAAAAUUAAAUUAAAAGUAUAAUAAAUAUUUUAAAGUUGUUUUAUUGAAGAAAUUAAUAUAUAAAUAAUAUAAUUUAUAAUAUUCAAUAAUAAUACUUAUAACUUAAAAACAUAUUUUAUAUACAUCAAUUUAAUUUGGAUAUAUUCAAUGACAUAAAAAAAUGAUGAUACAUGUAUAAGUAUUUUUUUAUUAAAAUGUUAAUAAUUUUUUUUAUUAAUUUAUAUUUAUUUUGUAUGUAGUUAUUAACUUAUUAUACAAAAGACAUGAUAAUUAAAAUUAAUUUAUGAUAUAUAUAUAUAUACACGUAUUAAAAAAUUUAUUUUUUGAAUAUUAUAUAUAAUAAUUUUAACGUUAUAUAACAAACAUACGUGAAUAAAAUAACAUAAGUUGAUUGGGCGGCAAGGCUUUCCCUUUCAAAUGUGAAGUCUGGGUUUCAACUUUCAAACCCUUCCGCCACGAUCUAAAUUAUGAUGGCCCACAAAAGAUACAGCGUGAAGAGUGGGGAUAAAAAAGUCAAACUAAUAUAGAAGCUUCUGAGCUGGGGCCCGCAAACCAAUUUUCGUCGUGGCCCGUGGGUCCCAAACUCCAACUUAGUUGUUAUUAAUUUCCACAUGGAUGUUAACAAUUUCGGGAUACCGAUAUUGACGCUUCAUCCCUUUCCAAAAAAAUGUUUUGAAGGGGGUUAGGUGCGUUCAUAUGAGAAAUCCCUAUCCCUCUUCCAUCUUGCCUUAUCUCGUUUAAUAUUUAUUUUUUAUUUUUAUAAUUUUUAAUUAUAUUAUAAAAUUUUGUUAUUAUUAUUAUUAUUUUUAUAAAAUGUAAAUUUUUUUUUAUGUAUUAUAAGGAGGGGAAAUAAAAAUUAAAUCAAAUUAAUUAUUAUUAUUAUUUAACCAUGUAUAUAAUGAUAAGCGUUGAUUUGCUCGAAUUUGUAGGAGGUUUUAAGUUUUCCAAUCCUAUUUAUAUAUUAUUUAUGUCUCUCUAAUCUUAAAAAGGGAUGUAUUAAAAAACCCGAUAAAGGAUAUUUUUAUCAAGGUAGAUGUUGAAUGGUUUAAAUAUUGGGCAUGACUAAAUUGAAGUUAACAAACAAAUAACAUAAAUACAAGGGCUAAAUCAUAAAAAUAUACAUAGUGAGCCCCACAAAAAAAGAAUAAAUUAUGGAUUGAUAGUAAUAUCAUAAUAAUAAGACAUAAAUAAAUGGAUAAAUGAAUAAUAUUAUAAUAAUUAAUACGUUAAAAAAUGUGAUUUUUAUAAAAAAACACUCACAUUGAUAGUAUCUAAAUUUAACUAUUUGAUUUAUAAAUGAUUAUUUAUUUUUAAAAAUAAAUAAUUAUUUUUUAAAAUUUUGUAGUAUCAUUUAGCUAUUGUCAUUUCACAAUAAUUUUUUUUAAAACAAUAGCUUCUCUAAAUGUUCUCCUUAGACAAACAUAUUUCAAAUCAAAUCUAACGCAUAAUUGUUAAUUUAAAAAAAAAUAAAUAAAUAAAUCUAUGGAAUCAAUACUUGAAAGUCACAAAAUCCAAAAAUUAGUAUAAUUAAUACUAAAAAGUCAUAAAUUAAAAUUGAUUGAAAACCGGAAAUACUUUCCUAAUUUCCCAUUUUUAAUAUAAUUUUAAUUUUUUUUAUUUUUCUAUUAAGUAAGUAAACUCUAAAUCAAGUGAGGUUAGUGUAUUGGAUUUAUAAAAAAAUAAUUUUAAAAAAUAAUUAUAAACUUAAAUAUUAACCCAAUAGAUAAAAAAAAAAUCAAGAACAAAAAGAUUAUAUAUUUUUUUCUGAAUUUUCUCAUUAAAGUAGCUCCAUUUUCUAAACUAAUUAAAAAACUCUAUACUUUAAUAUUUUCUAAAAUAAAAUCAUCUUUAAAAAAGAAUUUAAAAACCAUUUUUUAAAAUUAUAAUGUCAAUCAUAUUUUAUAUACGACCAUUCUUUAAUAUUCAAAAACCAAAUCCCAAACUAUUUUUAUUAAUAAUGUAAACACCUAGGUUAUGUUUAGUUUCUCAAAAGUUUGAGGGAAAACCUGAGAAAGUUUGGAGGACAACACACGAAAAAAAAAAUAGAAAGGAAUAUAGAUGGAAAGAAAAAGUAAAAAAAAAAAAAAAGAUUUAAAGGUAAUAAAUUAUUUUUAUAUAUUAUUUCAUAUUAAUUUUUUAUAUAAAAAUUAAAUAAUUUUAAGAAAUAUGUAAUUUUCUUAUACAUUUUACUUUCCUUCACAUUUUUCAUAAUAAAAUCAAAUAUAAAAAAAUUAUUUUUCUUUUUUUUCCUAAUACUUUCCACGAAGUAACAUGGCCCUAAGAGUUCUCAAGACUUUUUUUUUUCUUUUGUCCUAAUACUUUCCACGAAGUAACAUGACCCUAACAGUUGAUUUGUUCUUGAUUUGUUCUUAAGUCUUGACAACUAAUUUUCUUUAGAAAGCGUGUGGGGUUUUUUACUAUUCCAGAAAGAAAAACAAAAAAAUCAACUUCACCUUUAUGAUUUUAAUGACCAUCCUUUAUGUUUACUUCCAUGGAAAGAAAAUAAAAAAUCGAUUUAUUGAAAGUGAAGGAAUACGUCAGGUGAAUGAUAUCAUCAAUCAUAAGCAAUAAUAUUUAUGUAUUAUAAAAUUUAUAUUCAAACAUAAAUUUCAUAAAAAAAUCUAUUAAUUGUAAGCUAAGAAAUAAAGAAAGAAGAAGCCAUCCAUGAAUGAGGUGAUCAAUUCCGUGGCAUAUUUAACUUCUAAUAAUUAUGUAUUAUAAAAUUCAUAUCUAAAUAUUAAAUUUUAUCAAAAAUCGAUUAAUUGUAAGUGAAGAAAUAAGGAAAGAAGUCAUUGAUAAAGUAUAUGUAACCAAUACUACUUGUAAAGUAUAUAUUCACAUAUAAAUUUCAAUUUCACCACUCACGUGAUUUUUAAUAAUUAAUUGAUUAAAAUUGAUAUGCUAUACAAAUAGUGAAGUAGAAAUUGUUAAAAAAAAAUUAAUAAUUUUGUGGAAGGGUUAGAAGUGGGUUAAAUUUUUUUUUUUUUCGCUUAGUUUCUAACACCUUUGACUAACUAUAUGUUGUAUUUAGUUCCAAAUAUUAAAACAACGAUCGUGGAAACUCCAAUGCAAUUUCGUUUUAGAGUAUCUUUCAUUGGUCAGAUGAACCGGAGGAACAAGUUAAAUAUAUCAUCGUAUAAAUCAAAGACAAACAUUUGGGGGAUUAACACAAGUAUCCAACCCAUCCCAACAAUUCGCAGUAGCUCCACGUUUCAUCAUCUGUCUCAAAUUCUCGAACUUCUUUAAAGAGCGUGGAAGGGUGUGAUGAGAUUUUUGGUUUUGUUUAGUCUUCUCUUUUCAGUACUGAUGUUUCCAGCAGCAGAGGCUAGAAUCAGAAGGUAUAGAUGGGAGGUGAAGUAUGAGUACAAGUCUCCUGAUUGCUUUCAGAAGAUGGUUAUCACCAUCAAUGGACAAAGCCCCGGUCCAACAAUCCUGGCAGAAGAAGGAGACACCGUCAUUGUUGAGCUCACAAAUAGUUUGUUGACAGAAAAUGUCGCAAUCCACUGGCAUGGUAUCAGACAGGUAGAGCAAAGAUUAAUAUAUAAUGUUUUCUUUUUUCUUCCCCUUUCUGGGCUUAAUUUUGCAGUUCUGAUGGUUCAUCUUCUUGAUGAUUACAGAUUGGGACGCCAUGGUUUGAUGGAACGGAAGGGGUGACCCAGUGUCCAAUCCUGCCAGGAGAUACCUUCACAUAUGAGUAUAAAGUGGAUAGGGUAAGAUUGAUCAGUGGUCUUAAUCAAGAAAGUUGGAACCAGUACUACUUUCAAUUAUCUGAUGAUAUUAUUCUUUGGUUUAUGCAGCCUGGGACUUAUCUAUACCAUGCCCAUUACGGAAUGCAAAGAGAAGCUGGGCUGUAUGGAUCGAUUCGUGUGUCGGUUGCUCGUGGGAAGACUGAGCCCUUUUCCUAUGACCACGACCGGAGCAUCAUCCUCACUGACUGGUACCAUAAUACCACUUAUGAACAAGCCCUGGGCUUGUCCUCCAAUCCUCUUGACUGGGUCGGCGAGCCUCAGGUGAAUGCCAACUACUACUGCUUCCGCCAUAGCAUUCUGGUUUGUUCUGCUAUUCAUCUUCUGAUGUCUUUUUCUGUCUGUUAAUUUUUCAGUCCCUUCUGAUUCAAGGAAAAGGAAGAUACAACUGCUCCCUAGUUUCAAGUCCUUACGUCUGUAAUGCAACAAGUCCUCAGUGUUCUCCCUAUGUACUCACUGUAGUUCCGGGGAAAACAUAUCGCCUUCGGGUCUCCAGCUUGACUUCCCUGUCAGCUCUCAGUUUCCAAAUAGAGGUUGGUAUAAUUAAAAACUUCACCGUGGUUUCUUAUUCCUUGCUUCUACUUGGUCAAGUCAUAUUCCACACAAAAAAGUCAAACACUACCUAUUUAAGAACUCAUCUUUAGCUAUAUAAUUGUGUUUUAAAUAUGUAAAGCUUUUGUUAUGAAUAAUAUUAGAGUUAAUUCUUAACUUCAUUGUAUGAGUUUGAUUGGUCCAUAAGUAAUGUUUAUAUGUUUGAUCUCAUGAUAUACAACGAGGAUGUUGUAUUUGUAUGAUAAUAAUUGUAAUAUUCUAUAUCAAAUGUGUAAAAAGUUCCUAAUAUUAUAUAUGUCUGAACUUCUACACAUGUGACGGGGAUUUGGGUCCAAAACAAAGAAUAUUUAUACAUUUCAAAAUGGUUUACUACAAAAACCGUGCAUGUUCUGAUACGGUUUUAAUUUCUAACGCUGCAGGGUCACAACAUGACUGUAGUUGAAGCAGAUGGGCACUUUGUGGAACCCUUUGUGAUAAAAAACCUCUUCAUUUACUCAGGGGAGACCUAUUCAGUUCUGGUGAAGGCUGAUCAAGACCCUUCAAGAAAUUACUGGGUCACAACCAGCGUGGUCAGUAGGAACAACACUGUCACUCCUCCGGGCUUGGCCAUUUUCAAUUACUACCCCAACCAUCCCAACAAGUCUCCUCCAACAGUCCCACCCGUUGGCCCUCUUUGGAACGACGUCGAGCCGCGCCUCAACCAAAGCCGUGCCAUUAAGGCUCACCAUGAUUAUAUUGUGCCCCCUCCCCACACCUCAGACAGAGUAAUCGUGUUUCUAAACACUCAAAAUAAGAUAAAUGGUUAUGUUAGGUGGUCUGUCAACAACAACUCCUUCAACUUGCCACACACCCCCUACCUAAUCGCUCUCAAAGAGAAUAUAACUGGAGCCUUCGACCCAACCCCACCUCCAAAUGGUUAUGAUUUUGUAAACUAUGAUAUCUACAAUGUGGCGAAUAACACCAACGCUACAUCCAGCAACUCAAUUUAUAGGCUGCAGUUCAAUACAACAGUGGAUAUUAUACUGCAAAACGCAAACACCAUGAAGAAGAAUGACAGCGAGACGCACCCAUGGCAUCUCCACGGGCAUAAUUUUUGGGUACUGGGAUAUGGAAAAGGUAAGUUCGACAAUUUCAGUGAUCCAAUAAAGUACAAUCUGAUCGACCCAAUUAUGAAGAACACAGCACCUGUUCAUCCUUAUGGAUGGACUGCCUUAAGGUUUCGAUCUGAUAACCCAGGUACCUGGGCAUUCCAUUGCCAUAUAGAGUCUCAUUUCUAUAUGGGUAUGGGAGUUGUUUUUGAAGAAGGGGUGGAGAGAGUGGGAAAGCUGCCUUCAUCUAUCAUGGGUUGCGGUAAAGCCAAGGGUCUCGGCGGCAGGCCAUAAUAUGCAGGUAAGUUGAGCAUGAAAAAGGAAAAUAAGAUUAUCAAAUCUUUACAAACCUCUCUAUUUCAAAGCCCCAAACAUCUUGUAAUAACAAUAAUAAUUACUAUUACCUGUUUUUUAUACUUAGUAUCAAUACUAUUUUUUAUUUCGAGGUGAAAUGCAUAGAAAAAAGAAAUAGUAUUUGUAGGGACCACUCCCCCCGAUGGCGCGUGACACACAUUUACUAAUGACACGUGGCACACAUUUCUAUCCGGAUUAUCCCCAUCUGGAUUUCCCCAAGAAGACACGUGGCGCGCUUCUCUUAUCCGGACUUCCUCAGGGAGAGGCACACGACACUCACAAACAUCACAUCUGGACGAUCGCCAUAUCACAUCCAAACGACCGACAUAUCCUAUCCGGAUAUGUUUUUAUCCGGAUCGUUGACUGAAGUAAGCAGGUCUUGCACGUCAUGUCAACAGCCUGCCACGACCCACGUUCCGCCACCUGCAGAGUGAAAGGACAGGAAUGAAGUGAUGACAAUCACUUCCCGCGAUCUCUGACAGCCGUGGCGCCUCCCACGAUCUCUGUCAGCCGCCCGUAGGGUGAUGAUGGCCCUGCCACCACCUAGAGGCAUCAUGACAAGCCAAAAUAUCUCCCUACCAUUAAAAAGAGAAACAAAGCUUCUAGACGCUAUAUAUAUGGACCUUCACACAAAGAGGAAGGUAAGAUAACUUGUUAUACCUAAUAAAAGACCAAUUGAUUAUUCUCUCUAACCAUGGCUGACAAAACCAUCGGAGGGUGUGUCCGGACGCCUUUUGUAGGAGCGACUGAACCAGGAAUCUAUAUUGGUUGAGAUCGCGUGUCCAUCCAUUUGGCAACUACGUGGAUCACAGGGACGCGAGGCUUCAACAGUAUUAUGCACAGGAAAAAAAAAAAAAUCAUGGUUGGAAAGGUUAGAGUAACAAAAGCCAUUGAAAUGACUACUAUCCAUUUAUUUAAGUUAAAUUAUAAGAAAAAAGAUUUUAAACCUUCAAGUCAAGUAAUUAAAUUUCUCUUUAGUUUCAUAUUGGAUGAAGAUUCAAACCAAAAACGCUCCAAUGAUCAAACCUAUCACCCAGAUUGGGUACAUAAAAAAAACUUCAAAACAUUAGAGAAAAUACAACAAUAAUAAAUUAACAUAAGUUUAUAUGGUAUGAUUUAAAACAACAACAUCCCCAAUAAAGUGGGAUAUCUCCAAACUUAAAGUUGGUCAAGACAAAAGGUUUAAUGUAUAUUUACAUUUUGCUGAAAUUUGAAUAAGAAGCAUACAACAAUUUUGUUCUAUUCUAUUCAAUGGAUAAUAACUUCAUUUAUUCAAGAUCUUCCUUCUUACCAUCUAUUCCUAAAGACUUUGAAUGCUUUUUUAGAUGCUAGUUUUUCAAUUUCAAUGAAUAAAUUGGGUGUUGGAGCUUUAGAAACUUCAUUCAACAACCUUUUUUUAAGAUUUAAAAAUCUAUAACUCUUAUUUGAGACUCAUGAUCUUAAAUUGAGAAUGAAAGGAACAAAAUCCUCUCUUUUUUUUCUUUCAUUCAAUUUUCUCAUAAAAUUACCAAAAACAAAACAAAAAUCAAUUCCACCAAACAAAGGGUUUUUAUAUUAAAAAAAAAAAACCUUAAAAUCUAUAUUUACAUAGACUUCAGAUAAAUGGAAUAAAAUAGAUUAAUAUUGGUUUGAUUUAAUCCAUUGUCAAUGAUCGAUCAUAAACUUGACAAAUCAUUCAUUUUUUUGGUACAUGAAAUAUAGGAUUUCACUAAGUUAAUUAUUAAAAAAAAUAAAAAAAUUCUUGGUUGUAAAAGAAUGAAAAAAGAAAGGAGAAAGUAAUGAAAAUAAAAUGAAGUUAAAAAAAAAAAUUGGAAUACAAUUAAUAGGAAACCUAAGAAAUAAAAGGUGUUCCACAAAUUAUGAUUAUGAGAGGGUAACUAAGUAAAGUUAAAAGUAAAUAAAAAAAUUAAUGAUUGGUUUCAUACACUUUCUUUUUUUUUAAAAAAAAAUAUUAAAUCUAAAAAUUCUUAUGAAAAAAAUAAUAACUUAUAUUAUGUUGUUAAAAAUUAUAUUUUUAAUUCGUUUUUUAAAAAACCAUUAUAUAUUUUGUAAAACUUAUUAUUAUUUUUGUUUCUAAACAUAGAAAAUAGCAUCCAAAUUAAAUUAAAUAAUUUCAUAUCAAAAAAAAAAUAUAUAUAUAUCAAAUUAUUCAAUCAUAUGAAAACAAUUUUACAAAGGAAAAAUAAGUUUUGUUCUAAAAAUAUUUAAAAAAAUCAAAAGAAUUAAAAUCUCAAUAGAAAAUUUUUCAUUAUUAAGGUAAAUUUUAUAUCAAAAUCUUAAUAUUUUUAAAACAAUGUUAUAAUUUUCUUAAUAAAAUUUAAAUUUGUUUAAAUAAAUAAUACAAUUGAGUGAUAAAACUUUUUAUUCAAUAAUUAUCUAUUAUAAAAUAAGUGUUAUUAUUAAUUCACCAUUAUUUAAUUAAAUAUAAAAUUUUAAAAGAUUUAAAUAUCUCAAAAUGAAUGAAAUCAUUAUUACAGUUAUAUAAAGUAAAAAAGUUUUAUGUAAUUUUAAAAAAAAAUCAAUUUAUUUAUUGAAUAAAUGAAAGAUAGGUUAUGAUAAAAAGAAAAAAUUAAUAAUAAAUAUAAGUAUUAAAUACGUUUUAUUUAUUUCUCACAACACAUUCAAAUAUGAUUUAAAAUAUUUCAAAUUUAUUAUGAAGAAAAAAAAAAGUGAAGGAGAGUUCUAACAAACCCUAAUUAUCCUCAUCUCAAUUCUAAAUCUGAAAUCGGAAAAAUACUUUGCGAUCAUCUCCUAACAUAACCAGACUUCUUUCCUAUAAAUAAAUCAUAAUCAGUUGUUUAAAUAUUCUUCUUGUUUCUAAUUUAUGUUCACUACAUCUUUGAAAAAAAAAAACAAAAAUGAAAUCAAAAUACCUUAAAUUUGUUUUGAAAACAACCCAUUUUUAAAACAAAUUCUCCAAAAAUAAAAAAAUAAAAAAAUAAAAAAAUAAAAAAAUGUUUUUAAUAAAAGAUUUGUCAACUUUGUUUUAUGAGUUACAAAAGUUUUUUCUGUUUUAAAAAAUAAAAAGUUGUUUUAGUUUUCAAACAAACUCAUCAACCAAAUAAGAUAAAAUAUUAAAUAAAUAAAUAAAUUUAAAUUUAUUUCCUUCGCUCUUUUAAGCAAUGUUUUAAAAAUCAGAUCAAUUAUUAAUACGAAAAAGUUAUGAUUUACUAUUAAAUGGUUGGACUACUGGUUGAACUGUAGUGGAACCGAUAACAUCAUAAAUAUAUAAUUUAUAUAUUAUUAAAUUAAAAAUAAUUAUACAAUUUUAAAAUAUACAUAUAAAUAAAUUAAAAAUCAAUAAUAUUUUUUUUAUCUUUUAUAUUAUCAAAUUAAAUAAUGCAUAAGUAUAAAUAUAUUAAUAUACUAAAUUUUAUUAAAUGAGAUAUGUAUAAUAUUUAAAGAGAAUAUAUUAAAAAUCAAAGAAAAUCCAAUUAUUUAAUUUUAGAUAAUUUUAUCAUUUAAAAAAAAUUAUAUUAUUGUUAUUCAAUAUUUUAAUUUUUUUUGUUUAGAAAAGAAAUAUAUUAUUUUUUGUUUGCUUGCAUAGCAUCGAGUGGUGCCCCCCAUGCCACUUCCUAAGCGCUUUUCACUCACUGAUUUUUCCCUUCAACUUUAAUAUCAUAUUGUCCAUAAGAAAAAAAAUAUGGCUGGCAUUUUGAAAUGGACCUGAUUGAAUAAAAAAAGAAAGGGUGGCAAUAUAGGGAGGGCCUUGGAAUUGGGCCCAUUUUGAAUUAGAAAAAAAAACAAAAAAAACGGUCAUUGGACCCAGACUGUUCGGUUCUGCAUUGUGCGGAAGAAAAAAUUAUGGGCUGGCAUUUUAAAAUGGGCCUGGUUGAAUAAAAGAAGAAAGGGUGGCAAUAUAAGCUGGCCAUUGGAAUUGGGCCAUUUUGAAUAUAAAAAAAAUGGGUCAGUUUGGUUUACUCGGUUUACCGGUUCGACCAGUUCUUGACUGGUUUCCAAACGAGAAAAUCCAGAUCGGAUGACAGUUGGACCAAAAUUAAAAUUUAAAACUAUUUUAUAUAUAUAUAUAUAUUAAAGAAAAAAAUUGAGAGAAAAAAUAGAAGAUAAAAAAUAUAUAAGAAAAUAGAAAAUAGAAAAUAAGUUUAAAAUUAAUAAAUUAUUUUUAUGUUUAUUUAUUUUUAUAUUUUUCAUAUAAAGAUUAAAUAAAUUUAAAAUACAUAAAUUUUUUAUUAAUUUUAAUUAUAUUUAAUUUUAAACACAAUAAAAUUAUUUUUAAAUAAUUUUUAUUUUCUUAAUAUUUUUCAAGAAUAAAAAAUAACUUAUAGGAAACCGAUGAAACGUUAUUGAGUAUUUAUUUCUUUUAGAAAUUCAAACAUGAAGUUGGUUUUGAAUGGUCAUCCGUGAAUUGGUCAAAGUUUGUAGAAGAAAUGACGCCCACGGACCACGUGCCUUGGUUUCUUAGUCAAGCUCUAAUAAUAACAAAAAGUCAAAAAUCAAUCAGUAACAUUCUUGGUUACUUCCAAGUUUCAAUUAUAGUGGGAUUACUUUGAAAGUUCAAAGUCUCUUACAAAUUACGACUCCGUCCCGUGAAUACAUCAUGUUUUGAAAUGUUUCAAAAUUUUAUUUUUUAAACAAUUUUUGAAAAACAAAACAAUUCUUAAUUAUUUUUUAAAAUUUAAAUAUAAAAGAUAGUUUUUUUUUUUUAUUUAUACUUCAAAAAUAUACUAUCUAAUUAUAUAUAAUGUCAAAUAUUUUAAAGGAUUUUUCAUAGUGUUAAUUAUCAUUUAAAACAUUGUAAAACAUAAUUAAAAAAAAACUUAGGUUAUGGUUGGUUUCGGAAAAUAUAAUAAAAAAGAAAUAGAAAAGAAAUGGGUAAGUAUGUCUUUUUAAAAGAAUACUUUGAAAGGUGGGUUUAAAAGAUUAAUUUGCCUUAAAAGAAAAAUAAUUCCAAUUUUCAUUGGAUUAGAGCAAUUCAAGGACAUAUAUCAUUACAAUCUAUAUGUUUGAUAAGACUUGGAAGAUUGUUUUAUAAAUGAUUAAUUUUCAUAAUAUUUAAAAUUUAUUUGAUGAUGAUUUAAAAAAAAUGUUUUUAACGUUUUUUAAUACUUGAAAUUUUUUAUUUUUUAAGUAUUAAAAAGACUAUAAAUAUUUUUUUAAAAUUUCUAUCAAACAUAUUUUUAAUUUCAUUGAACUCAAAGUUAACUUCAUGUGUUAAUGGAUCAAAUUUAAUUGAAGUAUUGAAUUUUAAAAUUAAAAAGAAAAGACAAUUUUAAUUCUUACACCAAAAUAAUUUUAAAAUCAUUUCUAAUUAAUGAAAAAAGAAAAUUCAUUUAUAUUUAGCUCACUUGCUUAAUCCUGUCAAAAUGAUUUUUUUAUAAGCUCCCAUAUGUAUUUAUAAAUUUUAUAUAUUUAAAAAUAUAAAAUCAUAAAAUACGUUUGUAAAUAUAAAUAUUAUAUAGUUAAAAAAAUUAAAUAACCAAUAAAGUAAAAUUUUAUAUAAUUUGUUAAAAAAUUAAAAUUUAAUUUAUUUUUUAUUACUUUUAUUUUCAAAAUAAAAUUUUUAUAUAAAAUAUAAUAACUCUUACCAAAAAAACAAAAAUUCACCUUGUAUUCUUAAAACCAAUUUUUUUCUACUUCCUUAAGCUUUAAAUUUUUUGUUUAUAUUAAUUUCCAUCUUUUAUACAAGAUUUUCUAUUUUUAAAAAUAAAGGAGAUGUAUUUAAAUAUGUAUUAAAAAAAAGUAAUUAAAAAUUAUUUUAAAAUAAAAUAUUUAUAAAUUAAAAAAAUUAAAACAAGUUAUUAACAAAUUUAAUGGCCUAUAGACUCAUUUCGACAUAUUAUUUGUGCCAAUUAUAUUCAAUUUAACUUGAGUUGACCAGGUCAACUAUCCAUGUACUUUGAAGGAGUCAAUGGUCAAUAUAAAAGACAAAAAACAAAAUUAGUUGGUCCAUAUAAGUGUACUCAAUUAUUUAAAUUUAUUCUCAUUCUCACAAAAAAAAAAAGACACUAGUGGACAAAAUUGGGAUAGGUGAGAGAAUUUCUCAUCCCCAACCAUCUUAUUUAAUUUUUAUUUUUAAAAAUUUAAAUUAUAUUAGAACUCAAUAUAAUUUAUUCCCAUCUUAUUUAAUUUUUUAUUUUUAAACAUUUAAAUUAUAUUAGAAAUCAAUAUAAUUUAUAAAUUUAUGCAUUAAAAAUGAACAAAACUAAAAAUAAUUAAAUUAAAUUAUUUUAAAUUAUAUUUAUAAUCGAUGGGGUGAUAUUCAAUCUCAAUUUUUUUUAAAAAUAAAAUAAAAUAAAUUUGUUUCUAACUCUCCCUAAAUUCUUCGUAUCUUCAAGGAACAUACAAACAUUCAAAAAUAGCUUCUCUAAACGUUCUCAUUAGACAAACAUAUUUCAAAUAAAAUAUAAUUGAAUGCAUAUUUGUUAAUUUAAAAAAACAAAUAAAUAAAAAAAUCUAUGAAAUCAAUAUUGGAAAGUCACAAUAUCCAAAAAUCAAUAUAAUUAAUACUAAAAAGUCAUAAAUCAAAAUUGAUUGGAAACCGGAAAGACUUUCCUUAUUUUCCAUUUUUAAUAUAAUUUUAAUUUUUUUAAUAUUUCUAUUAAAUAAGUAAACUCUAAAUCAAGUAAGGUUAGUGUAUUGGAUUCAUAAAAAAUAAUUUUUAAAAAUAAUUAUAAACUUAAAUAUUAACCCAAUAGAUUAAAAAAAUUAGGAGCAAAAAAAUUAUAUUUUUUUUUUUCCGAAUUUUCUCAUUAAAGUAGCUCCAUUUUCUAAACUAAUUAAAAAUUUCUAUACUUUAAUAUUUUCUAAAAUAAAAUCAUCUUUAAAAAAGAAUUUAAAAACUAUUUUUUAAAAUUAUAAUAUCAAUCAUAUUUUAUAUACCACCAUUCUUUAAAAUCGCUUUUAUCACUCCAUUGGGAAAAUGUAAGAAAAAAAAAUAUAGAUGAAAAGAAAAGGUAAAGAAAAAUAAGAAAUAUAUUUAAAGUUAAUAAAUUAUUUUUUAUAUAUUAAAAUUUUUAUAUAAAAAUUAAAUAAUUUUUAAAAAAAUAUGUAAUUUUCUUAUACAUUUUACUCUCCUCCAUAUUUUUCAUAAUAAAAUUAAAUAUAAAAAAAUUAUUUUCCUUUUUUUUUUUUAAGUACUUUCCGGGAAAUAAUACGACCCUAGGAGUUAUUUGUUAUAAGACUUAUUUUAUUUUUAUUGUUUCCUAAUACUUUUCGUAAAGUAACAUGAACUUGAUUUGUUCUCAAGUUUUGACAACUAAUUUUCUUUGAAAAACGUGUCAGGGGAAAUUCUUGGCAAUUCGGCGCUUUUUACUAUUCCAUAAAGAAAAACAAAAAAAUCAAUUUGACGUUUAUGAUUUUAAUGACCAUCCUUUGUGUUUAGUUCAUGGAAAGAAAAUAAAAAAUGAUUUAUUAAAAGUGAAAGGAAUACGACUGGUGAAUGAUAUCAUCAAUCAUAAGCAAUAGUACUUAUGUAUUAUAAAAUUUAUAUUCAAACAUAAAUUUUAUAAAAAAAUCUAUUAAUUAUAGGCGAAGAAAUAAAGAAAGAAGUCGUCAUUGAUAAAGAGGUGAUAACCAUCUUCCGGAAUCAAUCAGGAGACUUGUAGAAAUUCACAGUAACUCCACGUUUCAUAAUCUGUCUCAAAUUCUCAAGUUCUCUAAAGAACGUUGAAGAUGAUAAAGAGGUGAUAACCAUCUUCUGGAAGCAAUCAGGAGACUUGUAGAAAUUCGCAGUAACUCCACGUUUCAUAAUCUGUCUCAAAUUCUCAAGUUCUUUAAAGAACGUUGAAGAUGGGUGAGAUGAGAUUUUUGGCUCUGUUUAUUCUUCUCUUUUGAGUACUGAUUUUUCAAGCAGCAGAGGCUAGAAUCAGAAGGUAUAAUUGGGAGGUGAAGUUGAGUACAAGUCUCCUGAUUGCUUCCAGAAGAUGGUUAUUGCCAUCAAUGGACAAAGCCCCGGUCCAACAAUCCUGGCCGAAGAAGGAGACACCGUCAUUGUUGAGCUCACAAAUGGUUUGUUGACAGGAAAUGUCGCAAUCCACUGGCAUGGUAUGAGACAUGUAGAGCAAAGAUUAAUAUAUAAUGUUUUCUUUUUUCUUCCCCUUUCUGGGCUUAAUUUUGCAGCUCUGAUGGUUCAUCUUCUUGAUAAUUACAGAUUGGGACGCCAUGGUUUGAUGAAACGGAAGGGGUGACCCAGUGUCCAAUCCUGCCAGGAGAUACCUUCACAUAUGAGUAUAAAAUGGAUAGGGUAAGAUUGAUCCGUGGUCUUAAUCAAGAAAGUUGGAACCAGUACUACUUUCAAUUAUCUGAUGAUAUUAUUCUUUGGUGUAUGCAGCCUGGGACUUAUCUAUACCAUGCUCAUUACGGAAUGCAAAGAGAAGCUGGGCUGUAUGGAUAGAUUCGUGUGUCGGUUACUUGUGGGAAGACUGAGCCCUUUUCCUAUGACCACGACCGGAGCAUCAUCCUCACUGACUGGUACCAUAAUACCACUUAUGAACAAGCCCUGGGCUUGUCCCCCAUUCCUUUUGACUGGGUCGGGGAGCCUCAGGUGAAUGCCAACCACUACUGCUUCCGCCAUAGCAUUCUGGUUUGUUCUGCUCUUCAUCUUCUGAUGUCUUUUUCUGUCUGUUAAUUUUUCAGUCCCUUCUCAUUCAAGGAAAAGGAAGAUACAACUGCUCCCUAGUUUCAAGUCCUUACGUCUGUAAUGCAACAAGUCCUCAGUGUUCUCCCUAUGUACUCACUGUAGUCCGGGGAAAACAUAUCGCCUUCGGGUCUCCAGCUUGACUUCCCUGUGAGCUCUCAGUUUCCAAAUAGAGGUUGGUAUAAUUAAAAACUUCACCGUGGUUUCUUAUUCCUUGCUUCUACUUGGUCAAGUCAUAUUCCAUACGAACUUUUCUUAGCCAUAUGGAAGAGUUUUAAACAUAUGAGGGGAUUUUGAGUCCAAAUUGAAGAAUAUCUACCCAUUUCAAAAUGGUUUAUUACAAAAACUAUGCAUGUUCUGAUACGGUUUUAAUUUAUAACGCUGCAGGUUCACGACAUGACUGUAGUUGAAGCAGAUGGGCACUUUGUGGAACCCUUUGUGAUAAAAAAACCUCUUCAGUUACUCAGGGGAGACCUAUUCAGUUCUGGUGAAGGCUGAUCAAGACCCUUCAAGAAAUUACUGGGUCACAAUCAGUGUGGUCAGUAGGAACAACACUGUCACUCCUCCGGGCUUGGCCAUCUUCAAUUACUACCCCAACCAUCCCAAGAAGUCUCCUCCAACGAUCCCACCCGCUGGCUCUCUUUGGAAUGACGUCGAGCCGCGCCUCAACCAAAGCCGUGCCAUUAAGGCUCACCAUGAUUAUAUUGUGCCCCCUCCCCACACCUCAGGCAGAGUAAUCGUGUUUCUAAACACUCAAAAUAAGAUAAAUGGUUAUGUUAGGUGGUCUGUCAACAACGGCUCCUUUAACUUCCCGCACACCCCCUACCUAAUCGCUCUCAAAGAGAAUAUAACUGGAGCCUUCGACCCAACCCCACAUCCAAAUGGUUAUGAUUUUGUAAACUAUGAUAUCUACAAUGUGGCGAAUAACACCAACGCUACAUCCAGCAACUCAAUUUAUAGGCUGCAGUUCAAUACAACAGUGGAUAUUAUACUGCAAAACGCAAACACCGUGAAUACGAAUAAUAGCGAGACGCACCCAUGGCAUCUCCACGGGCAUAAUUUUUGGGUACUGGGCUAUGGAGAAGGUAAGUGAUCCAAUAAAGUACAAUCUGAUCGACCCAAUUAUGAAGAACACAGCACCUGUUCAUCCUUAUGGAUGGACUGCCUUAAGGUUUCGAUCUGAUAACCCAGGUACCUGGGCAUUCCAUUGCCAUAUAGAGUCUCAUUUCUAUUUGGGUAUGGGAGUUGUUUUGAAGAAGGGGUGGAGAGGGUGGGAAAGCUGCCUUCAUCUAUAAUGGGUUGCGGUAAAGCCAAGGGUCUCCGCCGGUAGUAUCACUACAUGGAGGUAGGUUUAUGGCCACGGCCAGCAGCCCCGGCUAAAAGUAAGACACAAUGCUGAGGCCAGGCGAAUCUAUGGGCAUUGAACAAGCGAAUCUAUCCAUUAAUUUAUAAAUUGAUUUGUUGGUUUCUCAAGAUGCAUAUGGUCCAAGUUGGUCAAAGAGGUGGGUACGUGGGCAUUUAAACACAGUAUCACAUUUAAAACACUAGCAUUUGGGAAUUUCAUAGAAGCUUUUGAUAUCGUAAGAACAAGAGAGAAAGCCAAACUCAAAUCAAUAUGAACAACCAAGUUAAAAAUGUAGCCAGUCAUUUGGUGGUAAAGUCUGAUUACUGAACCACUCCAGCUCUGCAUAGGCUCAGGCUUAUUCAUAGAUGAAACAUAACGGAUAACGUUUUUCAGCAAUGGUAGAAUAUGUUUGGCAAUGAAGUUCUCCUGGAAAAGUCCACCUGAAAAGCCAAAGUUGAAAAUUACCUUUUAAAGCUGCACAUAACAUUUCCAGAAAAAACACCAAUCCCACACCCAAAGAACUGAAAAUACCUACCCUAACCAGCACAUGAGAUAUGGACCAAUUGUACAUUCUUCCACUUUGCAGAAGUUCAUAACCUGGGUCCAUUUCCUCACGGCCCAUACAUUUGGAUGUGAGAGAGGGGCAAAGGAAAACCACAAGAAGAAACUCCUCCGGAAACAGAGCAUAACAGAAAACAAAUAACAAGAUCAACAAAUGAGGCUUCACUUCAUGGGUUAUCAGUGAGCCUGCUAACUAGAAGGGCAAGACCAAAUCAAAUGUAAGCAUGUACGAUAUUCCCAAGCAUCUCACACUAGAGGCAAAACAGAGCAAGAUUCAUCAUCUAUUGAAACUAAAGGGAAUAACAGAGAAAGCAGUAACAACAAGCUCACAUCCAUCCCAAAGAUCAAUAGAAAGAUCAAGAAUAGAGCCUAUUAAACCAGAUCUAAACAAAGUGAGAACCAACAGGGAGGAAAUCAAAAGAUGGAGAAAACAGAAAGUAAUAAAAUAUUUCAUUUUGAUCUUUUCCAAUUCGUUAAAUUACCUCCAUUGUCUAAACUAAAUAAAUAAAUUCUAUACUUCAAUAUUUUCUUUUAAGUCAAACAUAUUUUAUAUUCCCCCAUUCUUUAAAACCAUUUUUGGGAAUUACUAUGUUAUUUCGUUUUAAAAUACCCUCCAUUGUUCUGAAAUUGACUGGGCAAAGCGUAUGGUUGCAUAAAUAAGAGACAAACAUUUGGGGGAUUAGUACAAGCAUACAACCCAUUCCCACAAUUCGCAGUAGCUCCACGUUUCAUAAUCUGUCUCAAAUUCUCAAGUUCUCUAGAGAACGUUGAAGAUGGGUGUGAUGAGAUUUUAUUAGUUAUUAGAAUCCAGAUAUAGGAACUUGUAUUGAUUGGAUACGGAAAGAGAAGACUACUUAUUUUUUUUGUGCUUUGCUAGGUAAGGUAUACCAAGAAAAAAAACCUAUUUAACAAUGUUGAGAAUGUUUACAGUUUAUAAUGAAACUUAGCAAAGAUUUUCGUUUUUCAAACCCUGGUUUGUACCCAGGUCGUUCUAUAUCCAUGUGACUUACUAUUAGAUUAGAUUUCUAUUAGAUUUGAUUUGGGUUGGAGUUUUUUAUUUUUAACUGGGCUCAUGUCAUGAUUUUGACUCCAAAAAUUCACCAGGAUUAGGUAGGUAUACCAAAGCCAAAGAAAAGAAAUAUCACUAACUCUUUGAUUGUGGACAGGAAAAUUCAUAUGUAAUUUACUUACAAAGAUUAAUGAAGAAAAAACAAAAUGAAGAAAAAUUUGUUUGUUUAUCCGAGACUGGAAAAAUACCGAGUGGAUCCAUUGAAAUGCGUUUUUUGUUUUUCAUUUUUUUAUUUUAUAGGGCUUAUUUAUUAUAUUAGGGCUAUACGGACUCGAACCGUAGACCUUCUCGGUAAAACAGAUCAAACUGAUUAUUAUCAAAAUGAUUUGAACUGUUUCAAAGACCCAACAUGCAUUUUUUUUGCAUUGGGCUCUUUCAUUAACUGAUAUAAAUAUCAGUUAGUCCACCAUAUUUUUUCUUAACAGAAAGAUAAAGAGAUGGCUCCAUGUGCUCUGAUUCAUUAUUUUGAUUCUGAUCCAGGAGCACUACCAAAGUUUUUCAAAGAGGGUUAUCUUGACGUAGGUCUGCCUUUGGCCUAGAUCAACUUAAGUUAAAUGGAGUCUCUAUCGUUCUGAUUAAAGAAUCAAAUAUGAAACUUCAUACACCUUAAAGUUCAUAGGACGAAAAGAGAUUUUUUUUGAGGUCCUUAUACUCAUUAGGCCUAGCAUUGAAUAGACUGGGUAUUCACCUUAUCAAUAUCUCAAAAUGAUGGGUUCUAUUUGGCGCUUAAAUUAAAUGGGCACCCAAAUCGGACCGAAUCGUUUGUCAGGCUAUUGUUCUCUUGUUCCCUCAAAGUCAUGGAGUAAGACAUCGAUUUCUCAAUAAGAUCAAUGCAUGAUGGACUCUCUUGAAAAACAUUGGCGCGCGUGUAAACGAGGUGCUCUACCUAACUGAGCUAUAACCCUUGUACUUGUGAUACAUAUUUUAUCAUGUAGAUAAUUUAUUGUCAAGAUGAAUAUUCCAUGAUCCAACAUGAUAACUCUUUGAUCUGUUUGAUUGGUAUUGCUUAUAAAUAAUAUUCUAUUUAUAAUCCAUCGAUGUGAUGGGUUCCAUUUGUUUCUCCUUAGGAUGAUAAAUGACCUACUUAACUCAGUGGUUAGAGUAUUGCUUUCAUACGGCGGGAGUCAUUGGUUCAAAUCCAAUAGUAGGUAGAACUUAUUAGAUACCAGAGUCAAUGGUAUCUAAUAAGUUUUCUACCCACCUUCUUUUAUUGAUUUUGUAUCUUUUCCAUCCUAUUCUAUUUGCUUUUUGGCUUUAAAAUGCAAUUUUAUUUUUCGUUGCAUCAGAAUCCCAUUCCAUUUGAUUGUAUUUGAUUGUAUUCAAUCGGCAGAAUCAAAAUAGGGUGUAUAAACAGAACUUCUUUUGAUUUUUCGGGCACAUGACUAGUUACGAAGUCACAUUGAUAGCCUCUACUCGUGUCCUAGCUCGUCUAAGAGCUAGAUUUGCCUCAAUUAUUUGUCUCUUGCCUUCAGCUUUCCUCAAGUUAGCUUCCGCUAUUUCAAGAGUUAGCUUCCGCUAAACUUAUGAACAUCAUUCAUAAGUUUCUUUAUUUAUUUUCAGUUUCUUGUAAUCAUCGUAAUUUUUUUUAAUAUAAUAUGUUAUCAUAUCCAUCAACAUAUGUUUAACAAAUGUCAAAAUUUUCUCUAUUUAUUAAGUAAAGACUGGUGUAUUUUUUCAAGUUCAAUGUAAUGUCUAAUAUUUUUGAGUAACUAAUUUAAUUAAUUGGUGAAUCUAUUAUCCAUCUCAAUUAGCAUAUUCAUUUUUGGAUUUUUUUUUAUAGGAGUUAUUUAGGAUUUUUUUUUUAAUGUUUUUCAAUUUUCAAACAAACAAUUUUCACGUAAAGCAUUUUGUUUUUUUGUAUUUAGUUGCCAAUAUUGAAUGUAAAAAAUGUGCUUUGAAGUCAACGAUUUUGGGAAUUACUAUGUUGUUUCGUUUUAGAAGAUCCUGCAGUGUCCUCAAAUUGACUGGGCAAAGCGUAUGAUUGCAUAAAUAAGAGACAAACAUUUGGGGGAUUAAUACAAGCAUACAAUCCAUUCCCACAAUUCGCAGUAGCUCCACGUUUCAUAAUCUGUCUCAAAUUCUCAAGUUCUCUAAAGAACGUUGAAGAUGGGUGUGAUGAGAUUUUUGGCUCUGUUUAUUCUUCUCUUUUCAGUACUGAUUUUUCAAGUAGCAGAGGCUAGAAUCAGAAGGUAUAAAUGGGAGGUGAAGUAUGAGUACAAGUCUCCUGAUUGCUUCCAGAAGAUGGUUAUUACCAUCAAUGGACAAAGCCCCGGCCCAACAAUCCUGGCCGAAGAAGGAGACACCGUUAUUGUUGAACUCACAAAUGGUUUGUUGACAGAAAAUGUCGCAAUCCACUGGCACGGUAUCAGACAGGUAGAAAAAAAUAUUAAUAUAUAAUGUCUUCUUUUGUCUUCCCUUUCUGUGCUUAAUUUUGCAGUUCUGAUUGUUUAUCUUCUUGAUUACAGAUUGGGACGCCAUGGUUUGAUGGAACAGAAGGGGUUACCCAGUGUCCAAUCCUGCCUGGAGAGACCUUCACAUAUGAGUAUAAAGUAGAUAGGGUAAGAUUAAUCAGUGGCCUUAACUAAGCCUCUUCCCAACAAGCUUCAUCUCCAGAAAGUUGGAACCAGCACUGUCAAUUAUCUGAUUAUAUUAUUCUCUGGUGUAUACAGCCUGGGACUUAUCUAUACCAUGCCCAUUACGGAAUGCAAAGAGAAGCUGGGCUGUAUGGAUCGAUUCGUGUGUCGGUUGCUCGAGGGAAGACUGAACCCUUUUCCUAUGACUACGACCGGAGCAUCAUCCUCUCUGACUGGUACCAUAAUACCACUUAUGAACAAGUCCUGGGCUUGUCCUCCAUACCUUUUGACUGGAUCGGGGAGCCUCAGGUGAAUACCAACUCCUAAUACUGCUUCCGCCAUGGCAUUCUGGUUUGUUAUGCUCUUCAUCUUCUGAUGUCUUUUCCUCUCUGUCUGCUAAUUUUUCAGUCACUUCUGAUUCAAGGAAAAGGAAGAUACAACUGCUCUCUAGUUUCAAGUCCUUAUGUCUGUAAUGCAACAAGUCCUCAGUGUUCUCCCUAUGUACUCACUGUAGUUCCGGGGAAAACAUAUCGCCUUCGGGUCUCCAGCUUGACUUCCCUGUCAGCUCUCAGUUUCCAAAUAGAGGUUGGUAUAAUUAAUAAAUUCACCGCGGUUUCUUAUUCCUUGCUUCUACUUGUUCAAGUGAUAUUCCUCACAAAAAUAUUGUAACAAUACAUUUUUAAGAGCCCAUCUUAAAUAUAUAAAUACUUUUUAAAGAUUUGGGUUCAAAACAAAACAAUAUCCACAUGCUUGGAGACUAAUUCUCAACUUUGGUGGAGGGGUUUGUUUGAUCUCAUAUGGAGUGUCUAUUUGUUUGAUCCUGUCAUCCAUGAGACAUAAUGAGAAAGGUUUUGAUCCAAAAUGAAGAAUAUCUGUACAGUUAAAAGUGGAUUAUUACAAAAACUAUCCAUGUUCUGAUACGGUUUUAAUUUCUAACGCUACAGGGUCACAACAUGACUGUUGUUGAAGCAGACGGGCACUUUGUGGAACCCUUUGUGAUAAAAAACCUCUUCAUUUACUCAGGGGAGACCUAUUCAGUUCUGGUGAAGGCUGAUCAAGACCCUUCAAGAAAUUACUGGGUCACAACCAGUGUGGUCAGUAGGAACAACACUGUCACUCCUCCGGGCUUGGCCAUCUUCAAUUACUACCCCAACCAUCCCAAGAAGUCUCCCCCAACAGUCCCACCCGCUGGCCCUCUUUGGGACGACGUAGAGCCGCGCAUCAACCAAAGUCGUGCCAUUAAGGCUCACCAUGACUAUGUUUUCCCCCCUCCUCUCACCUCAGACAGAGUAAUUCUGAUGCUUAACACACAGAAUGAGAUCAAUGGUUACAGGAAGUGGUCUGUGAACAAUGUGUCCUUCAACCUCCCACACACACCCUACCUAAUUGCUCUCAAGGAAAAUAUCAGUGGUGUCUUUGAUCCAACCCCUGCUCCAGAUUACUUUGACUUGGAAAAUUAUGAUAUUUAUACCAAGCCAAACAAUUCCAACGCCACGUCUAGCAACUCAAUUUAUAGGCUCAAGUUCAACACAAUAGUGGACAUCAUACUGCAAAAUGCAAACACCAUGGUCGUGAAAAACAGUGAGACACAUCCAUGGCAUCUCCAUGGGCAUGACUUUUGGGUACUGGGCUAUGGGGAAGGCACGUUUAACAUGUCCAGUGAUCCAAGAACCUACAAUCUGAUUAACCCAAUUAUGAAGAACACAGCACCUGUUCAUCCUUAUGGAUGGACUGCCUUAAGGUUUCGAUCUAAUAACCCAGGUGCCUGGGCAUUCCAUUGCCAUAUCGAAUCUCAUUUCUAUAUGGGUAUGGGAGUUGUUUUUGAAGAAGGGGUGGAGAGGGUUGGAAAGCUGCCUUCAUCUAUCAUGGGUUGCGGUAAAUCCAAGGGUCUCCGCGGUAGGCCAUAAUUUUGUUGAGAUAUUAGGAAUGUUUUCCUUAUAUCAUUAUUUCCUUAUAUCAUUUAGUGUUUAGAUAUUAGGAAAGUUAAGAUAUUAUGAAUAUUGAGAUAUUAGGAUAUUAGUUGUUAUUUCCUUAUAUUAUUCUUUCCUUGUAUCAUUCUUUCUCAUUCUUAGAAUGGUGAUUACCCUCUAUAUAUACUCUGUACGAAUGAAAGAAAGUAUGAAUGAAAAACUACCAUUCAUCAAUUUGAACAUGGUAUCAGAGCCAGGGAACUGAAAUCCUGGAUAUUUUGUCGUAAGGCCAACAAUUGCCCCUCCUUUGCGAGAGAAAAAAAAAAAAAAGUGAAAAAAGUACUAUUGCUUUUCAAUCUGAAGGUACUUUCAAUCCAUGAAUUAUUUUGACUGAAUCAAACUAUGACGUUUGGUCAUAACUCGUGGAGAUGCAUAUUGUCGAACGGGAAAAACUUUCCUACAUCCGAGGUAAGACAAAUCCACCAAAAGAGUAAGAAGAUGGAUAUGAAAAAUGGUAUGUUGAGAAUCAAAAGGUGAAGAGAUGGUUGUUAAUGUCCAUGAGUCCAGAAAUUAUGAAGCGUUACUUACGCUUACCCACCGCUCAAGAAAUUUGGAGUACAUUAUCAAAGGCCUUCUAUGAUGGAAGUGAUGAAUUACAAGUUUUCACUUUGAAUCAAAAAGCCUUCACUGCCAAACAAAACGGCAAGUCUCUUUCUGAAUAUUAUGGAGAGUUAACUGAACUUUUUUGCGAAUUGGAUCAUCGGGAUAAGGUAGUCAUGAAAGACCCUGAAGAUAUUGCAGCAUACCGAAAAUCCAUUGAACGACAACGGGUGCACAUCUUUCUUGCUGGAUUGGAUGGUGACUUUGAGCAAGUUCGAGGAGAGAUUCAACGCAAAGAUCCUCUUCCCGAUUUGGAAGAAUGCUAUGCACUGAUUCGACGAGAGGCAGUACGUCAUGCUAGUAUGAAAACAAAAUCUGACAACCCUGACACCUCAGCUAUGGUAGUUCGACAAUAAUUAACCCGAAAUUGGCAGGACCAAUCCAAGACCAACCAUCCUAAGACAGACCCUAAUAUUGAUAAGUCAACCUUCAAAUGCACUCACUGCAAUAAGACUGGUCAUACCAAGAGUCGUUGCUUUGAAAUUGUGGGAUAUCUAGACUGGUGGGAUCACAAUCAUGAUCAACGGAAGAAGGAUUCCAAGAAAACCUCGACUGCAGCUAUUGCCGAAAUAAAAACAGAGGCUAAUGUUGAUGAGAAAGUCUCUGCAUUGAUAGCCGCUACAGAUUAUGGUGGUAAGUUUUUAAAUACUUCUACACCUGUUAUUAAUAAUGCAUGGAUAAUUGAUUCUGGUGCUACAGAUCAUAUGACUUUUGAUUCUAGACAGGUUUCACUCGUUAGACCUUCCUCACAAAAAUUUGUUUCCACAGCCAAUGGUAACACAACCCUAGUCAUUGGGGAAGGAUCCUUAACUCUUAUUGAUACUUUGAAUUUGGAUUCUAUUUUAGUUGCUCCAUCCUUAAAUUACAAUCUUUUGUCAGUUUCUCAAAUCACUGCAGCCUUAUCUUGUAUUGUCAUUUUUUGGCCUGAAUUUUGUGUUUUUAAGGACAUCCAAACAAGACAGACGAUUGGUUUUGGUAUUAAGCGGGGAAAACUCUAUUAUUUGGACUUGCAGUCAAAGGAUUCAAAUAAGUUGCGACAAGCCUUGAUGGCAGAUGGAUCUGAGGGGGAGAAGAAAAAGUCUGAAAUUUGGUUGUGGCAUCGACGUCUGGGACAUGCUUCCUUUGGUUAUUUAAAAAAAUUAUUUCCUAAUUUGUUUGCAAAGAGUGAUAUUUCUGGUUUCCGUUGUGAUAUUUGUGAAUUGGCUAAAAGCCAUCGUGCUUCCUUUCCAUUAAUUUUGAAUAAAAGUCCGUCUCCUUUUAUGGUUAUACAUUCUGAUGUUUGGGGCCCAUCCAAAGUCCCAACUUUGAGUGGUUCGCGUUGGUUUGUUACUUUUAUUGAUGAUUGUACCAGAAUGACAUGGUUAUGCUUGAUGAAGACCAAAGAUGAAGUGAACUUGUUGUUUCAAAAAUUUCAUAAAAUGAUUGAAACUUAGUACAAUGCAAAGGUUCGGGUUCUGCGUAGUGAUAAUGGUGGAGAAUAUCAAAGUUCUGAUUUUCAAAAGUAUUUGGAAGGACAUGGCAUCAUUCAUCAAACUACUUGUUCCAAUACACCCCAGCAAAAUGGAGUCGAUGAACGAAAAAAUCGGCACUUGUUAGAGGUUGUUCGUGCUUCCUUGAUAGCAGCAAAAACACCGAUAUCUUAUUGGGGAGAAGCAAUCACAUCUGCCGUAUACUUGAUCAAUCGGGUACCUUCUAGCUCAAUUAACUUUCAAACACCUCUCCAAGCUCUUAUUAAUGUCGUAGUUGCCCCAACCGUCCCAAAUCUACCUCCUCGUGUUUUUGGUUGUGUGGCAUUUGUGCAUCUACACAAGCACCAACGCACUAAGUUAACUUCCCAUGCAUUGCAAUGUGUGUUUGUUGGAUAUGCAUUGCACAAAAAGGGAUAUCGAUGUUACCAUCUUCCAACUUGACAAAUGUAUAUUACAAUGGAUGUGGUGUUUCAUGAAGAUUCGAUGUAUUUUUCAUCUGAGUCUGAACUUCAGGGGGAGUACCAUAAGGAAAUUCAAACUCUUGAUUAUGAUUAUCAUAUCUCUAAGGAAGAUGAAUCUGAACAAUCUGAACUAGUGAACCAGGAAGUGGGUGAGUUGGAUAUGAGUGGUCAACAAUUUGGAUCCGAAGAUGUCUUCACUGAAAUACCAAACCAAUCAUCGUCUGUUGAGGGUGUUCUUAAUUUGGAACCCGAUCCAUUCAUGAAACGGUUACCACAUCAUCAUAAUAGAGGUAUUCCUAAACCCACAUAUGAACCUGAUUUGUCUACCAAAGUCAAAUAUCCCAUGAGCAACUAUGUGUCUAACCAUCGUUUGUCUGAAUCAAAUAAGUCAUUUGUAAAUCAAUUAUCUACUGUAGUUAUUCCUAAUAGUGUGCAGGAAGCCUUAGUUGAUCCAAGGUGGAAAGCAAGAUUGGUUAGCCGAUAUCCUCACCAAAGCUGUCUCAAGUCAAGUAUUCUCAAAAAUUUUUAGACAAGUUGGGCAUGUGUGACAUCUAUGCACCAACUUGAGGGGGAGUGUUGAGAUAUUAGGAAUGUUUUCCUUAUAUCAUUAUUUCCUUAUAUCAUUUAGUGUUUAGAUAUUAGGAAAGUUAAGAUAUUAUGAAUAUUGAGAUAUUAGGAAAGUUGAGAUAUUAGGAUAUUAGUUGUUAUUUCCUUAUAUUAUUCUUUCCUUGUAUCAUCCUUUCCCAUUCUUAGAAUGAUGAUUACCCUCUAUAUAUACUCUGUACAUGAACGAAAGAAAGUAUGAAUGAAAAACUACCAUUCAUCAAUUUGAACAAAUUUUUCUUCCCAAUUAUCAAGUAAUUGAGGUAAAGUUUAAUUGUAUCACAUUUUCUAUAUUAUGUUUUAGAUGAUACAAAUUCUUUUCAUUCUUGAAUAAUAAAAAUAGUUAGAGACUGUUCACAUGGAUCUUGUAGUGUAAUAUUAAAGAUUCUUUUGAUCAAAAGCUCAGAGUUUGGGGCUGUUGGGGCCAUUGGUACUCUGAAUUUCAUCGUUACCAAAUCCUACUCCUUUAAUAAUGACUGGUUCAGAGGUCAGCGUCCCCUCAAUAUCAAAUUAUCAAUAAAUUUGAUGAGGUGAUGUGGUGAGAUGCGCCCUAGUCAACUCUCCAAUUGCUAUUGUUGGAGUUAGUGUUGCCACUUGUGUAAUUUGCUUGAGACUGUUUAUGUAAUUUGUUUUCCAAGAUGUAUUCGCCAGUUUGGCCUAUUUUGGCUUCAACAAGGGUGAUCUGAAACCAUGUAAAAGAAUUCAAUACUGAAUGAUAUAAACAUUGUGUGUUUUUGUUAAUGUUCAAUAGUUCAAUAUAUAUUGACUAUAGUGUAGUUAAUUAGCAAAUCAAUACCUAUAAUUGUGACAGAAAUGAUAGAGUGAAAGUUCUACAAAAAAAAAACAAAAAACAAAAAAAACUAAUUAUAACAUAUCUAGAAUAUUUAGAAUAAGUGUUCCUACAAUUAUGGUCUAUCGGUGAGAUAUUGGCUCAUUUUAAUACUAAGCUAAUAAUUUUAGUCAUACUUCUUUUUUCUUUGUACAAUACCAAAUUUUAAUCACAUGUAAUCUCAAGCUUCUUGUCAUGCAUAUUUCCUAAGACCAACAUAAACCUUUAGGACUCUUCAUAGGGACCUAAAUCUCGGGAUACUGACCACCCCUAUAACAACCACUACAAGAAAAAAGCCUUUCGUUGACAGUUUUUCACCAUCAAGGUAGGGUAUAUAUGUCAAGGUAUGUUACUAUUUAUAUAUGUCAUCUAUGCCAGUGUCAAGAAAAGUUUAAAGCUAUCUUGACAUUUACAUAUGUCACCUUGACAUUUACAUAUGUCAAGGUUGUUUCUAUUUCUACCAAUGAUCGAAUCUUUGUUAGUAUGACAUAUGUCAAUGUUUCUUUCAUUUUUGUCAAGGUUGGAUUCAACAUAUGUCAAGAUUUUUUGAUCUUAUGUCAAUGUUAACUUGCUUUUCUAUUAAGGUUGCUACAACAAAUGUUAAGAAUAAUAUGUCAAGGUUUCUAGCUAUUGCAAUGUCAAUGUUGGGCAUUGGCCAACUGUCAAGGUUGCCUAUGACAAAUUUAAUAUUAUUUUACUAUAAUUUUUAGUUUUAAUAGAAAAUAAACUUGUUACCAUAUGAAACUUAUUUCCAAAUUAAAUUUGAUACAUAUUUAAUUAUGAUAAUAAUAACUAAGUCCUAAAACAAUGUAAAUAAAUUAUUACUCAAGGGAAAAAAUUAUUAUAGAUACAUUUGAAUACUAACAACACAAUAGAAUAAAUCUUUUUCUACUUACUCUCUAUUUUCUAUAUACAAAAAAAAAAAAAAUUACAAAUAUUCAAUUAAGAUAAUAUACAAACUUAAAUUGAAAAGUACAAUCCUAUCUUCGUAAGAGGUGGUCACUAAUUCUUCAUCAUCUUCUUCUUUUUUGCUAUAUUUCUUGAAUACCUAGUAGGAUAGACACACAUUAAUAGAAAAAUAAGAAACAAGUAUCAAAAUACCAAUUUUCAAAUUAUAAGGUACUUUCAAUUGCAAGAAUACAUCAAACAUAUAUACAAUUUGUAGAUACCAUAUCUCUAGCAUUAAUCUUCAAGCACCGCCCUCUAGAAAGACCCUAAAAUUGCCAAUACCUCUAUCUCAAACUUAUGAUAGAAAAAAUAAACGAUGUUAAGAAAAUGAAAAGCUCAAAUUAAGAAAUUAGAUAUCUAACUACAAUAAAAUAUUUUUAAGAUUGCUCAAUAACCUAUCUAUAAUAUAUGUUGCGUUAGAAACAAAACAAAAAUGCAAACAUUAACCUUCAACAAUCAUAUCGAAAACCUUUUCUUCAAAUGUGAAUACCACAUCGAAUGGCCCAUCAGCAACAUUAUCUUGCUAGCGCUGAGGUGUGGUUUUGAUUGAUGAAUUCCUUUUAAGCAUUGGCAGGAUGCCAUUAUGCUUGUAGAUGUGUUGUCAUUAAGGUUUCAUUUUGCUUUAAGGUUCCAAGCAAAUCAAAUAAUCAUUAGCAAGAAUUUAAAAAUAAUAAUAAAAAAAAAUAAAAAAUAGUAUUGAUUUCUAUACAAGAAUUAAGAGCUUCCUUUAGUUUCUGGUUUGUCCUAGUCUCCAAUAUGAACAUUAACAAUAAACCCCAAUACAACCAUAUUUUGUCAACCAAAGGGGUUUAAGGUUCUAUUCAGGAACUUUACACAAAUUUCAAUAUAAAACAAAUACUCAAAUGCUUUGUUCGAUCAACAAGAAAACAUGCUAAAUUUUGAGUUUUAGAUUCAUAGCCUAACAAAAUGAUUUGUUUUAAAUUUCACAUCACUUUCAAUUAAGCUUAACACAAUUAUCUAGUCUAAUUGCAAGUUUUCAAUUUCCCCCUUUGGUGGAGACCAAAAAAGAAAACAAAAAGAAACCAUUCAAAACAAAUUUUCCCCCAUCUUCUCGACUAUCAAACAGAGGACAAGCUAAAUUUACAUCGUCCACAACCUUUAGCAUGGUCCACAUUAGGUAGUCUUUCACAAAAAUGAAAAAAUUAACCAAACAAAAAUACAAACAGAGCAAUGCAUCAAACAUCUAUAAAAUUCCUCAUUUGGAUAGUGAGAAAAUGUAAGCAAAUAUUUUUUUUAAAAAAUAUCAUAGUCAUGAUCCAAAUAUCUUUCAACCGCCUUUAAAGAACCACCACACAACCCAUUUGGUUAAAAAAAAAAAAAAAAAAAAUUCUUUUUCUUUUCCUCGCUAAUGUUUUUUUCUUGGGAAACAAACAGGAAAACCUAGAAAUGGAAGAAAGAUGAUACAGGUCGGGGUCUUUGCGGCAGAGAUCAUCGAACAUGUACCAACAAUUGAGAUGAAACCAACAAACUAUAGCAUCAAAUUGGAACCAAAUGCCUCAAUACCUACAACAAAUGAAAUCGAAUGAGUUUAGUAGUCAACGUAAGCAUGAUCAAGUAGUAAAAUGUUACAUCUAACAUCAAUGCAGCCCCCACAAAAUUCAUGUUACGACACUCUUAAUAUUGAUUCCAAUGCUCUCCAAGAUGUAAUUUAAUAGUCAUAUCAGCAGAUUUAGAUCAACUAUUGGUGCUCAUGUUUGGUUCCUUGAAAAUGCGGGAAAAGAUAAGAAUAAGUUUUGAAUCCAAGAUUUCUCAUCAUUUGGGACUUGAGAAAGCAAUUAUUUCCACUCAACUACGCCUGAUUGACUAUUUGAUUCUGCUGAGGUGGGUUUUUUUUUUUCCAUUUUUUUCAAAAUUGAGACAGUGUAAAACUUGUGAUUCAAAAUUUUCUUUUCCUCUGUUUUCUCCACUAUCCAUGAAAAAGUAACAACAGAAAAUUCUGUAUUCCUUGUUGUAAUACCUUUAACAAAUUCUAAAACAGAGAAAUAACAAUCAAAAAUCUAAACUUUCAUGUGAUUAUAUUAAAAAAUGUUAAACAAAAACAAAAUCGAAAAGCCCAAUAGCUUCAGUAGCAAAUAAAGUAUAACACCAGAAGGAAUGAACAACAUAUUUGCAAAAAGAAGAUAGAUUAGAAGAGACAAACCGUGAAACUUAAAACCCAUUUAGAUUAAAGCAAAACACAAACUGAUAAUUCGAUCCAAAAAAUGAAAAAAAACGUAGAGACACCAUAGAGAGAUUAAACCAAAAACCCAACCCAAUUCGUCACUGCAACAAAGUCAAAGCACAAGAAACCAAAACCCCAAUUGGGAUUGAACUGAUCAGACACCCAAAUGAUCACAGACAUCAAAAACCCAGAAAAUCUACCUGAAAAAAAGGGGUUAAAAUUGAAGCAUGUGUCCUCAAAAAAAGACGAGAGAGAGAAAGAAAGAAAGAAAUAACAACAAGAACAUGAGCCUUUCCUUACCUAUAAUUCUCAAAGAUGGAAAAAGAAAGUCCACAGAGCUUAACGUACGCCCCCGUCCCGUAGGAUGACAUGUCAAAUCCUUACUUCUUGAGGAGGGAGUAAGCCUUCAUGCUUCGGUUCUGGUUUGAAGAACACACCAUGGCAGACCGGAACACACCAUGGUGAAGAUGGGAAGGUGAGAGAAAGAGAGAAACAACGAUCGAUCGGUAGCGUCACCGCCGGUGACAACUGAUAGUCGCGAUAUUGUUGAGAUGGGUGAGGCGCAUGGGUAUGGAGAGAGAACUGGGAAAGAAAAAGGAGGAAAGAAAGAAGAAAAAAAAAUGGAGAGUGGCGGUGGCAGAGAAGUGGGAGAGAAAAAUAUGAUCUCUUAGGGUUUCUUUGAAAUGAAUGGUAGAUAUGUGAUUAGAAAAUAAAUGGUCCAGAUUUCACCAACAUUAGUCUUAUCACACCAAAAUUUAAAUUCUUUUUCUAUGAGUCAACUUUAUGAGAAUCAAUAUAUGGAAUAUAUUUAUAACUUUUAUAAUGUCAAUUUACCAUAAUUAAUUUUCUUCUUUCCUAAUGUCUAAAUUUGUAUGAGUUAACUUAAAAAAUAAAAUUUUGAAACUUGAUAUUAUGCCGAACAAUUGAUAAAUCAAAAUUUCAAAUAUCUUAAUUUUCAAGCUUACACAAAUUUAGUAAUUAUUUUUAAAUCAAAUACAAGUUAAUUACUAAUUUAAAAAUAAUUAAAAAUAGUUUGUGAAAACAAGAUUAUAUUAAUACAGACUAAAAAAAAAUCAUUAACAUCAAUGAAUAAAAAAAUAGUUUAUUAGUAUUGAUUUUAUUUAUAUCCAGUUAUAAAAAAAACCAUAAUGUAGCAAAUUUUAUUUCACUAAAAUUAGUGAAUAAAAAAUUAUUUAUAAAAAUUUAUUUCAGUGCUAUUGAUAUAAACUAAAAAAUUAUUUAAUCAAUUUGAUUAAAAAAAAAUGAAAAUUGAUAUUAACAUUACUAAAAAAAUUUAUUAAAUAAACAUUGACUUCCUUAAUCAAAAUUUAUUGUUGUCACUUCAAUUUAUAAUACUUAGUAAGUAAAUUAGAUAUACACAUAUCAAACAAAUUAUUAUCAUUAUUGCUUUUAUUUAAGUACCUUGAAUACAUUGACUUAUAAAUUAUCUGUCAAGAUUCUAUUAUAUAAGUCAUAAAAGAAUUCAACAAAUUUUAUUUAUGUCAUUAUUGGUUUAAACAAGUUAUAUAUGUCAUAGUUGUUCAUUUAAAUAGGCAAUAUUGACACAUAUCACCUUAAGUCAAGAUAAUAUAUGUCAACAAUGACCAUUUUUCUUGUAGUGAACUAGCACCGGAUAAAUUUAAGGUACCAUUAAUGACAUAAUUCGAACCCAAUACCAUAUGCAAUUUAGUGGAACCACACUUCCUAGUUUAUGUUCUGACCAACUAGGCUACCUUGACGAGUAGAAAACAAGUACACAUAACCUCAAGCUUGCUUCUUAAGUCAACGCCAAACAUAGAGCUAUCAUAAACUUGAGCAUAUUUCUUAAAAAAGACAUCGAGUCUCACUUCAUAAACUAUCAUUCUAUUAGAAAGUGAAAUUAUUGUCCAUGUAACAAAUACCUUCUCUAUCUUGGAGACUUGAACAAUGAUUUAGUUAUUAUACAUAAAACUUCAAUGAUUUCAUCUGAAAAUCAAUUAACUAUAUUAAAAUCAAGCUAAUUCUCUUUUAUGUUGCUAUAGGUGGAAUGUAUCUGUGGCCGCAACUAGAUGCCCUGAUUUGCAAAUGGUUGCGUCUUUGCGCUACUAUAGGUAUGUGAAAUGCACAGCUACUUCAUUCUGCUGAUUUGAGAAGAUCCAAAACAAAAUUUAGAUGGUAUUAGAGUUAAUUCUCAACUCCAAUGUAGGAAUUUGUUUGGUUUCAUAAAGAAUGUUUAUUUGUUUUAUUAUGCGAUCCCACAAGACAUAGUGAGAAUGUUAUAUUUACAUGGGAUAUGAAGAAAAAAAUCCCUGCUGUUAUAUACCUAUGAACCCCUAUUAAUUAUGUAAAUGUGUUUUAAGACGUGAAGAGAUUUUGAGUCCAAAAUGAAGAAUAUCUGCACAAUUAAAAGUGGAUUAUGACAAAAACUAUCCAUGUUCUGAUACGGUUUUAAUUUCUAACGUUGCAGGGUCACAACAUGACUGUAGUUGAAGUAGAUGGGCACUUUGUGGAACCCUUUGUGAUAAAAAACCUCUUCAUUUACUCAGGGGAGACCUAUUCAAUUCUGGUGAAGGCUGAUCAAGACCCUUCAAGAAAUUACUGGGUCACAACCAGUGUGGUCAGUAGGAACAACAUUGUCACUCCUCCGGGCUUGGCCAUCUUCAAUUACUACCCCAACCAUCCCAACAAGUCUCCCCCAACAGUCCCACCCGCUGGUCCUCUUUGGAACGACGUCGUGCUGCGCCUCAACCAGAGUCGUGCCAUUAAGGCUCACCAUGACUAUGUUGCCCCCCCUCCUCUCACCUCAGACAGAGUAAAUCUGAUGCUCAACACACAGAAUGAGAUCAAUGGUUACAUGAGGUGGUCUGUGAAUAAUGUGUCCUUCAACCUCCCUCACACACCCUACCUAAUUGCUCUCAAGGAGAAUAUUAGUGGUGUCUUUGAUCCAACCCCUGCUCUAGAUUACUUUGAUUUGGAAAAUUAUGGUAUUUAUACCACGCCAAACAAUUCCAAUGCCACGUCCAGCAACUCAAUUUAUAGGUUGAAGUUCAACACAACGGUGGACAUCAUAUUGCAAAAUUCAAACACCAUGAACAAGAAUAACAGUGGGACGCAUCCAUGGCAUCUCCAUGAGCAUGACUUUUGGGUACUGGGUAUUAUGAAAAAGAAAUAGAGUAUAAGAAAAAAGAGAAACAGAGUAGAGAAUGAAAGAGAAGAAGCAACAGAAUGCUCUGUAUCGUUCGCAUUCAUCAUCUGAAAUAUGUGUAGGAAAGCUCUAGAUAUAGGAGGCUGGAAACAAAGAAUGUUAUAACUAAUCUGAAACUAAUCUGUAGCUAACCUGUAACUAAUUCCAGCUCAUCCUCUUAUAAUUGUUUAACAAACUAACAGAAUCUUAUUUCUCAUAGUUAAGAGAACUUUAAUACUCCCCCUCAAGAUGGAGAAUGAAUAUUAUGAGUUCCCAUCUUGUCAAGUAAAAGUGUGAACUGUGUUGGAUGGAGGGCCUUUGUUAAUAGGUCUGCUACUUGAUGUUGAGAAGAAACAUGAAGUGUUUUCAAUCUGCCAUCUUGGACCUUCUCCCUUACUAAGUGACAAUCAAUUUCAAUAUGUUUUGUUCUUUCAUGGAAAAUAGGAUUUGCUGCUAUGUGCAAGGCAGCUUGAUUAUCACAAAACAACAAUGCUGGUUGUGGAUGAUUUAUGUGCAAAUAUUUGAAUAAGGAAAACAUCCACAUUAAUUCACAUGUAGCAUUUGCCAUGGAACGGUAUUCGGCUUCAGCAGAUGAUCUAGACACAGUGUGUUGUUUCUUUGACUUCUAAGAGAUUAAGGAAUCACCAAUGAAAACACAAAAUCCACUAAUUGAUCUCCUGGUAUCUGGACAAGCAGCCCAAUCAGAAUCUGCAAAGGUUUUCAAUUCUAUGGUAGAUGAAGAGGAAUAAAAGAGACCUUGACCAACUGUAGCUUUAACAUACUGUAAAACAUGAUAUGCUGCUUGUAGAUGAGGAAUCCGAGGCUUGGCAAGAAACUGACUCAACCGAUUAACAGAAAAUGAUAAAUCUGGUCUUGUUAUUGUAAGGUAAAGUAAUUUACCAAUCAUUCUUCUAUAUAUAGAAGGAUCAUCAAGUAAAUCUCCUUCAUCUUGUGAGAAUUUAACAUUUGGAUCCAUAGGAGUCUUUCUAGUUUUGCAGCCAAGAUAUCCUGUGUCAGACAAGAGUUGCAAAGCAUAGUGUCUUUGACUAACAGAAAUUCCUUUAGAGGAUCUACCAACUUCAAGACCAAGGAAAUAUUUCAGAUUUCCUAGAUCUUUAAGUUUAAAAUAGCCAUUAAGAAACUUCUUCAACUCAUCCACAUUUUCUUGAUCAUUACUUGCUAUGACGAUGUCAUCAACAUAAACUAGUAAUGCAAUGAAAGAAUUGCCAUUGAUCUUAACAAAUAGGGAAUUGUCAGAAGCUGAUUGUUUAAAACCUGUGCUGACAAGAACACUAGAGAACUUAGAGAACCAUUGGCGAGAUUCUUGUUUUAGCCCAUAAAGGGACUUGUGAAGUUUGCAAACAGUGUUGAUAGGUAAGGACUCCCUCUCAUGGUAAAGACCAGGUGGUAAAGACAUGUAGACUUCCUCAUGAAGAUCACCAUGCAAGAAUGCAUUAUUGACGUCAAGCUGAGUGAGACUCCAGCCAUGAACAGCAGCUAGAGCAAGAAGAACCUUAACAGUUACCAAUUUUGCAACGGGAGAAAAAGUGUCAAGGUAAUCAACACCUUCUUGUUGAGUGUAGCCUUUGGCUACCAAACGGGCUUUAUAUCGUUCAAUGGUUCCAUCAGCUCGAUACUUGAUUCGGUAAACCCACUUGCAUCCAACAGUGUGUUUACCAGGAGGUAGUGUGGUCAAUGACCAAGUGCUAUUUUCUUUAAGAGCUCUCAAUUCUUCAGACAUUGCUGCUUGCCACUCUGGAAUAACUGCAGCCUCAGCAUAAGUAGUAGGCUCAAAAUUUGAAGAAAUGGCAUUAACAAGAGUUGUGUGAGGGGUGGAUAAUUUAUGGUAAUCAAGUACUUGAGAUAAAGGGUGGCAAGUGAUUGCGAAGCAAAAGAAGUUGAGGAACAAUGAUAAUCUUGAAGGUAAGAAGGUGCUCUCCUAAACCGGGUGGGACGAUCAAGAGAUAAUGAAGUUGGACUAAAAAAAGGAUUUGUUGAAUCAUUGGAAGAAAUGGAAAUAGGAAGUGGAAGAACAAGAUCAGAGAAAAAAUCAAAAUGACAGGGUUGUGAGUCAUCAUUUUGGAAAGGAAAUAUCGACUCAUGAAAAAUGACAUCACGGGAGAUGAAAGUGGCAUUGGUGGACAAGUUAAGUAGUUUAUAGGCCUUAUAACCAGGGGGAUAACCAAGGAAUACAACUUUAAUAGCACGAGGUGAAAAUUUUGUACGAGAAUGGUUCAAAGUGGAAGCAUAGCACAAACAAUCAAAGGCCUUAAGAUGAGAAUAUGAAGGUUUCUUUUUAAACAACAACUCAAAUGGGGUUUUGUUGAUCAAUAAUGGUGAAGGAGUGAGAUUAAUAAGAUAAACAGCUGUGAGAAUGCAAUUGCUCCAAUAAGGCAAAGGUAAGUUUGAUUGAAAGUGCAAAACCAGAGCAACAUUCAAAAUGUGUUGAUGUUUCCGUUCCACAACAGAGUUUUGUUGUGGAGUUUCAUUACAAGAAUGAAAUGACAAAAUUCCUUGGGCACGAAAGAAAUCAGAAAAGACCAAUUCAGGUGCAUUAUCUGAGCGGACAGACUUUAUUUUCACAUUAAAUUAAGUCUAAAUAAGAGUAAAAAAAUUUGGAAAAACAACAAAAACUUCAGAUUUUGCACGUAGAAAAUAUUCCCAAGUAAAUCGUGUACAAUCAUCAACAAUGGUUAAAAAAUAACGAUAUCCCUCAGUGGUGAUUGUAUGAAAAGGACCCCAAACAUCAAUGUGAAUCAAUUGAAAAGGAGAAUUUGAUAAAUUGUUUGAAGACAUAAAUGGCAAACGACGUUGCUUUGCCAAAUGACAUAUUGAACAAUGAGAUGGAGUCUCAGAAAUAUGAGAAAUAUUCAAAUCAUCCUUUAGAGUAUGAAUUUUUGCAUAUGAUGGGUGUCCCAAACGAUAAUGCCAAAGUUCAGUUGAGGAAGAAGAAAAAUUAUUACAAGUUGCUGAAAUGUCAAAUGAUUGAGACACUAAACUGGAAAAAUCCAAGACAUAGAGGUUCCCGUGUCUUUUACCCAUCCCAAUCAUUUUGGCCUGUGAAUGGUCCUGAAUAAGACAAGAAUGAGAGAGAAAAUUAACAGAAUAUUUAUGGCUUUGUGUAAGAGCACUGACGGACAAAAGAUUAAAUUGAAAUUGAGGCACAAAAAGAACAUCAGUCAAGGUGAUAUGAGGUGACAAUUGCACAGAUCCUAUUCUACUAAUUGACACCAAGUGACCAUUAGGAAGAGUAACGGAGGAAUUUGAUGCUGGGACUGAUGAAACAAAGGAAGGUAAAGAGCAACAGACAUGAUGAGUAUCACCUGUGUCCAACACCCAAGCCGAGGAAUCAAGGGAAUUGGGAAAAGAAACUGAAGAAAGGGAGAAUAUACCACUGAAACUGGAGACUGAUGGUCCAGGCUGCUGCAAUUCAGGAGUAGCAGGAGUAUUGUCAUGGAGCUGAGAGCUCAAAAGAGCAAUGAGUUGUUGACAUUGAGCUGGAGAUAGUGAAGCAAGUGGUGAAUCAGCUGUAGCAGAGGCUUCAGUGGUUCUAGAACUAGUUUGAUUUGCUUGAGCUUUAGCAUGAGGAUUCUUGGAUUUGAAUUUAUAUCCAGGUGGAUAUCCAUAGAGUUUAUAACACUUAUCAACUGUGUGACCUAAAAUUCCACAAUGAGAGCAAGUGGGUCGAUCCUUCUUAGGCUUGGAAUUCAAUCUGGCAGCUGAAAUUGCAACAGUGGAAUUGGAAUCAUUUGCAGCUACUGAAUCAGGCGGAGUAUAGAGCCCAUAAUUAAUGGAGCGUUGUUGUUCAUCUUGUGCAACUAGUGAGAAAACUUUAGCAAUUGGAGGAAGAGGUUCCAUCAUUAAGAUCUGAGAACGUGUUUGCACAAAAGAUUCAUUGAGGCCCAUAAGAAAUUGCAUCACAUAUUCCUGCUGCUGAAAUUCCAUCCAAGUCUUCAUAGUACCACAAGCACAUUCUGGAAGGGGCUGGAAACCCUUAAGCUCAUCCCAAAGAAUUUUCAGUCGGGUAUAGUAAGUACUUACAUCCAAGGAUCCUUGACUUAAAGCUAUAAGAUGUUUUUUGAUUUGAAAAAUUCUUGGACCAUUACUUUGACGAAAUCUAUCCCGAAGAUCAUUCCAAAUUCCCAUAGCGGUAUCAAAAUACAAAAGGCUAUCGACUAUGUCCUUAUGAACAGAAUUGAGAAUCCAAGAAAUUACCAUGCUGUUGCAGCGAAUCCACGUACCAAAAAGAAGAUCAUCAGAUUCAGGGCAAGGAAUACUCCCAUUAAUAAAACUGAUUUUAUUCUUGGCAGUGAGUGCCAUAACCAUGGCUCUGCUCCAAGUAUUAUAGUUAGCACCAGUGAGAUGAUGGGAAACGAGAACAAUACCAGGAUGAUCUGAAUUGUGGAGGAAAUAAGGAUUGGUUGAAUCUUCCAUAGAUGAUAAUGAGUUAGGAACACCGGUGGUAACCCGAUUGAUUGUGCUUCCUCGAGUCAUUAGAGAUGAAAGAAGACAAAACAGAGUAUGGCGAGCAAGAGCAAUUGCUCUGAUACCAUAUUAUGAAAAAGAAACAAAGUAUAAGAAAAAAGAGAAACAGAGUAGAGAAGGAAAGAGAAGAAGCAACAGAAUGCUCUGUAUCGUUCUCAUUCAUCAUCUGAAAUAUGUGUAGGAAAACUCUAGAUAUAGGAGGCUGGAAACAAAGAAUGCUAUAACUAAUCUGAAACUAAUCUGUAGCUAACCUGUAACUAAUUCCAGCUCAUCCUCUUACAAUUGUUUAACAAACUAACAGAAUCUUAUUUCUCACAGUUAAGAGAACUUUAAUACUGGGCUAUGGGGAAGGCACGUUUAAUAUGUCCAGUGAUCCAAGAACCUACAAUCUGAUUAACCCAAUUAUGAAGAACACAACACCUAUUCAUCCUUAUGGAUGGACUGCCUUAAGGUUUCGAUCUGAUAACCCAGGUGCCUGGGCAUUCCAUUGCCAUAUCAGUCUCAUUUCUAUAUGGGUAUGGGAGUUGUUUUUGAAGAAGGGGUGGAGAGGGUGGGAAAGCUGCCUUCAUCUAUCAUGGGUUGCGGUAAAGCCAAGGGUCUCGGCGGUAGGCCAUAAUUUUUCUUCCCUAUUAUCGACUAAUUGAGGUAAAGUUUAAUUGUAUCACCUUUUCUAUAUUAUGUCGACGAUAAUACGAAUUCUUUGUAUUCUUGAAUGAUAAAAAUAGUUAGAAAGUGUUCACAUGGAUCUUGUAGUCCUGAAACACUUGUAAUAUUGAAGAUUCUUCUUACCAAAAGGUCAAGAGUUUGGGGCUGCUGGGGCCACCGGUACUCUGAAUUUCAUCGUUGCCAAAUCCUACCGCUUCAACGAUGACUAGUUCAAAACUCAACGUCCCCUCAAUAUCAAAUUAUCAUUGUCAAUUUGAUGAGGUGAUGUGGAGAGAUGCGUUAUCAACCUAAUAUUUAGAAAAAGAGGGGUUUUAGCUACUCGCGAAUAGGUUAAAUUUUUUCCUACUUUUAAAAAAAAGUUGUGUUCUUAUGUCAUAUUCCUUUCCUUGUAAAUAUUGUUCUCCUUGUUCCAAUAGAUCCAAUAAAUAUUGAUCUCCCUUAAUUAGGUCUAUAGUUAAUUAUGAUCCGACUCAUGUUAAGAAAUAAUUCAAGCAUAAUUCGACUUUUAAAACGAGGUACUCAAUUCAAAUUCAAUCUUUUUUUUAAAAAAAUAAGGAUAACUAGAUUUGACUCAAAUUAAUCAAGUUGUAUUUAUUUUUUUAUAUAUAUUUAUAUCAAAAAUUAAAUAGUAAAUAUGAAAAAAAUAAGAUAAUAGCGAAAAAGUAAAAUUAAAAAAAUUUAGAAAGUAUAUGAUAUAACUAUUUUUGACAAUUUUCAUUAAAAUUUUUUGAAAAAUAAAAUUAAUAUUAUUAUAUAAGAUAAUACAAGUUAUAACUAUUAUCAUAAUAUUACAUCAAAUUGUUAUGUUCAGAUUUCUUGAAUUAUGACUCGAUCAAAUCUAAUUCAAAUUAUGUCGAGGUUUGUAAAUACUUACUCAAAUCUAAUCAAAGGUUGUGAUAGGUUGAGCUAAUCCACCCUAAUUGCACCUUUACUAAAAUCAAUUAAAUUACAAAAUAAUUAUUAAAAAAAUAUUUCUUUAUUAUGGUUACAACUUCUUUGAUAUAUAUAUAUAUAUAUCAUACAGAAAGAAACACACCAUUGUACAAAUAUAAAAAAUAUUAUACAUCUUUUCUUUGUAAAAGCUUAGGACAUCUAUAGGGCCUUUUUCUUAAUGGUUCUAAGCAAUUGCAAGAUCAAAAUUGUGUAGAAAAAUACAUUAAUCUUUCAGUGUUAUUCCACAUGAAGCUGUGGCAAUUGCGCCUUGUCAUAAGCUGAAUCAUCUUCACUAGAUGGUAGUGCUGGCAAUUUGACGUGACUUUCAUUUGCUGAUGUGGUAUUAUUGUUGGGAUAAUCGAACCGGUGCCAUCUCAUGCUGCCAUGACAAGUGGAUAUUAUGUGGAUUUCAAACAAUUUUAAGUAAAAAAAAAAAAAAAAACAGUUUAUUAUCAUAGAAGGAGGGUAUGAAGCUUGAGGCAUGAGGGCCGAGAGGAGUUCAGUUGACUUGUAUGAAUGAUGCCAUGGUGGAAGGCCCUCACCGCCCGAGUUGUUGAUGUGACAUCCUCCAAUGUUGAUUGGGUCCACAUUGAUACUUGUUCCAUGGCCCAGAUUUGUAAAAUAUUUACAUAAUCACAUAGAUUAAUCAUACAUGAUUAAAGGAUACUAACAAUAGGAAAUCACUAUAAAGAACAUACAUGUUUGAGCCAUAAUAAAAAACCGUGAUUGAUUGUUGCAACUAAAUCUUCCUCUCUAUAAUCUUGAUAACAGCUAUGGUGGUUUUAUAGGAAAACAGAAAAACAGAAAAACUUUUUUUUAUCUAAAUUAGAGAGGGGACUUAGCAUAACUCAAAUUGGAUUCUCAUUGGGCCCUCCCAUAAUGGGCUUCAAUGAGAUCCAAAGCUUGUACUUGUCACUUAACUGAGCUUCUACUCAAAAUAUGUAAAACUCAAUCCAAAAUGUGAUCACUAGUUAAUUGGGUUCAUUAUGUAAUAGACUAUCCAUUAACCCGUUUUUGCAAAUACGAAUUAUUCAAUUAAUGUUAGCUCAUAUAAAAAAUUUUCCAACAUGAUUAUCAUAGACAUUCGUCGAUGGGUGGUUUGUGGAAAAAAAAAAACAAAAAGCAAUUUUAGGCGGCUUUUUAAAUUUGGAGUAAGGAAAAUCCAACAAAAAAUAUUAAUAAAAAAAUAAAGAAGAAAAAAAAAUGAAAAAAAAUAAAUAAAUUAAAUAAUUCAAUUACCAGCUUCUUCAAUCUAUCUUCCUGUUUUUCAUUUUUUUUUAGGUAGAACGAAAAAACCUUGAUCAUUCCUGUUAUCGGCUUCUAUCGGCUUCCAUGGCUUUUCGACGUUCAUGCCAAGAAAUAAAUCUUUGCAGUGGUGUAAUUCCCACAUAGGACGCCAAUGUAGAUACCAGUAACCUUAUUUUCCCAUUUGCAUGGCCGGGUAUUUCCACGUGAUUGGUGUUUUUAGUGGAUUUCAACUUUUACAGAUUGCUUUUUUGACUUCUUGGUACAAGCCAAUUGGUGGCAUGAAAUGUACAUCUCGGAAUCUCCCCCGUUAUCUGGUCUUGUAAGUUGAUCUCUUUUGGGGUUGUGGUGGGUAGGUGACCCGAUUGGGGUUAACCGACUGUUGUACCUCCAGUAAUGACAUUUUUAGACAAUGGUGAGAUAAGGCUUGGAAUUGGUGUUUGGUAUUUUGAUCUUGCACGUUGUUUGGUGAAACCCUUUUUAGAUGACUCAAUGGGCUUGGGUUGAUUAACAUAUUUAUCAAUUGAUUUUAUUGAUUAAGAGUAUGGUAAUAUUUCUCUUAGAAAUAUUUUAGUGAAAGUGUUUUUUUAUAAAAUAUUUUUAAGAAAAUUAUCUAUUAAGUAUGUCUUCAAAAUGCAUUUUUAAGUGUUUUUUAAAUUUUUUAAAAAUGUUUUCAAAAUUUUAUCAAACAUCCAUUUUUCUUUUUCAAAAUUAUUUUAAAAUUAGAAGUGCUUUUUUAAAAAAACUAUCAACAGACUCUAGAUUCCCGUGUUGAGAAGAUUUCUCAUGCUUCAACGAAUUAAGUAUAAACAUCAUACAAAAAACCCUUCAAAAUUCCAUCAAGAAGUAAAUUGAAUUUGGUUAAAAUAAAUCCAAACCAGCAUAAUCUCCUAGGAUAGGUGAAAUUUUUUUACAUAUGGGUUAACUUUAUUCACUUUCCCUAAUUUUGAAUUAAAUUCAUCUAAUCACCAUUUACUUGAAAUUUCAUCAAAUAUUUUUUUUUUUAUUUGUUAUUUUUAUUGAUUUAUUAUUUAAUUUAAAAUAAGAAAAAUAUUUGAUAAAAUUUCAAGUUGACGAGGACUAAAUUUAUUUAGUUCAAGGAGGGUGAAAUUUACCAUUUUAAAUGGUAAUGCAUCAUUUCUAAUUUCAAGAAUCAUUACAUGUGGAUAAUACAAUAGAUGAUUAAAUAUGACAAAGUCAAAGAAAAAAGUGAGUAGGAUGCCAAUGCAUAGAAGCUACUUGACCCAUAAGGUUAAAGGUACAUUAGCCACCCAAAAUGGGCUGAGUUUCUUAGUCUGAGUCAUUCUCCAUACCCACUUUGGGCCAAGUUCGACUAGGCCCAAAGGCGAUAUCCAGGUCGACUUACGACCCAAUCCUAUCUUGGUUUGGGCCUUGGCAAGCUCGGGUUAGGCUUGCUAUUUUUUUAUUUAUAAUGUAAAAAUGGUUUAAAUAUUCUUCGUGUUUCUAAUUUAUGUUCAUUACAUCUUUUGAAAAAAAAAAAUCAAAAUACCAUAAAUUUGUUUUGAAAACAACCCAUUUUUAAAACAAAUUCUCCAAAAAUAAAAAAUUGCUUUAAGUAAAAGAUUUGUCGAACUUGUUUUAUAAGUUACAAAAGUUUUUUCUAUUUUAAAAAAUAAAAAGUUGUUUUAGUUUUCAAACAAACUCAUCAACCAAAUAAGAUGAAAUAUUAAAUAAAUAAAUAAAUUUAAAUAUAUUUUCUUUGUUUUUUUAAGCAAUGUGUAGACCCCCACUUUGGGAGGUAAUUGUUGUAGCAAAUUUUGCCAGGUGGAGCAGCUUUAAGAGGCCGCGUGGUGCCUCUUGACAGGCUGCUGAAGGAUCAAGUAGUGGAUUUGAGAGGCAAACCAGGUGGUGACACCUGUAAAGUGAUUCUUCAGGCAGUUAUGAGAUAUUUUUUUAGGACUGCCAGCUGCAUGAGUGAGGGGAGGUCGUCUGGCCGUUGGAGGAUACCUUUUUCCUGCCAGCUGCAGGGUAGUGGAGAAGAGGCUGGUCUGGGAGCAGGCCGUGGGAGAUAUUUUUUGGGGGAGUUUUUUUUUGGAGAGGGGGAUUCAUCUUUCAGAGGAGGAAAAAAAGUUGAGGGGGGAGAGAGGAAAAGAGAGGACGGCUACAGGAAGAGUUUUUUAGGGGACUUUCUCUGGGAAAGCUACUAGAGAGAGAAGGAAGCUCGCGGGAGAGAGGGGUAAGCUUUGGAGAGAACUAGGGAUGGAAGGGGGGAGGAGUAGCAGAGAGGUGAGUUUUUGGAGAGCUUAGAGAGAGAUAUUUUUUUAGGGCAUUGCUUGACAAGCAAGCCGGACAGGAGAAUAAGUUUUCUUAGAGCUUGAGGAGAGCUCAGAGAGAAAACCAAGGGGAACUUGCUGGUGAGAAUAGGAGGGGAUAUCUUUUCUUUUCUAGAGGUAGCAGAGUGGAGAAGAAACAAGUUUGAAGGUAAGCAUCUCGGGAGUAAAAGGACUUCCUCAGGUAUGAUUGCUACAGGCUUAUUGAUUGUUUUUGGCUGUUUAUCACUCUCCUAUGUCUCUUGUUGAUAUUUGAAUAUUUGUUGAUUUGCUUGGGGUGGAUAAUGGAGGCCACUUAUUGCUUGUUGAAACAUAAUCCUGUCUACAUGUUUACCACUGUUAACCUUAGUAUGUUUUGCUCCUAUUAUGAAAAUGCCCUCAGUUGCCUUUGAAAUGAUUUUUCUCACCUAAUCAGAGGGUUCACGGAUGACUCAUGAAGUGAAACCUCUGAAAAUCACCUUUACUCAUUUUCUUUUGUGUUCUUUUCAAUGGUUUUUUUUUCUUUGUUGUGACCAAUACUUUGCUUCUGGGCCUCGUUCAAUGUAAUGGCUGUAAAAAAGUAGAUCUGGGUCUAGUUGUGUACUCAUUCAGAGAUCAAAUAUGUUGGGAAGAGACUAUGAUUGGGUGAUGAGAUUCUACUAUAAGGUUCAAGGGAGGUUCAAUUGGUUCAAUGAUGCCACUCUGAAUUUGUUGAUAUCCUAUAUGUGUGUAGAAGAGAUGCUCAGUGGGUCUCCUUUGGGUAUCAAAACUCUGUUUUUCCUAGAUAUCAGUGGCAUGCUUAAAGGUAUAUUAUCAGGUCCUGGCCUGGUUGUAAGUAUAUCUAUUUCAUCUGCUGGAUUCUUGCGAAGAAAUCUCCCUCUAGCAGUUCUAGGAAAUGGGAAGACGUCAAUGGGAAUGUGUCUGUGGUUUCUGCUCAUGAGAAUAUAUUGAGUGAUCAGCCUGAGUUGCUGCAGCAACUUGGAAUGGACCUUUCUUUCUGUUCCAAUACUGAUCUAUGACCCAUUGAUAGAAGUCCACUUGGCAGAUUUUUGAAGAUGGAGAGGCUCGAAAACCAUCUAUGCAUACUGAUGUAGGUCCCGUGUCUGAGACAAGAGGUGCAGAAAAUGCCGAUUAUGCUGAUUCUGAUAAUAAAAACAGUGGGAUUUCUUGGGUCCUUAUUGUGAUGGUUGCCCUAUGUCACACCCUCAUGAGGAAGAAGACACCAAAACAGAAUAUCUCGGUAAAAUAUUAUGGUAUCAGCAGGGAAUGUCUCAAUGUCGUUACUGAUGAGUAAACUGACAUGGUUGCUGAGAAAGGCGUUUGUUUUGACAAGUCAACCACAGUUGAGAUCUCUGGAGACGCGCGGUCAUAGCCUAGAGCUCGCGCUGGAUGAGAUAUCAUUUGACUUGGCUGUGUCAAACAAAAAGGCGUACCAUACAGACUCCGCGGGAGCCUCAUGCUGCAUGCUAACUGAUGCUGAUUUUCUAAACUAUAAGUUUUGGAGGAAAACAGAAGGCCGGAGAUCAGCAUCAAGGCUUUCUUCUUCUCAAACCACUCAAUCAAGCAUCCGAUGAAACGCUGCACUUGAUCCUUGAGACACUGCAAGCAGCUAUAAAGACGGGUCAUGAAGCAUCUGCAGCAAUAAAACCCAUCAAUCUCAUUAUCCAUCAAGUCAAGCCAAACCAUUUCUCCAACCUCUUCACAGCCAUACCCGUCUUUCUUACCCCUGAACAUACCUAUUCUCCAUACCCAUUAAAUCUACUCCUCUUCACCACUCCUUCCACUGAUCCUAAGCCUUAUCUCUCUACACUACACGCCUCCAUACCCAUCUUCUAAUGCCCGUCACCACACCACUCCCUCACACUAUCCCACUCACCCAUGUUCAAAAGAAUGCGUGGCUAAAACACUGAGGAUGUUAAGGAGUUCCAGAGAGUGCCAGGGUGCAGAUGUAUAUAUAUUUCCAUGCAGUGAACAGAUUGCAAGAUGCCCACGAACAGAUCGGUACAGUCGUCUCAACAGUUUUGAAGGCAAGCCACCUGCUUCUCAUAUUUCUGGGGUCUUCGGAACGGGGUCUGAUUGGACAUUUUUCUAGUAUCCAACCGAAUUUGAUGCUGGAAGUGGGAGAAAUUCAAGGAAGGCCUGCGAAGACUACCUCUCAUGUCUUUGAUAACGAGAAUCAUUCCAGCUUGGAUUGAUAUUAUCCCAAAAGCUCCAGUUUUGCCAAAAGAUCCAAGAAUAAACGAAGCAAUGAAUGCUAGAAUCAUGGUACAAUCUUUCAAACGAGUUCAAGGUGCAGUUGCAGUGGAAAUCCUCCUAUCAAACUGAUCUCAUUCUCCAAACAAGCAGCUGAAACUUUGAUGAUAAGUGGGUCUAGUCAUUUAUGGUCGGACUCUCCCGGGGAUUGAGCACAUAGUUACACAGUUGUGAUUAUAUCCCCAAGUACUAACAUGAGUGAAGAUUUGAAAUCUCAGCAGUGGUGGCACCAUGUUGAGAAGGGAACCCUCCUUGAAGCUGCAGAUCACCAACUUUUGAAGAAUUUGAAGAAAAAUAUGAAGAAUUUGAAAACAAAAUAUGGAGGAACACCUCAAUUCAUUCUGUGAUACCUCCCUUUACAAUGAAUGAAAGCAUAAAUAAAUAGCCUACGGAUAUGAGACAAUUCCGGAAUGGAAUUUCCCUUACAUGGAAAGUGAAUAAACUCUUACAUGGGAAGUGAAUAAACUACUCUUACAUGGAAAGUGAAUAAACUACCUUGCUAGAAUUACUCCUAAAUAUAUAAACUACUCUUACAUGAAAAGUGAAUAAACUACCUUGCUAGAAUUACUCCUAAAUCAAUUAUAAUAAAGGUUGUACAUUACACUAAUUAGGGAAGUAAACAGAGGAUGCUGGCUUGAUUUCCAACACUCCCCCUCAAGCCGCGUUGUAGAUGUUGAUCAUUCCAAGUUUUUCUGUCAGAUCUUCGAAGUUAACUCGAGCAAGAGCUUUUGUGAGAAUGUCAGUCGUUUGACAGUUUGUCGAAGUGUAGCUGACUUUGAAAACUCCUUCUUCAAUCUUUUCCUUGAUAAAGUGUCGAUCUAUCUCCACGUGCUUAGUUCGAUCAUGAUGAACCGGAUUCUUAGCGAUACUGAUGGCAGCUUGAUUGUCACAGUAUAACACCAUGGGAUGCUUCAAUGGAACCCGUAAUUCUUCUAACAGCCUGUUCAACCAGAUUCCCUCGCAGAUACCUUGUGCCAUAGCACGAAAUUCUGCCUCAGCACUGCUACGGGCUACCACUGACUGUUUCUUGCUUCGCCAUGUAACCAAGUUCCCCCAGACAAAUGAACAAUAGCCUGAAGUUGAUCUCCGAUCAGUCACUGAACCUGCCCAAUCUGCAUCUGAAAAAAUCUCAAUCUCUUUAUUUGUUGUUCUUUGAAAGAAGAGACCCUUUCCCGGUGUCAUCUUGAGGUAUCUCAAUAUUCUGAUCACAGCAGUCAUGUGUUUUUCGGUUGGAUUAUUCAUGAAUUGACUUACCACACUAACGGAGAAGCCGAUGUCUGGCCUUGUAUGAGAAAGAUAGAUGAGUUUCCCCACAAGACGUUGAUAUCUUCCUUUAUCAACUGGCGCACUUCCAUCACUUUCUUCCAGUUUGACAGUUGUAUCCAUAGGUGUUUCUGCCGGCUUGCAUCUUAGCAUUCCUGUUUCAUUCAAUAAGUCCAGAACGUAUUUGCGUUGUGAGACUGCUAUACCUUUCUUUGACCUAGCAAUCUCCAUUCCGAGAAAGUACUUGAGGUUUCCAAGAUCCUUGAUCUCAAAUUCCUUUGUCAGUAAUUUUUUAAGUAAGUCAAUUUUCUCUUCAUGAUCACCUGUCAAAAUUAUGUCGUCCACAUAUACAAUGAUAAUUGCCAGUUUCCCUUCUAGGAAGUGUUUCACAAAUAAUGUGUGAUCGGAUUGACAUUGAACGAAUCCGUACCCUUUCACUACCUUAGUGAACCGUUCAAACCAGGCCCUGGGAGAUUGUUUGAGACCAUACAAGGAUUUUCGGAGUCUGCAAACCUUGUUGAAAUUUGAUGUCGUCUCAAGUCCAGCAGGAAUGUCCAUGUAAACUUCUUCCUCUAAGUCACCAUUGAGGAAGACAUUCUUCACAUCAAGUUGGUGAAACGACCAAUCGAGAUUAGCUACCAAGGAUAAAAGUACACGAACAGUAUUGAGCUUGGCAACUGGAGCAAAAGUUUCUUGAUAGUCAAUGCCAUAGGAUUGGGUGAAUCCUUUGGCAACCAACCGAGCCUUAUACCUGUCCACAUUACCAUCUGCCUUGUACUUUACUGUGAAAAUCCACUUACACCCAACUGGUUUCUUACCUCUUGGGAGGUCAGUAAUUUCCCACGUACCAUUCUUUUCCAGCGCCCGAACUUCCUCAUCGACUGCCGCCUUCCACUUAGGAUACUUGAAAGCUUCCUGAAUAUUCUGAGGAACUUGUAUCUCUGUGAUGCUAGAAGUGAAUGCACGAAACGUAGGUGAUAACUUAUCAUAAGAAAUAAAAUUUCCAAUGGGAUGCUGAGUACAUGAUCUAACUCCUUUCCUCCAAGCUAUGGGCAUAUUAAGAAUAUCAUUUUCUAACUCGGAAUCAACAGUACCAUCAGGAGCGUUGUUACCUGGAAGUUUGCUUGGAUUAGGACCCGGUUCUGCCUCAUGGGUUUGUUGAGAAAGUGUUUUUUCCUCCGUUUCCUCUUGGAUGUGCUCCUUAUCCCACAAGUCAACAAUGGACUCGGGUUGAUUAAAUGACUCUGGAGGAAUGUGAUUUUCAGUGGUGAUGGGUGACUCACUGAAUGACUCAAGAUCCCAAAAUUGAUAUUCCUGAGUUGAAUUCUCCCCCUGAAUAUCGUUUUUGGGAUAGUAAGGCUGGGUUUCAAAAAAGGUGACAUCCAUUGAAUUGUAGAAUUUUCUUGUGACCGGAGAGUAACACUUAUACCCUUUUUGAUUUGAAGAAUACCCAAGAAAGAUGCACUUGAGUGACCUAGGAUCAAGUUUACUUCUAUGUUGUUGAUUGAUAUGAACAAAGACAGAGCACCCGAAAAUUUUGGGUGGGACGGUGGAGAUGAGACGAGUAGUCGGAAAGGAUUUUAGGAGUGUUUGACAAGGUGUUUGGAAUUUUAGUACCCUAGACGGCAUCCUAUUGAUGAGGUAGGCUGUCGUAAGGACAGCUUGCCCCCAGAAUAAUUUUGGAACAUUCAUGGAGAACAUUAGUGAUCUAGCCACCUCUAACAAAUGUCUAUUUUUCCUUUCAGCGAUUCCGUUUUGUUGUGGGGUAUCAACACAUGAACUUAAGUGAACUAUCCCUUCUUGUGCUAGAAAUUCUCCUAGAAUGGAGUUGAAAUAAUCCCUAGCAUUAUCAGACUUUAGAAUUUGUAUUUUUGACUGGAAUUGGGUCUGAAUCAUAUUUUUAAAAUUUUUGAAAAUUUGACUCGUUUCAGAUUUUUCUUUCAUGAGGAAUACCCAAGUUAAUCUAGUGUGAUCAUCUAUGAAUGAGACAAACCACCUAGUACCAGUUACAUUUUUUAUUCUUGACGGACCCCAGAUAUCGCUAUGAAUCAUUGAGAAUAGACUAGACUCUUUAUAGGGUUGAAUGGGAAAAUGAGACCGGACUUGCUUUGAUAAUUGACAGAUUUCACACUCAAAGGAUUUUGGAUUUUUAUUAAAUAAUGAAGGAAAUAAAUGCUUGAGAUACAUAACAUUUGGAUGACCUAAGCGAUAGUGCCACAACCUAAUUGCACUAUCGUUAUUUUGACAUGAAACCGAAAAAGAAUUACUACCAACUGUCAUUUGAGGUUGUUCUUGUGGAUCGUGGCACUCCUUAAGGAUGUAGAGUCCAGAGCAUUCCUCAGCAUUGCCAAUCGUCUUCCCCGAAUCCAAAUCCUGAAAUUCACAGUGAGUGGAGGAAAAAUUAGUAAUACACCUCUUUUCCUUAGUGAGUUUACUAAUUGACAAUAGAUUACAGUCCAAGUUAGGAACAAGGAGAACAGAGUUGAGAGUAAGAUCCCUUGAUAGCACAACUGAACCUGUUCCGGCAACCUUUGAUAGUGAACCAUCUGCUAUUCGGACUGUUAAAUUAUUUGGACAUGAGCUAUAUGUAUCAAAAAUUGUCGCAUCUCCCGUCAUAUGAUCAGAUGCUCCUGAGUCCACUAUCCAAGGUUUUUUACGUUUCUUACCAGCAGUGAAGGCACUCAAAAAAUUACUUUUGUGAGCCAAGGUUCCGGAACCAAUGACCUGGUUGGAAGAUGAGCCAGUUUGUGACUGUACUGACAAAAGAGGAGACAGUAGUUUCUGAAGCAUCUCCAUUUGCUCCUUAUUAAAAGGGCUAGCUUCAGGUUGUGGCGAUUGUUCAUCGGUAGCCACAUGAUUGCCUCGUCCUUCUUUCUCAAGUGGUUGACGUGGCUUCCAAUCUACUGGCUUUCCAUGAAUCUUCCAGCAAGUUUCUCUUGAGUGUCCCGGCUUUCUGCAAUGAUCACACCAAGGUCUACCUCCUUUAAUUUUUUGACGGUUGUCAAAAGGAGCGAAUUGAGUCUUAAGAGCCGAGCUUUCUGCCAUAUUCAGUUGUUGAUGGGAUCCCAUCAUGAGAUUUUUCCGACUUUCUUCGCGACAGACUUCAGAGAAUGCCUCUCUGAGGCUAGGUAGGGGUUUUACUCCCAUGAUUCUUCCUCUGAUUUCAUCAAGAUUUUUGUUCAAACCUAACAAAAAUUUAAACACACGUUUCCCUUCGACAAUCUUUUUAUACAAAAAACCAUCUGUAACACAAUUCCAGUUAUGAACCUCAAACGUAUCAAGUUGACGCCAUAGACGAGUAAGAGUAUUGAAAUAUUCAGUUACCGUAAGGUUUCCUUGACGCAAAUCGUGGAGGAUGCCUUCAAUCUGGAUGAUUUCAGAUGUGUUUUCCUUGUCUGAGAAAGUUUCUUUUGCAGUGUCCCAGAUUUUUUUGGCAGUAUCAAAAGACAGAAAAUCUUCACCAAUGUCAGCGGUCAUAGAGUUGACUAGCCAGGACAUGACCAUAUUAUUUUAUGCUCUCCACUUUUUGUAGGUUGAUGCUGUGGUUUCUGGUGCCACCGAAGCUCCGGUGAUGUAGUCAUCUUUCUCCUUUCCCCGUAUAAACAUUAAUAUGGACUGAGACCAUUGCAAAUAAUUUUGCCCAUUCAGUUUAUGGGCUGUGAUUGGAAGAUGAGAGGUUUCCAUCUGAUGAGAGGAUGAAGACGAUGAGAUGAUGAUAUCAGAAGUAGAGGAUGAUGAGUUGGUAGCCAUUCCAAAGGCUGGACCGUAUUUAGGCAUAAAUUAGAAGAAUAGAAUUGAGUAAAAAAAAACUGACUAAAGAUGAAGACGAUGAGACAGGAUUAAACCUGCUCUGAUACCAUGAAGAAUUUGAAGAAAAAUAUGAAGAAUUUGAAAACAAAAUAUGGAGGAACACCUCAAUUCAUUCUGUGAUACCUCCCUUUACAAUGAAUGAAAGCAUAAAUAAAUAGCCUACGGAUAUGAGACAAUUCCGGAAUGGAAUUUCCCUUACAUGGAAAGUGAAUAAACUCUUACAUGGGAAGUGAAUAAACUACUCUUACAUGGAAAGUGAAUAAACUACCUUGCUAGAAUUACUCCUAAAUCAAUUAUAAUAAAGGUUGUACAUUACACUAAUUAGGGAAGUAAACAGAGGAUGUUGGCUUGAUUUCCAACAACUUUCAAAGCAGGGUACCAUUUGCACCUCAAGUCCGCGUGCAUGGCCACCUUUUGCAUGGCCAACUUAGGGCCGCGUGUCACUCUCCCGAAUUCCUUCCUUUUGACUUUAAAAAUAAAUUUCCUAAACCUCAUUUUCUAAAAUGAUUUCUUUAAUUCUGUUUUUUUUAAUUAGUUUCGAAUCUUCAAAUUUUCCCAUCCUUAGCAUUUUUCUUAGGUUCCAAAAAUCCCAUUUUCAAUAAAAUUUGGUUACCAUUUUCUUUUCGGCAAGCCACUUUUGAAUUUUCUUUGUUUUCUAAAAAUGUUUUAAAAUAAGUAAGGAUUAAAUUCUGUAAUUCCAAAUGAUGGAAUUUACGGAAUUAAUUCAUGCAAGAAUAAAACGGGCAUUGGUGGGGGUCCGACAUAUGUGACUUUGUAAUUGAUUGAUUGAUUGAUUGAAAUAAUACCAUGCAUGAUAUUGGUGUUCCUUUAUCUAGUUGGGUGAUAUGAGUGAUAUAUUUUAUGCACAUUACUAUGCACUAAUCCCAUUUUGUGAUAGCGUGUUGCCGUUUGCUGAUCAAAUACGCAUCCACUUCCACUUCGGUUAUCCUCUAUUGCAUAUUUUGAUACUCAUAUGUGCAUGAUUGAUUCGAGUAUUCAUUGAUUUUCUCAUUGAUUGUCAUAUAAGCUUCAUCUCAUUAGUAGAGACCCGACUUUAGGGACUUAGAAGGGUGCUACGGUCUUUACCGUACAUUCCCGAUAAGUAACCUAACCCCCGAACCCGAUCCGAUUUUUCACAGACCGCCUUUUCCAAAAUAAGGAGUCACACUUAGGGUUUUGCUUUCUUAUUUUGUUUACCCUUUAAAAAUAAAACAAAAAUAAGUGGCGACUCCAAGUCCUUUUUCUUAAUCAAUAAAUUAAAUCAUUUUUUCAAAAUCAAAAUCGAGAGCUUGCCAUUUGAGUGGGUAACGCAUUGAGCCGAAAUGCGGGGUCCACACAAUGUUUUAAAAAUCAAACUGAUUAUUGAAGCGAAAAAAUUACGAUUUACUGUUCAAUGGUUGAACUAGUGGUUGAACAGUAAUAAAACCGAUAACAUCAUAAAUAUAUCAUUUAUAUAUUAUUAAAUUAAAAAUAAUUUUAAAUUUUUAAAAUUUUAAAAUAUACAUAUAAAUAAAUUAAAAAUCAAUAAUAUUUAUUUUUUAUCUUUUAUAUUAUUAAAUUAAAUAAUGCAUGACUAUAAAUGUAUUAAUAUACUAAAUUUUAUUAAAUGAGAUAUGUAUAAUAUUUUAAGUGGAUAUAUUAAAAAUCAAAGAAAAUCCAAUUAUUUAAUUUUAGCUAAUUUUAUCAUUUUUAAAAAUAUUAUAUUAUUGUUAUUCAAUAUUUUUAAUUUUUAUUUUAGAAAAGAAAUAUAUUGUUUUUUGUUUGCCUUACAGAGCAUCAAAACAUCUGUAGCCGGAUGGUGCCCCCAGGCCACUUCCUAAGCGCUUUUCAUUCACUGAUUUUCCCUUCAACUUUAAGAUCAUAUUGUCCAUAAGAAAAAAAAUAUGGGCUGGCAUUUUAAAAUGGGCCUGAUUGAAUAAAAAAAGAAAGGGUGGAAAUAUAGGGAGGGCCUUGGAAUUGGGCCCAUUUUGAAUUAAAAAAAAAAAAAAGGGUCAUUGGAUCGAGACUGUUCGGUUCUGCAUUGUGCGGAAUAAAAGAAUAUGGGCUGGCAUUUUAAAAUGGGCUUGGUUGAAUAAAAGAAGAAAGGGUGGCAAUAGAAGCUUGCCCUUGGAAUUGGGCCAUUUUGAAUAUAAAAAAAAAGGGUCAUUGGAUCGUUCGAUUUACCGGUUCGGGAGAGAAUCCAGACCGGAAAGAUUAUCAGAUGACAGUUGGACUAAAAUUAAAAUUUAAAACUAUUGUAUAUAUAUAUAAAAGAAAAAACUUGAGCGAAAAAAUAGAAAAUAGGUUUAAAAUUAAUAAAUUAUUUUUAUAUUUAUUUAUUUUAAUACUUUUUAUAUAAAGAUUAAAUAAUUUUAAAAUAUAUAAUUUUUUAUUAAUUUUAAUUAUAUAUAUUUUUAAACAUAAUAAAAUUAUUUUUUAAUAUUUUUUAUUUUCUUAGUAUUUUUCAAGGAUAAAAAAUAACUUAUAGGAAACCGAUGAAACGUUAUUUAGUAUUUAUUUCUUUUAGAAAUUCAAACAGGAAGUUGGUUUUGAAUGGUCUACCUUCAAUUGGUCAAAGUUUGUAGAAGAAAUGACGCCCACGAACCACGUGCCUUGGUUUCUUAGUCAAGCUCUAACAAUAACAAAAAGUCAAAAAUAUUAAUCAGUUCCAACUUCCAACUGUAACAUUCUUGGUUACUUCCUUUCAAAUGUGAAGUCUGGGUUUCAACUUUCAAACCCUUCCACCACGAUCUAAAUUAUGAUGGCCCACAAAAGAUACAGCGUGAAGAGGAUAAAAAAGUCAAACUAAUAUGGAAGCUUCUGAGCUGGGCCCCGCAAACCAAUUUUCGUCGUGGCCCGUGGGUCCCAAACUCCAACUUAGUCGUUAUUAAUUUCCACAUGGAUGUUAACAAUUUCGGGAUACCGAUAUUGACGCUUCAUCCCUUUCCAAAAAAAUGUUUUGAAGGGGGUUAGGUGCGUUCAUAUGAGAAAUCCCUAUCCCUCUUCCAUCUUGCCUUAUCUCGUUUAAUAUUUAUUUUUCAUUUUUAUAAUUUUUAAUUAUAUUAUAAAUUUUUGUUAUUAUUAUUAUUUUUAUAAUAUGUAAUUUUUUUUUAUGUAUUAUAAGGAGGGAAAAUAAAAAUUAAAUUAAAUUAAUUAUUAUUAUUAUUUAACCAUGUAUAUAAUGAUAAACGUUGAUUUGCUCGAAUUUGUAGGAGGUUUUAAAUUUUUCAAUCCUAUUUAUAUAUUAUUUAUGUCUCUCUAAUCUUAAAAAGGGAUGUAUUAAAAAACCUGAUAAAGAAUAUUUUUAUCAAGGUAGAUGUUGAAUAGUUUAAAUAUUGGGCACGACUAAAUUGAAGUUAACAAACAAAUAACAUAAAUAUAAGGGCUAAAUCAUAAAAAUAUACAUAGUGAGCCCCACAAAAAAAGAAUAAAUUAUGGAUUGAUAGUAAUAUCAUAAUAAUAAGACAUAAAUAAAUGGAUAAAUGAAUAAUAUUAUAAUAAUUAAUACGUUAAAAAAUGUGAUUUUUAUAAAAAAAACACUGCAUUGAUAGUAUCUAAAUUUAACUAUUUGAUUUAUAAAUGAUUAUUUAUUUUUAAAAAUAAAUAAUUAUUUUUUAAAAUUUUGUAGUAUCAUUCAGCUAUUGUCAUUUCACAAUAGUUUUUUUAAAACAAUGGCUUCUCUUAAUGUUCUCCUUAGACAAACAUAUUUCAAAUCAAAUCUAACGCUUAAAAAACAAAAUAAAUAAAUAAAUCUAUGGAAUCAAUACUUGAAAGUCACAAGAUCCAAAAAUUAAUAUAAUUAAUAUUAAAAAGUUAUAAAUCAAAAUUGAUUGGAAACCAGAAAUACUUUCCUAAUUUCCCAUUUUUAAUAUAAUUUUAUUUUUUUUAUUUUUCUAUUAAGUAAGUAAACUCUAAAUCAAGUGAGGUUAGUGUAUUGGAUUCAUAAAAAAAUAAUUUUUAAAAAUAAUUAUAAACUUAAAUAUUAACCCAAUAGAUAAUAAAAAAUCAAGAACAAAAAGAUUUUAUAUAUUUUUUUUCUGAAUUUUCUCAUUAAAGUAGCUCCAUUUUCUAAACUAAUUAAAAAACUCUUUACUUUAAUAUUUUCUAAAAUAAAAUCAUCUUUAAAAAAGAAUUUAAAAACCAUUUUUAAAAAUUAUAAUGUCAAUCAUAUUUUAUAUAGGACCAUUCUUUAAUAUUCAAAAACCAAAUCCCAAACUAUUUUUAUUAAUAAUAUAAACACCUGGGUUAUGUUUAGUUCUUCAAAAGUUUGAGGGAAAACCCGAGAAAGUUUGGAGGACAACACACGAAAAAAAAUAGAAAGGAAUAUAGAUGGAAAGAAAAAGUAUAUAAAAAAAAAAAAGAAUAGAUUUAAAGUCAAUAAAUUAUUUUUAUAUAAAAAUUAAAUAAUUUUAAGAAAUAUGUAAUUUUCUUAUACAUUUUACUUUCCUUUGCAUUUUUCAUAAUAAAAUCAAAUAUAAAAAAAUUAUUUUCUUUUUUUUCCUAAUACUUUCCACAAAGUAACAUGACCCUAAGAGUUCAUUUGUUCUCAAGACUUUUUUUUUCUUUUGUCCUAAUACUUUCGACGAAGUAACAUGACCCUAACAGUUGAUUUGUUCUUAAGUCUUGACAACUAAUUUUCUUUAGAAAACGCGUGAGGGGUUUUUUACCAUUCCACAAAGAAAAACAAAAAAAUCAACUUCACCAUUAUGAUUUUAAUGACCAUCCUUUGUGUUUACUUUCAUGGAAAGAAAAUAAAAAAUGGAUUUAUUGAAAGUGAAGGAAUAGGUUAGGUGAAUGAUAUCAUCAAUCAUACGCAAUAAUACUUAUGUACUAUAAAAAUUAUAUUCAAACAUAAAUUUCAUAAAAAAAAUCUAUUAAUUGUAAGCUAAGAAAUAAAUAAAGAAGAAGCCAUCGAUGAAUGAGGUGACCAAUUCCGUGUAAAGCAUAUUUAACUUCUAAUAAUUAUGUAUUAUAAAAUUCAUAUCUAAAUAUUAAAUUUUAUCAAAAAUCGAUUAAUUGUAAGUGAAGAAAUAAGGAAAAAAGUCAUUGAUAAAGUAUAUGUAACCAAUACUACUUGUAAAGUUUAUAUUCACAUAUAAAUUUCAUUUUCACCACUCAUGUGAUUUUUAAUAAUUAAUUGAUUAAAAUUGAUAUGCUAUACAAAUAGUGAAGUAGAAAUUGUUAAAAAAAAAUUAAUAAUUUUGUGGAAGGGUUAGAUGUGGGUUAAUUUUUUUUUUUUUUUUUUGGCUUUGUUUCUAACACCUUUGACUAAUUAUAUGUUGUAUUUAGUUCCAAAUGUUAAAACAACGAUAGUGGAAACUCCAAUGCCAUUUCGUUUGAGUAUCGUUCAUUGGUCCGAUGGACCGGAGGAACAAGUUGAAUAUAUCAUCGUAUAAAUAAAAGACAAACAUUUGGGGGAUUAACACAAGUAUCCAACCCAUUCCCACCAAUUCGCAGUAGCUCCACGUUUCAUAAUCUGUCUCAAAUUCUCGAACUUCUUUAAAGAGCGUUGAAGGGUGUGAUGAGAUUUUUGGCUUUGUUUAGUCUUCUCUUUUCGGUACUGAUGUUUCCAACAGCAGAGGCUAGAAUCAGAAGGUAUAGAUGGGAGGUGAAGUAUGAGUACAAGUCUCCUGAUUGCUUUCAGAAGAUGGUUAUCACCAUCAAUGGACAAAGCCCCGGUCCAACAAUCCUGGCCGAAGAAGGAGACACCGUCAUUGUUGAGCUCAAUAAUAGUUUGUUGAUAGAAAAUGUCGCAAUCCACUAGCAUGGUAUCAGACAGGUAGAGCAAAGAUUAAUAUAUAAUGUUUUCUUUUUUCUUCCCCUUUCUGGGCUUAAUUUUGCAGUUCUAAUGGUUCAUCUUCUUGAUAAUUACAGAUUGGGACGCCAUGGUUUGAUGGAACGGAAGGGGUGACCCAGUGUCCAAUCCUGCCAGGAGAUACCUUCACAUAUGAGUAUAAAGUGGAUAAGGUAAGAUUGAUCAGUGGUCUUAAUCAAGAAAGUUGGAACCAGUACUACUUUCAAUUAUCUGAUGAUAUUAUUCUUUGGUGUAUGCAGCCUAGGACUUAUCUAUACCAUGCCUGUUGAGGCCUCGCGUCCCUGGUAAUCCACGUAGUUGCCAAAUGGAUGGAUGUACGAUCUCAACCAAUACAGGUUCUUGAUUCAGUCGUUUCACCUGUAAAAGGUGUCCGGACGCACCCUCCGAUGGUUUUGUCAACCAUGGUUAGAGAGAGAUAAAUCAGUUGGCAUUUUUCCAAGUAUAGCAAAACUUACCUUCCCCUUUGUGUGAAUGUUUGUAUAUAUAGUAUCAGAAGCUUUGUUCCCCUCUUUAAUGGUGGGGAGAUAUUUUGUGUUGUCAUGAUGGACACUAGGUGGUGGCAGGGUCAUCAUCACCCUAAGGACGACUGACAGAGAUCGUGGUAGGUGAUCAUGUGAAGUGAUCGACGGAAGUGACUUGUUGUCAAUUCAUCUUGUCCUUUCACUCUGUAGAUGGCGAGAUGUGGGCCAUAGCAGGCUGUUGUGAUAACGUGUAAGACUUGCUUACUUCAAUCAAUGAUCUGGAAAAACGUAUCUGAAUGGCCUAUGUUGGUCAUCCGGAUGCAUUUGUGGAAGUCAUCCGGAUGUUAUAUUUGUGAGUGUCGUGUGCCUCUCCUUGAGGGAGUCCGGAUAGGAAAGGCGCGCCACGUGUACUCUUGGGGAAAUCCGGAUGAGGGUGAUCCGGAUGACAAUGCGUGCCACGUGUCAUAACAAGGUGUGUGGCACGUGUUACCAGGAGGAGUGUGCCACAUGUUAUCAAUGGGAGGGGUCCCUACAAUGCCCAUUACGGAAUGCAAAGAGAAGUUGGGCUGUAUGGAUCGAUUCGUGUGUCGAUUGCUCAUGGGAAGACUGAGCUCUUUUCCUAUGACCACGACCGGAGCAUCAUCCUCACUGACUGGUACCAUAAUACCACUUAUGAACAAGCCCUGGGCUUGUCCUCCAAUCCUUUUGACUGGGUCGGGGAGCCUCAGGUGAAUGCCAACAACUACUGCUUCCGCCAUAGCAUUCUGGUUUGUUCUGCUCUUCAUCUUCUGAUGUCUUUUUCUGUCUGUUAAUUUUUCAGUCCCUUCUGAUUCAAGGAAAAGGAAGAUACAACUGCUCCCUAGUUUCAAGUCCUUACGUCUGUAACGCAGCAAGUCCUCAGUGUUCUCCCUAUGUAUUCACUGUAGUUCCAGGGAAAACAUAUCGCCUUCGGGUCUCCAGCUUGACUUCCCUGUCAGCUCUCAAUUUCCAAAUAGAGGUUGGUAUAAUUAAAAACUUCACCGUGGUUUCUUAUUCCUUGCUUCUACUUGGUCAAGUCAUAUUCCACACAAAAAAGUCAGAACACUACGAAUUUAAGAACUCAUCUUUAGCUAUAUAAUUGUGUUUUAAAUAUGUAAAGCUUCUGUUAUGAAUAGUAUUAAAGUUAAUUCUUAACUUCAUUGUAUGAGUUUGAUUGGUCCCAUAAGUAAUGUUUAUAUGUUUGAUCCCAUGAGAUACAAUGAGGAUGUUGUAUUUGUAUGAUAAUAAUUGUAAUAUUCUAUAUCAAAUAUGUAAAAAGUUCCUAAUAUUAUAUAUGUCUGAACUUCUCUUAAACCUAUGGGUGAGUUUUAAACAUGUGACGGGGUUUUGGGUCCAAAACCAAUGAUGAAAAUAUCGGUAAUCACGGAUAUAUCGAUAUUUCAAUUUUACGGAUAUAUCGAAUAUAUCGGAGAUAUAUCGGUGGAUAUUUUGGAAAAAAAUAUUGGUAAGCUUAAAAUUGUUAAAAACUCAUGAAAAUGUAAAGAAAACCUCAUAAUAAUAUAAUUAGAAGUAUAAUAGACAUUUUAAAGUUAUUUUAUUGAAAAUUUUGAUAUAUGUAUAACAUGAUUUAUCAUAUUUGAUAAUAAUAUCGUAUGCAUCGAUAAAAAUAUGAAUUUUAUAAGUGUACAUUUAUUAUUAAAUUACACCUAAUAUUAUGAUAUUUGAUUAUAAUAUGUCUAAUUUUAAAAUAUAUAUUAGUAUUAAAAUAUGAUUUAUUUAAUUCAAUUGUAUUAAACAAUAUAAAAUAAAUAAUGAUAUAUAUAUAAUUUUUUAAUAUUUAAUUAAUUAUUAAUGAUAUUAAAAACAUUAUGAAGAAAAUUAUAUAAUUUUUAUAUUUUUGGUAAUUAAUUAAAAGACUUUGCAUUUAAUUAUAAAAUAAUUAUAAUUAAUUUGCUCUUUAAAACAUUCUUAUAUUUUCUUUAUAUAAUGAAUUUAAGUAUAUAUAUACUCUCAGCAGUAAGCAAAAUGGGAGGUAGCGCGUUGACGGGCACUGUAGCGGAGACGACUUUCGUUGACCCGCGUUGACCCGCGUUGACCACGCGAUAUAUCGUGAGAUAUUCGUGUCGAUACCCUUCGACACAUGAUAUUUCGGCGAUAUAUCGCCGAAAUAUCGCGACAUUUUCCUCCUUGUCCAAAACAAAGAAGAUAAAUGGUUAUGUUAGGUGGUCUGUCAACAACGUCUCCUUCAACUUGCCACACACCCCCUAUCUAAUCGCUCUCAAAGAGAAUAUAACUGGAGCCUUCGACCCAACCCCACCUCCAAAUGGUUAUGAUUUUGUAAACUAUGAUAUCUACAAUGUGGCGAAUAACACCAACGCUACAUCCAGCAACUCAAUUUAUAGGCUGCAGUUCAAUACAACAGUGGAUAUUAUACUGCAAAACGCAAACACCAUGAAUAAGAAUAACAGCGAGACGCACCCAUGGCAUCUCCACGGGCAUAAUUUUUGGGUAUUGGGCUAUGGAGAAGGUAAGUUCGACAAUUUCAGUGAUCCAAUAAAGUACAAUCUGAUCGACCCAAUUAUGAAGAACACGGCACCUAUUCAUCCUUAUGGAUGGACUGCCUUAAGGUUUUGAUCUGAUAACCCAGGUACCUGGGCAUUCCAUUGUCAUAUAGAGUCUCAUUUCUAUUUGGGUAUGGGAGUUGUUUUUGAAGAAGGGGUCGAGAGGGUGGGAAAGCUGCCUUCAUCUAUCAUGGGUUGCGGUAAAGCCAAGGGUCUCGGCCGGUAGUAUCACUACAUGAAGGUAGGUUUAUGGCCACGGCCAGCAGCCCCGGCUAAAAGUAAGACACGAUGGUGAGGGCACGUGUGGCCACAAAGAAAUAAAAUAUAUUUGUAUAUAAAUAUUCGUCAAUGAAAUAACAAGAUAUGGACCAAUUGUAACAAAUAACAAGAUCAACAAAUGAGGGUUCACUUCAUGGGUUAUCAGUGAGCCUGCUAACUAGAAGGGCAAGACCAAAUCAAAUGUAAGCAUGUACGACAUUCCCAAGCAUCUCACAGUAGAGGCAAAACAGAGCAAGAUCCAUCAUCUACUGAAACUAAAGGGAAUAACAGAGAAAGCAGUAACAACAAGCUUACAUCCAUCCCAAAGAUCAACAGAAAGAUCAAGAAUAGAGCCUAUUAAACCUGAUCUAAACAAAGUGAGAACCAACAGGGAGGAAAUCAAAACAUGGAGAAAACAGAAAGUAAUAAAAUAUUUCAUUUUGAUCUUUUCCAAUUCGUUAAAUUACCUCCAUUUUCUAAACUAAAUAAAUAAAUUCUAUACUUCAAUAUUUUCUUUUAAAAAAAAAAUCAUCUUUAAAAAAUAUUUUUAAAAAUUAUAAAGUCAAACAUAUUUUAUAUUCCACCAUUCUUUAAAACCAUUUUUAUCAUUCCAUUUCAAAAACCAAAUUCCAAACAAUUUAAGUUUAUAAUGUAAACAGCUAAGUUUUGAUUUGUCUCCAAACGCAACAGCGAAUUUCAAAUUUUCUUUCCACAUAAGAAAAAUGUAAACGCGUGAAGGAAAAUUCUUACCAAUUUCGUACUUUUUAUUAUUCAAUAAAAAAAACAAGAAGUCAACUUUUUCUUUAAGACUUUGAUUAGCAUCUUUUGUGUUUGAUUCCAUGGAAAAUAUAUCAUCAUAUUCAUCAAUAGAUGUUUAACAAAUGUCAAAAAAAUUUCUAUUUAUUAAGUAAUGACAUGCAUUUUUUUCUAGUUCAAUGUAGGGUCUAACAUCUUUAAGUAAUUAAUUUAAUUAAUUGGUGAAUCUAUUAUCCAUUUCAAUUUGCAUAUUCAUUUUUGGAUUUUUUGUAGGAGUUAUUUAGGAUUUUUUUUUCUUUUUUUGUUAUGUUUUUCAAAAAAUAACAAACAAAUUUCAAUUGUUUUCUUAAAUUUUGAAGUAUAUCUUGUAUUUAGUUGCCAAUAUUGAAUGUAAACAAUGUGCUUUGAAGUCAACGAUUUCGGAAAUUACUAUGUUAUUUCAUUUUAGAAUCCAAUGGUCUGAAAUUGACCCUAUGAUUGUAUAAAGAGACAAAAAUUUGGGGGAUUAAUACAAGUAUACAACCAUUCCCACAAUUCGCAGUAGCUCCGCGUUUCAUAAUCUGUCUCAAAUUCUCAAGUUCUUUAAAGAACGUUGAAGAUGGGUGUGAUGAGAUUUUUGGCUCUGUUUAUUCUUCUCUUUUCAGUACUGAUUUUUCAAGCAGCAGAGGCAAGAAUCAGAAGGUAUAAAUGGGAGGUGAAGUAUGAGUACAAGUCUCCUGAUUGCUUCCAGAAGAUGGUUAUUACCAUCAAUGGACAAAGCCCCGGCCCAACAAUCCUGGCCGAAGAAGGAGACACCGUCAUUGUUGAGCUUACAAAUGGUUUAUUGACAGAAAAUGUCGCAAUCCACUGGCAUGGUAUCAGACAGGUAGAGCAAAGAUUCAUAUAUAAAGUUUCUUUUUUCUUUCCCUUUCUGGGCUUAAUUUUGCAGUUCUGAUUGUUCAUCUUCUUGAUUACAGAUUGGGACGCCAUGGUUUGAUGGAACAGAAGGCGUGACCCAGUGUCCAAUCCUGCCUGGAGAGACCUUCACAUACGAGUAUAAAGUGGAUAGGGUAAGAUUAAUCAGUGGCCUUAAUUAAGCCUCUUCCCAAUAAGCUUCAUCUCCAGAAAGUUGGAACCAGCACUGUCAAUUAUCUGAUUAUAUUAUUCUCUGGUGUAUACAGCCUGGGACUUAUCUAUACCAUGCCCAUUACGGAAUGCAAAGAGAAGCUGGGCUGUAUGGAUCGAUUCGUGUGUCGGUUGCUCGUGGGAAGACUGAACCCUUUUCCUAUGACUACGACCGGAGCAUCAUCCUCUCUGACUGGUACCAUAAUACCACUUAUGAACAAGUCCUGGGCUUGUCCUCCAUACCUUUUGACUGGAUCGGGGAGCCUCAGGUGAAUACCGACUCCUAAUACUGCUUCCGCCAUAGCAUUCUGGUUUGUUCUGCUCUUCAUCUUCUGAUGUCUUUUCCUCUCUGUCUGCUAAUUUUUCAGUCACUUCUGAUUCAAGGAAAAGGAAGAUACAACUGCUCUCUAGUUUCAAGUCCUUAUGUCUGUAAUGCAACAAGUCCUCAGUGUUCUCCCUAUGUACUCACUGUAGUUCCGGGGAAAACAUAUCGCCUUCGGGUCUCCAGCUUGACUUCCCUGUCAGCUCUCAGUUUCCAAAUAGAGGUUGGUAUAAUUAAUAAAUUCACCGCGGUUUCUUAUUCCUUGCUUCUACUUGUUCAAGUGAUAUUCCUCACAAAAAUAUUAUAACAAUACAUUUUUAAGAGCCCAUCUUAAAUAUAUAAGGGAGAAUUAUGUUUUGGGGGUAGAUGGCUCCCAAAUUAACAAAAGGUUCAUAUAACUCUUUAAAUUGAGCCCAAGACCCAAUGAAAGUAUGAAAAUUGAGUUGAAGGAUAUCAUCCUUCAGUAUUUCCAAAAAUAUCCUUUGUUGAUUUUGAGAAAAAAAAUUAAUAUUUUUGAAAAAUAUUUUUAUAUAAUUUAAUAUUUUUUAUUUAAUUUAAUAUUUUUUUAAAAAUACUUUUAUGUAAUUUAAUAUUUUUUAAAAUACUUUUAUUUAAUUUAAUAUUUUUUAAAAAUAAAUUAAUUUAAUAUUUUUGAAAAAAAAUUAUUUAAUUUAAUAUUUUUGAAAACUACUUUUAUUUAAUUUAGUAUUUUUUUAAAAAAAAUUAUUGAAAAAAAAUUAUUUAACUUAAUUUUAUAAAAUAUUUUAUAUGUAUUCUUAAAGGGUAUAUUUGUCCGUUAUUAUUUCAUAUCCUUCAACUCAAUUUGAAGAGUUAUAUGGACCUUUUGUUAAUUUGGGAGCCUAUCUACCCCAAAAGAUAAUUCUCCCAAUAUAUAAAUACUUUUUAAAGAUGUAAGGUUCAUUUGGGUUCAAAAACAAUAUCCACAUGCUUGGAGACUAAUUCUCAACUUUGGUGGAAGGGUUUGUUUGAUCUCAUGUGGAGUGUCUAUUUGUUUGAUCCUGUCAUCCAUGAGACAUAAUGAGAAAGGUUUUGAUCCAAAACGAAGAAUAUCUGUACAGUUAAAAGUGGAUUAUUACAAAAACUAUCCAUGUUCUUAUACAGUUUUAAUUUCUAACGCUGCAGGGUCACAACAUGACUGUUGUUGAAGCAGACGGGCACUUUGUGGAACCCUUUGUGAUAAAAAACCUCUUCAUUUACUCAGGGGAGACCUAUUCAGUUCUGGUGAAGGCUGAUCAAGACCCUUCAAGAAAUUACUGGGUCACAUCCAGUGUGGUCAGUAGGAACAACACUGUCACUCCUCCGGGCUUGGCCAUCUUCAAUUACUACCCCAACCAUCCCAACAAGUCUCCCCCAACAGUCCCACCCGCUGGCCCUCUUUGGAACGACGUAGAGCCGCGCAUCAACCAAAGUCGUGCCAUUAAGGCUCACCAUGACUAUGUUAUCCCCCCUCCUCUCACCUCAGACAGAGUAAUUCUGAUGCUCAACACACAGAAUGAGAUCAAUGGUUACAGGAAGUGGUCUGUGAACAAUGUGUCCUUCAACCUCCCACACACACCCUACCUAAUUGCUCUCAAGGAGAAUAUCAGUGGUGUCUUUGAUCCAACCCCUGCUCCAGAUUACUUUGACUUGGAAAAUUAUGAUAUUUAUACUAAGCCAAACAAUUCCAACGCCACGUCCAGCAACUCAAUUUAUAGGCUCAAGUUCAACACAACAGUGGACAUCAUACUGCAAAAUGCAAACACCAUGGUCGUGAAUAACAGUGAGACACAUCCAUGGCAUCUCCAUGGGCAUGACUUUUGGGUACUGGGCUAUGGGGAAGGCACGUUUAAUAUGUCCAGUGAUCCAAGAACCUACAAUCUGAUUAACCCAAUUAUGAAGAACACAGCACCUAUUCAUCCUUAUGGAUGGACUGCCUUAAGGUUUCGAUCUGAUAACCCAGGUGUCUGGGCAUUCCAUUGCCAUAUCGAAUCUCAUUUCUAUAUGGGUAUGGGAGUUGUUUUUGAAGAAGGGGUGGAGAGGGUUGGAAAGCUGCCUUCAUCUAUCAUAGGUUGCGGUAAAUCCAAGGGUCUCGGCGGUAGGCCAUAAUUUUUCUUCCCAAUUAUCAACUAAUUGAGGUAAAGUUCAAUUGUAUCACCUUUUAUAUAUUAUGUUCUAGAUGAUACAAAUUCUUUUCGUUCUUGAAUGAUAAAACUAGUUAGAGACUGUUCACAUGGAUCUUGUAGUGUAAUAUUAAAGAUUCUUUUGAUCAAAAGCUCAGAGUUUGGGGCUGUUGGGGCCAUUGGUACUCUGAAUUUCAUCGUUACCAAAUCCUACCCCUUCAAUAAUGACUGGUUCAGAGGUCAGCGUCCCCUCAAUAUCUAAUUAUCAGUAAAUUUGAUGAGGUGAUGUGGUGAGAUGCGCCCUGGUCAACUCUCCAAUUGCCAUUGUUGGAGUUGGUGUUGCCGCUUGUGUAAUUUGCUUGACACUGUUUAUGUAAUUUGUUUUCCAAGAUGUGUUCGCCAGUUUGGCCUAUUUUGGCUUCAACAAGGGUGAUCUGAAACCAUAUAAAAGAAUUCAAUACUGAAUGAUAUAAACGUUGUGUGUUUUUGUUAAUGUUCAAUAGUCCAAUAUAUAUUGACUAUAGUGUAGUUAAUUAGCAAAUCAAUACCUAUAAUUGUGACAGAAAUGAUGGAGUGAAAGUUGUAUAAAAAAACUAAUUAUAACAUAUCUAGAAUAUUCAGAAUAAGUGUUCCUACAAUUAUGGUCUAUCGGUUAGAUAUUGGCUCAUUUUAAUACUAAGCUAAUAAUUUUAGUCAUACUUCUUUUUUCUUUGUACAAUACCAAAUUUUAAUCACAUGUAAUCUCAAGCUUCUUGUCAUGCAUAUUUCCUAAGACCAACAUAAACCUUUAGGACUCUUCAUAGGGACCUAAAUCUCAGGGUACUGACCACCCCCAUAACAACUAGCACCGGAUAAAUUUAAGGUACCAUUAAUGACAUAAUUCGAAACCAAUACCAUAUGCAAUUUAGUGGAACCACACUUCCUAGUUUAUGUUCUGACUAACUAGGCUACCUUGACGAGUAGAAAACAAGUACACAUAACCUCAAGCUUGCUUCUUAAGUCAACGCCAAACAUAGAGCUAAUAUAAACUUGAGCAUAUUUCUUAAAAAAGACAUCUGAGUCUCACUUCAUAAACUAUCAUUCUAUUAGAAAGUGAAAUUAUUGUCCAUGUAACAAAUACUUUCUCUAUCUUGGAGACUUGAACAAUGAUUUAGUUAUUAUAUAUAAAACUUCAAUGAUUUCAUCUGAAAAUCAAUUAACUAUAUUAAAAUCAGGCUAAUUCUCUUUUAUGUUGCUAUAG